CACACACUCACACCUCAUGCAUGCUUACAAGUAAUAUAGGAUCAUGGCGUUUAAUGAAAGGGUAUUCUCAUAUGAACUUGUGUCUACUACUAUGCAUGUAUAGUAUAUGUCCAUGAAUUAUGUCGUUUAUCCCUAACUAGGAUGAUUUGAUUGUUGUACUAGUAUGGAAAAGGGUUGGGGACCUUGUCUAGGCAUUGCACAUGUGUGCCUUGAUAGGAUAGUUCCUAGGUUAUGAUCAAUGCACAUAAAUAUAAAUGCAUCAGUAUGUUAUGACCAUGUCUUAUAUGCUAUGAUGUCAAUUAUAUGAUAUGAUAAAGUAUGAUUAUCUAUAUUAUCUAAAUGUGCAUAUAUGAAAGGAUUGCUCAUAUUGUUACACCUAUACACUUAUGCAUGAAUGAAGUGAAAUAUGAACAUGUGUAGUCUAAAUAUGUUUAUGUGAAAGGUUUGCUUUGAUGUAAGUAUACACAAACAAAUGAAAACAUGUCCAUUAUGCAUGUAAAAUAAUCUAGUCAAUAGAGGGGCUCUUGAAAGGUGUUCUUAAGAGUAUCCUAUACUAGAUGGUGCUUGAAUAUGAUAUGUCCAUGUGAAAGGUCUUCUCACAUGAUUAAGGUUGAUGAACUCUCAUCUAUGAUCUAUGAGCUAAUCAUAUGAGGAGUCAAUCUCUUAAAGCCUAUUUUUACGAAGUAAAGUUAAUAAUAGCUUUUCAAUAAAGGGAACUUAGCUUAUUGAUAUGCUCAAACUUACUUCUCAAAUAAGAAGUAAAGUGGUCGUGUCAAGUAAAUAACCCAACUAGUGAGAUUGGGAUUGUUCCCACGAGGAAAAUAAUCUAGACUUAACAUCAAUCUAUUAUUUCUUUUGUUUAGUCAAUUACCUCCUUGGAUAGUAAAAACAAUAAAAGGGGGGUUUCUUUUUCUAAAUGAAUGAAAAUAACCACCUAAAUUGAAGGAGACACUUAAUAGCUUUGAAUGUUUUAUUUAAAUCAAUUAAUCAAAGUAACUAGGGGUUACGUGUUCCACACAAGUUCAUAACUUGAUUAUUCUAACUAUAACAAUUCUUUCCUAGGAUCUUGCAUGCAAAGUGAUAAGUUAUGUAUUUCUAAAUCCUUGGUCCGGCAUCUAGAAAAUCUCACUCUGCACCUUGGUCCGGCUACGUGUGUUGCUAUCCUAACCCUUAUCUUUACCUCAUAUUAAGCAUCGUAUUCGAUAUUUGACUAAGUUAUUACCUCGUACCAAUCAAUACAAGCCUAUUUAAUAGUAUAUACUAAAUCUAUGUUGAUAAUUCUUUUCCUAUUAUCUACCUCCUUGGUCAGGCAAGUAGCAUUAAGGCGAGUUCUAAUGUUGGCCAUCCGUUAAAAAGACUUCUAAGCGAAAGAAUUAUUAAUACAUGCAAGACACUAUUCUAGAAUUGUUAUUUUAGUUAGGUUUCAUCUCAUUAUUUGCCUAUGGUUACCACAACCCUAGUUAUGGAGUUUAGUUACUCAUAGUCAUAAUUACAAUAUUAAAAUAUAUUAAAUAAGAACUUAUGUACUUACUUCAAUGAGAAACAGUAAAAUCCAAAAUUUUGCUUGAUUAAUCACCAAUAAUCACUUGCAAGAAUCUCAAAGUAAUCAAUAAUCUCACAAAAAAGACUAAUGAUAAUCCUGAAUCUAACACUAAUACACAGAGUCUAAUAAAGAUCUAGAUUCUAACUAAUAAUACUAAGUAUCCCCUCAAAAAUGAGGUUUUUCAAACUAUUUAUAGAAAAUAAAAACCUAAUUAAACAAGGACUCUUUUUGCUGGAAAUCAGUAAAAACGCGUCUGGGUCGACGGACAGUGCGACGGAUCAUCGUGGUCACGACGGAUCGUCAUGGACUCCGUCGUCCCAUACUUGAUGAAAUUUCUUCUACUACUCUCUUUAUUACCCUCCAUGGCAAGUAUGACGGACCGUCAUAGGCACAAUGGUCCGUCGAGGGUCUUCGUUCAAAAACACUUAAACUCUUGGAAUAUGGGUACUGGAUUACUUCUCUGAACUUUAUGAUGAACCUGCAGGACAGACCGUCAUAGACACGACGGACCGUCAUGGACUCCGUAACCCCAGACUUGGUGAGACUUUCCCAUCUUCCUUCAGCAGUUGCACUACGCUGCCACUUACGGACCGUCACAAGCUCCAUAGGUGGUCUCUUCUACAUUCCUUUGCUCAAAAACCUCCGCAUAUAUCUUUGAACAGAUUUCCUGCAAAUAAGGAGAAACUUAUAUAAAAAUUAGCACAAAUAGGCUUUUGGACACACUAAACUUAAGGAAAAAGUAUUAAUAAUAUUGUGAAAACACGGUAUAUCAACACCCUCAACAUAAAUUCGUUGUUUGUCCUAAGCGACGCACUAUGACUCAAUACAAAAUCUUUGUACAAUAAUAUCCAUGUUUUAUCCUUUGCAAUCUUUUGUCUAUCAAUCCCAAUUAAUCUCAUCAUAUCUAUGCAUGAUAUAACUUUUAGGCUUGAAUUAUGUGGGAUCAGAAUGUGACACAGACUCACCAUGCACUAACACCUAUCUUAUUCAAUUACUCACCGAGGUGCUAACAAUUUCGGUAUUGCAACUAGUGUCCUUACUUUAAAACAAAAUCCUUAUUUUUCACACAAUAAAUUUCACCUAGAAAGAGUUGAAUCUUCAUUAGAUUGGAUGGCGUAAAUUCCUCAAGUACUAUGAUAUGAAUAUGAUUUAUCAUCCCGCUAAGGCAAACGUAGUAUUUGCUUCUCAUAGAAGAUUAUCUAUUGGUAGUGUAGUUAAAAUUAAGGAGAAAUGAAAAAUUAGCAAAAGUUGGUUACCGUCUUUCUCUCUUAGGAUUUUGUCUUACAGACUCCUCAGGUUAUGGAGCAAUAAUUCAGAAUAUAUCUGAAUCUUCAAUUGAAAGGAGGUUAUGAAAAAAUCAAAAUAAUGAUCCUACAUUGCUUCAUUUGAAAGGUGCAGUUAACUAACAUAAAUUAGAAGUUUUCUCCCAAGGGGGAGAUGGUGUGAUGCAUUAUUAGGACCGAUUGUGUGUUCCUUAAGUGACUGUGUUAUGGAAGCAGAUCUUUAUUAAGGCCCAUAAUUCCAGAUAUUCUAGUCACCUAGGUUCCAAAAAGAUGUACUAUGAUUUGUGAGAAGAAUGUUACUUGAACGCAAUGAAGAGAGACAUAGAAUAUUUUGUGGUUAAAUGUCCUAAUUGUAAACAAGUUAUUGUACAACAUCAGAAACCAAGAGGUAUUACUAAAAUAUUCAUGUUACUACGUGGAAGUGUGAACAAAUAAGCAUGGACUUUAUUACAGGUUUACCUAGUACUUGCAGACAGUAUGAUUCCAUUUGGGUAAUAGUAGACAGAGUUACUAAGUCUGCUCACUUCUUGUCCUUUAAUACAUCAGAUUUGGCAGAGGACCAUACCCAGCUCUACAUUAAUGAGAUACUUACGUUUUAUGGGGUUCCUUUAUAUAUCAUCUUAGAAAAAGGUCCAUAGUGUACAACUUUUUUCUAGAGAUCAUUCUAAAAACUUCUUGCUACAUAGGUAAAUGUUGGAACAACAUUUCAUCCACAGACAGCUGGUUAGAUACUGGUUAGUUAGAGCUUACUAUUUAAAUCAUAGAGGACAUGUUGAGAGAUUUCAUGAUCGGCUUCAACGAUUUUUGCGAUGAUGACCUAACUCUUAUAGAGUUCUCCUAUAACAACAAUUGACAUUCAAGUAUUUAGAUGACCCCUUAUGUGGUACCAUAUGGGCAUAUAUGCAGAUCUCUUAUUGGUUGGUUUGAAGUAUUUGAAGAAGCAUUGAUUCGGCCAUAUUUGAUCUAUGAAGCUAUGGAAAAAUUUUAGAUCAUUACAGAUAGACUAAAGACAUCACAGAUUCGUUAGAAAUUCUAUAAAACUGUAAUGAGAAGGACCUUAGAGAUGGAAGUCGUUGAUAGGGUUUCAUGAAAAUGUCCCUUGUAAAGGAGGUGAUGAGACUUGUAAAGAAAGGGAAGCUAAACAUAAGAUAUGUAGGUCCUUAUAAGAUCCUAAGAAGGUUGGUAAUCUGCCAAGUAAGUUAGAUUUACUAUCGCAACUAGCAGUCGUGCAUCUAUUCUUUCAUAUUUCCUUGUUGAAUAAGUGUAUGGGUGAUCAAGAAUCAAUGGCACCAUUAAAGAGUAAGGUUGUGAACGACAUCCUCAUCUAUGAACAAGAGACAAUUGAAAUAUUUUAUUGUCGGGUUCUUAGGUUGAAAAAUAAAGAAGUAUCUUCAGUGAAGGUGUUGUGGAGGAGUUUGUCCGUAGAGAAAGCUACUUUGGAAAUAGAAGCAGACAUUAAGACCAAGUAUCCUCAUCAUUUUCCUGUCUAUUCCUUUUUAGAUUGAGGUAAUGGUUCCUCUCCAGUAUCUUAGCUUACUUUUGCGUUCAUUCAUUCAUAGUAUCAUGUUCCUCAAUUUGUUCUUGAAUUUUCAGCAUACUUGUAUGUUUUUUAACUCAAUUUAGUAAAAAAUGAGGUUCUAGUACUUACUGGUAGGGAUUUCACUCAUUCUUUCCAUACUCAGAUAGUUUAGGCUUUAUUCGUGCAUGAAUCUUUCCAAUAGGGAUAUAUUUUAACACCUUGGAAUUCAGAUUUAGACUUUGCAGCGGAAAAUAACAAUAAAAGGUGAACGAUGAAGGGUUCACGAGUCGUUAUCUUGAUCACAGUUUAUCACCCUGACCAUGGUUCACACCCUCUCAUAAGUGAGGACCACGGAUCAACUUACGGGCCAUGGACCGUCUCACGAACCAUUGGAAGGCUCGUCGACAAUAAACAUACCUGACCAAGCUCAAGAAUCAAACCACAGAGACUUCUACGAUCCCUGGUGGCGUCCUUUGUCCUUGGCCUUAAGACCCCAACCCAAGUGACGAACCACGGAGACCUUCACGCUAUGUGGUUAUUCACAUGGUGCAUGGUUGCCUCGUGGUUGGACCAUAUAGAAGUCACUGCCUCUGCCAGCAGACCAUGGCCCAGUCAAUGGAUUGUGGUCCUUGCGAAUGAGUGCUACUGAGGACGGGGUCACAUACAAUAGAUUUUAAGUUAGGAUUUCGUUUGUCUAAUCUCAUAUGCAUUGGACACCUAAACUAUGGUAUUUGACACCUAAACUCCGCAAUUUUCUUUAAUUUUAGCCGAAUAACUUAAGCAGAACCUACCAUAGUCGACCCAUGCAGUGAAAUACAUAGAUCGCAGAGCAAAAUAGAGGGACACAUUAAGAAGAAUCUCAAGAACGUGUAUCAUGUUUCCUUGUUUUAAAGUUUCAUAUCAAAAGAUUUCUACGUGAAUUUUGUAUAACACCACUUACGAACUAGUAGGACCUAAAAAAUCAAUGACUAAAUCUAGUAGGUUGAACUAGGGCGCCACAUGUUAGUUUAUAGUUGAAAACUUUUUAAAAUGAUGAAAAUUUCUAUUGAAUUUAUUUUGGUUAUUUCGAAGGUCAAACAUCAAUAAACGACCAUAACGUUCGGAAACUAGUAAUUUGAAAUAGUGAGUUGUAAGGGUCUUGUCAUUGAUGUUUGUAGUCUUGUUUGAGGGUAAAAACUUGUAGAACAGAAUCUCACACUUAUAUGGACAUGUUUAGGGUCCAAAAGUCCGGUAACAACCCCCAAGGAAAACGUAAGGGGUCCAUGAGGAGGACCCAACCUUUGAUCCAAAAGCUGUAAAAAACAGCUUCAUCUACGAGACCCAAACUAUGGCCACUACACUGUGUAUGGACUGUAGGUAUAGUUUAUAGGUUGGGACUUAGUAUAGAGGAUCUUAGAUAUCUAAAAAGAAUCCUUUGAACCAAAUUAUAACCAUCUAGUAUGGUAAGUAACUCCACUUUCAGUCCGUAGGUGGAGGGGCGUAGGUGCUUCCAAUUUUCAGCCUCCUAGAUCUAAGUUGGUGAUUGGGAGUCAAAUUAGUUAAUAAAUUAAGGAAUCAGGGGUUUCUAUAAUUUGUUUUUAAACAGUUUUUUAAUCUAGCAAUACCAUAAAUUAAGCCUUCCAAACAGUAUCCAAAACAUGUACUCUUAAAAUAGUUUUAAGUGAUUGAGUUUUAUAUUAAAAGUUUAUGGUCAACUUCAAAUGGUCAAGUAUCAUAGAUAAAAUUAAUAAGGUGGUCCAUUACCUAUUCAAUUAAAUAUCUCUAAGUCCUAUUUAAAUAUCCACCGAGUUUGCUAAUUCUGAUCUUAGAGUAAAAAGUUAUGCCUGAAAUAGUGAAGCAUUGUCAGUCCCCAACUACGAGACCAAACGAGGGACAAUUGAUCAAUCUACGUUUCGUGGAUUGGGGGAUCGUAGAUGUUUCAAGUUUUGGUUAGUUCUAAGUUGGGGGUUUGGGAAUUAUGUUACCCAAUUAUUUAAGGGCUUAGGGAGUGUAAAAUGGUCAAAAAACGUCCUAUAAAUGAUUAAUAAGACCCUAAAACUAAUCCAUUAAUUCACCUGAAAUGAAUACCCCAAAUCAUAACUAACUUUACCCCCAAAAUUUCUCUAGAACUCUUUUCUCAAUAACCUCCAUUGAAGACCUAGAAGAAGAUCGAUUAAAUCUUGAAGAUGGAAAUUUUUUUAAUUUAUUUUCAAGGAGUUCAAAGUCUAAGGUAUGGAAAAUUUUUAUUUUUGGUUAGCUAUUACAAGAAGCCUCUAAAAUAUGCUUUCAUAUUCCCUAAAUUCUAGGUUUUUAUCCAAAUCAUGAGUCACGUUCAAAAAGUAUUUAAAUUUAUAUAUUAUGAUUGAUUAUGAUUAUAUAUGUUCAUUUAUGGAUGAAUUAAUGGUGUAUUGAUAGUUUUUAAAGAAAAACACAAAGACCCAUGUUCUUCCCCCUCUUUCUCAAUUGUAAUCCCUUCUGUGGAUUAAUUAAUGGGUAUAUAUUUAUAAUCUAAAUCUCUACAUUGAUUAGGUGAUUCUACUAUGAAGUUACUCUAUCUCAUUCUCUAUUUCUAAGGUUUUGGGUUAGGUCUUGAUGGAUGACCUUAGAACUAGACAACCUUGAAUUGUAUUUAUCAUAAGUAAACCUUAAUGACAUCAAUUGAUUUUUUUUAUGAUUCUAUAUGAAUGUUUAUGCAUGAAUUGAAGUAAAAAUUUUAUGGUUUUUGAAUAAAUCCGCACAAGACCCAUGAUUUUCUUUCUUUCUCAACUCUAAACCCCAGUAUGCUUUGAUUGAUGAAUGAAGCAUGUGAAUCUAGUAUAUUUAUUUGUAAUUUAAUAUUCUAUUACAAUGUUAGUCUAUGUGAUGGAUGAAUAUCAUAAAUUUAAGGUUGAAUCUUGAAGAAAUUCUUGAAGUCUAUGAUGAAGGUUUUCAAUUUGAUUAUUGUUUAAUGUUAACAUAUUUAUCUACUUAUGUUGGAGGUGUUUACUUAAUGUAUAUUUUUAUAUUGAAUUAUUCAUCCACUUAGGGUGAAGGUGCUUACUUGAUUUAUGAAUUGUUGUGUUGAGUCUUGUUUCUCGUCUCUAUAACCCUAGUUAUGAGCUAGUAUGUUAUGAUAUGAACAUGUAUGUUAUGCUAACAUAUGAACAUGUAUGUUAUGCUAUAAUGCGAAUAUGGAUGUUAAAUCAUUAUAUGAAUACGAAUGUUACUAUAUGAUUAUUUUAGUAUUUACAUGUUUAAUGAAAAGGAAAUUCUCCAAAAAAUAUAUAUAAAUAUUAUAUGAAAGGAACAUCCUCACAUGUUCUUGGUUUCCAUUAAUGAAAGAAUUGUUCUUAUCUUUGAAACCUUUGAGCUAUACACCAUAUGAGUAGUUAAGUCCUUAAAGAAUUCUAUAUGAACUAAUGCAUAACUAAAGUCUUAAUGAUACUUUUAAGGGAACUGUUCUUACCUCCUAGUGGAUAUGAUUAUGAGAUGGGUUCCUUCAUGUCAGUAGUUGGGUUGACAUUUUAGUGUCUCAUGAGUUGGAAACCUGCACUAUAGAACUAUGAGGUUCCUAGAAACAAUUUUCAUAUCCCAUAACUAUGCGACUGUGUAGGUCUUACCUAGUGUAUCAACUUUAUAUCUAGGUAUGUAUGUUUCACCUUAGGCAAGUGAAACACGGCUAUUUGGUGUAGGGGUUCAGCACUAGAUUUUUUGUAGCUCACAUGGUGUAUGUUAGUUACGGUUGAUCUCCCUAUGUUUUACGAAUAUGAACUAAGAUACGAAAUACGAGUUAUGAAUAUGAGUAUGGCCUCUGACUAAGGAUUCUUGAGGGGUACUACUUCGUGUAGGUAAGGGUAUAGGACUUUACCUAUACACUACAUAACUGAGUUCGUUGAGUAGUGCUUGUGAGAGUCUUUUAUUUAAGAUGACUUAUCAAUGAUGUGAAGGUUGGUUUCACCUAUAAUUUUGUCGAUUAUGUAUACCACUACACUUAUUUCUUAUGGAUGGAUUUACUUAGUAUAUAUAGGGGUACGGGACUUCAUAUGUACAUUGCAUACGUAAACUUGUAAGGGGGUCAUAGGAGGUGUCAUUAUGAUAUGAUGUUAAUUGAACUUAUGGUUCCAUUCCAUUAUGAUAAUUUGUGAAUUGUUCUUGAGUUAUUAAUAUGAUUAAAUUUGUUACAUUUCAAGUAAUAGAUAAAGUAUGCUUAUAUCAUUUUUGGUGACUAUUUAUUAUUUUGACGUCUAAAGGUAAAGUGCAUGACUAAGGCAAUUUCGAAGAACUGCUUAGUAGGAUUGGUAUUUUGGUAAUACAACCAUAGAUUGCACAAGUACUCCCUUGGUGUUACUAAGGUAAUGGUUUACUAGUAAAUAAUUGUGAAUCUGAUAUUGACUUACGUUUCACAUUAUAAAUGCAUGACUAUUACUAUAUAUUGAGUGUCUCUUAAGGGUUGUUGAUGUAAUGUCUAUUUGACAAAGAGAUAAUCUUGGUAUUUUUCUUGUAUUACUUUAUGAUUGGAGGUUAUGUAUAGUUGAGAUUGGGAUGUGUGUUAUCUUGAUGUAUGAGACUAUUCUUGUUUUUGUAGUGAUAUCUCUUAUGUUAUGAUGGAAUGUAUGUGAGUUGCCUUCUUAGUUGCAUUAUCAAACUAUUCCCAAGAUGAUGUUCAAAAUAGAGUUUGGCAUGAUUGAAAAUUAAAUGUCAUGUUUGAACAUGUUUUACGUGUUUUUGUGCAUGUCUUCCAUGCUUAGUGUGUUUUCAUGCUAGAAUCUUCUUUUCUACAGUUUCUACAAAGUGUAGGGUUUGGAGAGGUGAUGUUCCAUACUUAGAAGAUAGGUUUCUAUAGACCUCAAAGAGGAAUACUAGGGGAUACCUCAUAGUUCGAGGACAAACCCACUUUGUCCACUUAGGCCUUUACAUUAUGUACUUAGACUUUUAUAAGGGUCGUUUCCUGAAGUUGUAUUGAAGGUAGUUAUGUCUAAUGUAAUUCUAUGUUAUAGAUGGUUUAGACAUAGUGUCAUACACACUCUUUCAAGACAAUAGACUUCGAUUGUAUAGAAAAGUUUAUGCCAUGUCAAAUAUACUAAGGGUUUGUCUGAAACCAUUCGGGGUCAAGUAUGUCAAGUUACGACUAGAGGGAAGCUCUCCGGUCUUGAUAAACCUAUUAUCUGAGCCUAAGAUUAUGGGAAUGGUCUUAGGAUGUCUCAAAAAACGUCUACAAGAGUCUAGUUCAUCAGUGUGAGUCGCGACACAUCUAUGAGCUACAGGCUAUAGGACGUUAGAAAACUUAUCCUCUUCAUUCUCUAAGUCGUGUCAUAGAUCUAUGACUUCUCCCUUAUCCUUACCCGAUCUUCUUUAGGUUGUGACAACUUGUUAGGAUUUUUCUAGAAGGAGCGAGGGAGAAAGUUUGGUUGUGAUUCCAACUAUGGCUAUUUGACUUAUGAGACUUGAGGUAAUAGAUUUUGAAAUUGUAUUUAGUAUAAAUAAUGCUUCAUACUUGCCUUUGUGUUGGUUAAAAGAAUUUGUGUAGGCUUACUCCUAAGAGGGGAGAUAGUGUGCCUUAAAAAUAAGGUGAUUGUGAGGUUAUAUUUUACUUGAUGAUUGACCCAUAUAGUCAAAUUGUUUGUUCCCAAAUGAACCUAUUCAAGAGUGGAAAUGGGGGAAAAUCACAUUUCAUAAGUUUAGAUUGUAUGGUGUUUUAAAGUUGACGUUGAUGUUGCAUGUACCACCUAGUUGAGCUAUGGAACAAGAGUAUAGGUGUUGACCAACUUCAAAAAAGUUAGUUGUCUUUUAGUAUUUAACUUAAGUAUGGUCAUUUCAGGAAUAGUUGUGCCUGACUGAUGCUUAGAGAUCUUGAAGAAUUAAACUACUUUAAGGGAGGGUAGGAGUGAAAUCCUCAACGGUUUAGAAUGAUAUGUGUAAGAAGCACAAAGAUUUUUGUUAUGAUUUUAUCCGACCCUUAUAAUUUAGGUAAUGAUGCAUGGCAGACUUUGUUCAGUUUCACCCCAAGUGAGGGAUAAUGUUCUUAGAUGGUAAGAUCAUGGAGUGUCCUUGAUGUAUAUGAAUUAGGCUUGCUUGAAAUUCUCUAUUUAUAGACUCACUUUGGGUGAUGGAUAUGAAAAGUUGAGUGUUCAAAAUGUUAAUGUUUAUUAUCCUUACCUUAUGUGGUUUAGUUAGUUUGAGAAACCUAGAACCAGAGUGCUAGACUCAUAUAAGACCUUGAGUGAUAUCCUAGUAAAGGCCCUAGAAAUGGAUGCUACUUGGGUUGACUUGAUAGACUUGUUGGAUGGAGGUAUCGGUAUGUUAGUAAUUUCAUGUGAGAAUAAGUUUUAUGUUGUAUUAUAAUAUUACCUUAUCUAGUUGAUGCCCUAUGAGACUAUAAGGCUUAGGUUUCUCCGGAUGAAUAAAUAAAACCUGUUUUCGGAUUUUACGCUUGUGAAUGGUUUUGAGGUGAGUAAAAAGGGUUAAUAGAAAAAUAUGGGAAUCUUGAGUGUGUAUUUGUUAUCACUUGUUGAAUAAGAUGAAAAUUGAGUGCAAUUUCUUCAAAAAUUUUAUUUAAUACAUACUGUGUCAUAUGAGUGUUGUAUUGCUAGAUAUUGAGAACCCUACAUUUUGCAAAGAUGGAAGAAAAAUAUGAAUUUAGUUGUGUCUUUAGGAGUAGUUGAAGAAGUUUUCUUGAGGUAUGUGUUUACACCUUCCUCAUAAGGAGAGGAUGCUCUGCUUAGAAAUCAUGACUUGCUAAAAUAACGACAUCGUCAUCUCUUCCUUCCAUUCCCAUUAUAGAUCCAGACCAAGAGUCCCUAGUUGGCCUUAUGUUAUGUUAGGAGUCAUGUGUUAUUUAUAUGAUCUCAAGAUUUCCUUAUGAUAUGCAUAUUCUUGAGAAUUCAUAUCUUGAGAUAAAAAUGAUUUUUCAUGUCUCUUGUCCCUCAUGUUGAUAGGAAAUUAGAGUAAAAAAAUAUGUGAUUUAUGAGGUAAAUGGUUUAAAUGUGUUUUUAAGAAGUAAUUGCAUAGUUGGCUAAACAUUGUAUUAUAAGAAUGAUUUGAGUUGGAGGAGGAGUCUUUCUCAAACAAAAUCAAAUAUGUCUAAAUAGCAUGCAUAUUACAUUUUCGAGGUAGUCUCUAUUUUCUCAUGUUGUAACAGGUGCGUUUAAAUGGAGAUUCUAUCCUAAGUUGUGCAUUUUUUGUGAUAUGCCAUACUUGACUUCAUCAUAUGAAUUAAUGCAUAUGAUUGAAUGCGUUCUUAGAAAGGGGAAUGUACCUCCUUAUGAGGUAUUGAACUUGUCAACAGAGUAGAGGAUGUAGUUCCUCCCAUGUUUAUAUGAAUUGAUGAGGUUUGUGAAUUUCCAAAAAAGAAAAAGUAAACUUGUGUUUUUGAAUAAAGGUGAGUUAGUGUGAGGUGUUUCCCUUAUUUUGUAGUGUAUUGAUUAUAAAGGAUUUAUUGUACCUCAAAAAAUAAGAUAUGAGCUUAUCUAAGUGAGGAGUUUUUUAGUUCCACCUCGAAACAGUGUUAUUGAACACGGAAACUUGCAUAUGAGCUCUCUGAUGGCACAUGAGUAUGUAUUACUUGGAGAAGGGAGUUCCUCCUUGAAAAUAUCUAAACAUGAUAAAGUCAUGAAAUAUAGAUUUAUAGAUGUAGUUCCUACUUUAUUAUAUUUGCAUUAACUAUAUUAAAUAGGAGUUUAUGUUCAUUCUUUUGAAAUGAUGCUCAGUGUGUCUUGUGUAUCUUUGACUUGUACAUCCCUUUGAUGAUUACAGGCUUGUUGGGAUGCUAGUUAGAGUUUUUUAUUUCUUAAGAUGUUUUGAGUGCACAAAUGUUACAAAGGAGGGGAUAUUGUAACACCUCGUACGAACUCGUAAGACCUAGGUACGGCUUGACUAAAUCUAGUAGGUUAAACUAGUGCCUCACAUGUUAGUUUAUAGUUGGAAACUUUAUUAAAUACUGAAAAAUGGCUAUUGCAUUUAGUUUCGUGAUUUAAGAAGUCAAACGUCAAGAAAGGAUCAUAACCUCAAGAAAUUAGUCAUUUGAAUUAUUGAAUUGUAAGGAUCUUGUCGCAGUUUGGAGUCUUAUUUAAAGGUAAAAACAUGUUGAAGGGACUCUCACGCUUAUAUGGACAUUUUUUAUCCAAACGUCCUGGAACGACCCCUCCCCCCAAGGAGGUUUUGACCUUGGAUCCAAAAGCAAUCAAAAAUAUCUUCACCUACGAGACCGAAACUACAUCCAGUAGAUUUGUCUAUAGACUGUAGGUCUAGUUUGAAGGUAGGGAUUUAGUCUGCGAGAGUUUAUCUCCCUAAAAGAAAGACUCUAAAACAAACUAAGACCAUGUUGUACAGUCAGUAACUCAACCUACAAUUCAUUCAUGGAGAGGCGUACGUGCUAUCGAUUUCCAUCCUUCUAGUUUUAAGUUGGUUAUUAGGAGUCAUGUUGUUUAAUUAAUUAAGGUAUCAUGGGGUUGUCUAGUUAUUUUAUUAAUCUCCUUUAUAACCUAACAAGACCCUAAACUAAGACUUCAUACCAGUUCCUAAAAGAAUUCCCCUAAAAAUAGUUUUUUGUGAUUUAGUUUAAAAUUAGGAGUUUAGGGUAAUCGUUAAAUGGUCAUGUAUCAUAGAUAAAACCUAAUUAGGUGUUAUAUUUCAUAUACAAUUAAAUAUCUUUGAGGACUCGUUCAAAUGCCACUUAGUUUUCCGAAUUUCAGUCUCGGAGUAAAAAGUUAUGCACGAAAGAGUGAACCACUAUCAUUCCCAACUACGAGACCAUACAAUGGACAGUAGAUCAAUCUAGGGUCUAUGGGUUGGGAUCCGUCAAUUCAGAAUGUUUUGGUAAGUUAAGUUUUAUGUUUGGGGUUUGGGAAUUAAGUUGGCUAAUAAGUAAAGAGAAUCGAGGGUCAUUUAAGUGGCAAAUAACGUACUAUAAAUAGUUAAUUGGACCCUAAAACUAAUCCAAUAAUUCACCACAAGUAAAAACCCUAUAUCAUAAAUAACUUUACACCCAAAAGUUACUAAGAAACUUUCACUCAAAAACAUCAAUUGAAGACCUACAAGAAGUUCAAGUAAAACUUGAAGAUUGAAGCUUUUUCAACAUUCCUAAAUUCCAUUCUUUCAUCCAAACCAUGGGUCUCCUUUAAAAAACGUUUCAAAUGAUAAAUUAUUAUUGUUUAUGAUUAUAGAUAUUCAAUGAUGGGUGAGUUCAUGGUGUAUUGAUAGUUUUUUAAGACAGCCCCAAAGACGCAUGUUCUUCCCCUUCUUUCUCUAUUGUAAUCCCUUGAGUGGAUUGAUUCAUGAGUAUAGAUGGAUAAUAUAAAUUUCUACAUUGAUUAGCUGAUUCUACUAUAAAGUUACUCUACCUCAUGCUCUAUUCCUAAGGAUUAUGGUUGGGUCUUGAUGGAUGUCCUUAAAACUAGACCUCCUAGACUUGUAUUGAUCAUAUGUAAACCAUAAUGACAUAAAUAGACUGAUUUAUGAUUAUAUAUAGAGGUUUAUAAGUUAAUUCAAGUAACCUUUACGGUUUUUAACAAGUCCCCACAAGACCGAUGAUUUCCCUUCUUUCUCAACUCUAAACGUUAGUAUACUUUGAUUGAUGAAUGAAGGAUGAGAUUGUAGUAUGCUUUUGUAUAAUUAAUUCAUUAUGAUAUUACCCUUGUGGUGGAUGAAAAUCAUGAAUUUUGGGUUGAUUCAUGAAGAAAGCCUUGGAGGCUAUGAAUGAAGGUUUUGAAUUUUAUUAAUGUUUUAUGUUAACGUGCUUAUCCACUUAUGGUGAGGUACUUAAUUAAUGUACAUUCAUAUUUUGAAUUGUUGAUCAAAUUAUGGUGGAGGUGGCUACCUGAUAUAUGAAUUGAGGUGUUGAGUCUUGUUUCUUUUCUCGAAUACCCUAAUUAUAAGAAAGUAUGUUAUGAUAUGAACAUGUAUGUUAUGAAAGGAUAUGAACAUGAAUAUUAUCAUAUGAAAUGAAUAUGAAUGUUAUGUCAUGAUAUGAAUAUGAAUGUUAUGAUAUGAUUAUGUUAUAGUUGAUAUCUCGAAUGAAAAGCAAUUCGCCUAAACACUAUAUGAAUAUGAUACGUAUGGAACAUCCUCACAGGUUCUUGGGUUCAAUUUAUGAAAGGAUUGUUCUCAUAUUUGAAACCAUUGAUCUAUACACUAUAUAAAUAGCUAUGUACAUAAAUAAAUAUUUAUUAACUAAUGUAUAACUAAAGAAUUAAUGAUACUUAAAUGGGAGUUGUGCUUAGAACUGAUUGCAUAUGAUUAUGAUAUGGGUUGCUUCACGCUAGUAGUUUGGUUACGGUGUCUCGUGAGAUAGAAACCCACACCAGAGAAGUAUAUGGUUUUUAGAAAUAAAUAUCCAUAUCCCAUCUUUAUGUGUCCGUAUAGUUCUUACCUUGUGGAUCCUUAUUAUAGCUAGGUAUGUCUGUUUCACCUCGGGCAAGUGAAAUUUCUCUUUUUUGGUAUGGGGGUAGGCACCAGAUUCCAUGUCGCUCAUAUGGUCUAUGUCAGUUUUAGCUAAUAUCCCUAUUUUUUACAGAGAUGAACUACGAUACGAAUAUGAAUUAUUAAUAUGAAUAUGAACUCUAAUGAGGGCUACUACUUAUUGUAGGUAAGGGUAUGAGACUUUACCUAUACAUUUCACAAGUGGGUUCUUUUGAGGACUUCUUUUGAGAGUCUUUUAUGUAUGAAGACUUAUGAAUGAUACAUACACCUAUUAUGAUGUUGAUUUUGUAUGUGACUACACUUAUCUCUUCUUGAUGGCUUUACUUAGUAUAUAUGGGGGUAUGUUACUUCAUAUUUACAUUACACAAGUGAACAUAAAGGGGGUCAUGGGACGUGUCUUUAUGUUAUGAUAUUAAUUAAACUAAUGUUUCCAUUCCGUUAUGAUGAUUUAGGAAUUUUUGUAUUAUCUUCAAAGUUAUUACUAUGAUUGCCUUUCCUUACAAUUAAUGUAACAUAUGUAUGAUCAUAUCAUUUUUGGUGACUAGCGAAUAUAUUUAGGUCUAAAAGUGAAGUGCAUUACUAAGGUACUUUCCAAGGAGUGAUUAGUAGGGUUGGUAUUAUGGGAUGACAUUCACACAUUGCACAAGUAUCCCCUUGGCGUUACUAAGGUAAUGGAUUCACUAUUAAAUGAUUAUGAAUGUGAUACUAGCUAAUGUUGCACAUUAGAAAUACAUGAUAGUUAACAUAUAUUCAGAAAGUGUCUCAUAAGGGUUGUUGAUGUAAUGUCUAUUUAAUGAGAAUUUAUUCUUGGUAUUUUCUUUUUACUAUUUUAUGAUUGGAGGUUAUGUAAUGUUGAGAUUCAGAUGUGUAUUAUCUUGAUGUUGGAGACUAUGCUUGUUAUUGUUGGGAUAUAUCUUGUGUAAUAAUGCAAUGUAUGUAAGUUGCCUUCUUGGUUGAAUUCCCAAAUAUUCCCAACAUAAUAUUAAAAAUACCAUAUAUCAUGAUUUUAAAUGAAUUUUCCCUUUUAAAGCAUGUUUUAAAUGUUUUUAUGCAUCGCUUCCAUACUUAGUGGGUUUUCGUGCAAACUGUAGCACUCCGGAAGUUCCAUGAAUUAGACUAAAGUUUAAUCUAUUUAAUAACAUAUAAAAUGAUGUUUCCAGACCUAUAUUAAUGUAAUAAGUUCGUUUAGAAAAGAUUAGAGACAAAACGACAAAGAAAGACCUUGACGUCCUGAAACUAGCUAAUUUGAACUACUUGACGUCCCUAUAUGGGUGAAGGUUUAUAAGUGUCAAAUGAAGUACAAAACUUGUAAAAAUACUUCAAACAAGUAAUAUGUAUUACAAAGGAUCCAAAAGUAUGGUAACUACACCCCAAGAACCACCCUAAGGGUCCUUGGGGAGGACCCAAACAUGGGCAAGCAAGCUGCCAAAGCAGCCUGUGAGAGUCAAGAACCAAGGGGCUGUUGUACAACGUGCAGCCCAGACGAGGUUCACCGCCUCAAGAAUUGGAAGGCAGUCUUGAGACGCAGAUAUGUCACGAUGAACACUGCCUCGACCCGAAAUUUCAGAAAAAGAAUGGAAAUUAGCCCCGCGACGCGCAGCCACUUCCUAGAUUCGUUAAAGUCGUAUUAUAGGUAAUUUAACUUCACAAAAAGACCCAUUUAAGUUAAGGGUCUUUUUGAUUAUUUUGUAGUACGACUAUAUAUUGAAUUUAGAUCAGUUUUAGAUUAUGUUUUACACUCAUAAACUAAAUCAAACGAAUUUGUCUCAUAUCUCUAAAGAACACUCUUCUCCUAACUCCAUUGAAGAAAAAGAAGAGCUUAAGGAAGAAGACGAAGACUAAAGGAUUUUCUUCCAAAAUUUGUGCAUUGUUCAUUAAUAAGGUAUGGGUAUAUAACUCUUGGGAUUCCUUUACUCAAGACGUCCUCUCAAAGAUAGUUUUCAAGAAAUAAAAAUUCUAGGGUUUUUACUCUACAAAACGGGUUUUCUUAAUAACACUAGAUUUAUGACUAUUGAUGAAAAAUAAUGGUUAUCUAUGCUUGAUUUCACACAAAUUUUUGAGUAAUUGAGUAAUAAUAUUUGUACUUCGUGUGAUUCAUGAUUUCUCCCUUUAUUGAUGAUUUCGAAUAGGUUAUACUACUACUUGAUCACAUGUAAUUAUUGGGCUUGGGACUAUGACUAGAAUAAACUAUUUCAUGACCCUUAUCCUUAUUCUACUUUACGUACUAGUCUUGUUUAUGAGUUGAAUAGUUAGUAUAGGAAAUUAUAUUGAGUAUUUAAUUAUGUUAUUGUUAUGAUUAUUGUAAUUUAAACAUAAGUUCUUGAAUAAGGAUCUUGGAAUCAAGACGUAAGUCUUCUAAUGUCAUGAUUACUCUACGAUGUUUAUGUUAGCCUAUAAAUGAUGUUACUACGUUAAUGAUGUACAAAUAUGAUGUUAUGUAUAUAUGUUGGGCUGUGAAUAUGAUAAUUGUGAGAUCAUGAUAAUGAUACGAUAAUGCAAGUUUAUGAUAUUCUCUUAUAUGCUUUACAGAAAAUGAUUUAUGAUAUGUUAAUCUCACAAACGUACAAUGAAAGAAAAUUCUCAGCUAAUCUUAAAGAGCUCAUUAUCAUGUUUGUACAAAUAGUUAAUAUCCAAUGACUUAUGAUAAUAUUUAUGAAUAAAUGAUGACUUAAAGUUUAACCAAAAAAGGGACUUGAGCUUAGCACCGAUGGACUAGAUAGCAGAGGUGUCCCUUCCAUAGUUGGAAUGUAGGUUUACAAUGACUCUCAUGAGAUAUAGGCUUUCAUAUAAUGUGGAACUAUGGGUUUUUAAUAAGUCUCCUAAUUCUUGAACUAUGUUUCUACAUAGGAUACUACCUAGUGGAUCCACCUAGAAAGUUAUGUCAUGUUUGGUUCUACUUUUGUCGGUAGACUACCUUCUUUCGGUGUGGAGUUUUAUGUCACCGGAUUCCAUGUUUAUCUCAUAUGGUGUAAUGCCGGUUAAGGUGAAUGUCCCCUCAAGUAAAAUGAAAUACAAGUAAAUGGACGUUCACUAGGGUGACUUGAAGGAUCUACUUAGUAUCGGUAGGCGUAUAGGACUCUACGUAUACAUUGCACAAGUUGACUCUAAGGGAAAUCCUAGGAGAUUGUUCUUAUGUAAUAUGAUAACAUGAAAGGUAUGAUGCUUACGAUACAUGGUGUUACUCUUAUAUGAAGUUUGUUAGGUUAAUGAAAAAGUUAUUGGUCUAUAUUUCUUUACGAGGUGAUGACUACUUAUGUUACAAGUUAUAUGAAGCAAAGUCUUACUUAUGGUCUCCUAUCUUAUGUACUUGGUUGUGUGGGGUUAUAGGGCUUCUGUAACGAACUGUUUAGUCGUUUUGAGCAACAAACUUCAAUUCUGGAAAAACAGGCUGAGGCGACGGACCAAACGACGAUCCGUCAUGGGCACGACGGACCGUCGCAGGGUCUCGUUUCAAAACACUUAGAAAAUCUGAAAUUGGGUACUGAAAAUCGACUCUCUCAACUUCGUGACGGAAUGGCAGGACGGACCGUCACAGGCGUGACGGACUGUCAUAGAUUGUUCAGUGGAAAUUGACUCUCUGACUCUUGCGACGACCUGCAGGACGAACCGUCGCAGGCACGAUGACCCGUCACAGGUUGCGCAAAUCCCAGGUAGAAUCGGAUUUCCUUACACGUUUUAAGGGACGUUUUUGGACUACUCCUUCCUUACUUAUAGAUUUUGUGGGUUUAUAUUAAUAACUCAAAUUCUUGGGGGUUAAAAGAGGUAACCCUAAGUUAAUUAGUGGGGUAUUAUUGCCAUCUUUUACACUUAAUUAUAUGUUAACUAGGGUAAAAGAAAGAGGGUUUGAAUAAAGAAAAUAGAGAGAACAAGGAGAGAGAGAAAUUGAUCGAUCAAGAGGCAGAGGGAAUAUCAAAGCUUGGGAAAUUGCUUGUUGAUUCCAAUUCUUCAGUGGAGGUAGGUUAUGGUUUUCAUGCUUCAUAAGUAAACUCUUAAUAGUGAAUGAUAUGUAUUGGUAGUAUUGUAAACCCUACUAUAUGCUUAAUGGUAUGUUUGCAUGAAUAUGAUUAUGUGAUUGUGAUAAGAUAAGCAUGAUGAAAAUAUUGAAUCCCAAAUCUUGAAAAGAAACUUUAAUAUACAUUAUUAAUGAUGAUGCCUUGGUAUAGAAGAAGGCUUGAUGAAUUAAAGUAAUGGGAUUGAUGAUGCCUUGGAAUAGAGAAGGCUUGAUGAUUUACAGAAUGAUAUUAGUGGAUCGGAGUGUCACGUUCCGACACAUAGUAUUAGUGGAUCGGAGUGUCACGUUCCGACACAUAGAAUUAGGGGAUUGGAGUGUCACGUUCCGACAUAUGUAGGGGAUCGGAGUGUCACGUACCGACACAUGUAGAGGAUCGGAGUGUCACGUUCCGACACAUGUAGGGGAUCGGAGUGUCACGUACCGACACAUAGUAGUAGGGGAUCGGAGUGUCACGUACCGACACAAGAGGAGGAAAGAUAAUGAAUCUUGAAAGAUGAUAAUAUACUCAACUUAAUAUACUUAAUUCCCAAAUGAGUAUGGUGUUGAGGCUUGAGCCCUCAUGGAUGAACUUGAUGGUACUUAUUGAUGAUUAUAAUACUUGUUAUUGCAACAUGUUGAGUUUUAUAGUUGAUUUAUGAUAUUACUUGAUAUAUACUGUUCUCUAUUUUGAGUUGACCGAUGAUAUCUACUCAGUAUCCGUGGUUUGUACUGACCCCUACUGUUAUGUUUUUCUUCUUGUUAUUUGUGGAGUGCAGCAAACGUGCCGUCAUCUUCGACUCAACAGUAACUCAAGCCAGUCUUCGUCACACCGGAUCUUCAGGGUGAGCUAACGCUUCUAGCUUGGACUGGAUCUUCUCCUUCAUGUCUUGAUGCCUUGAACUUCCGGCAUGGACUAGCUUCUUAUGUAUUUUUAGCUUCUUAGAAACUCUUAGAAUUAGUAGUUUAAAGUAGAUGUUCUUGUGAUGAUGACUUCCAGGUUUUGGGAAUAAUAGAUGUUGAAUAUUGAUAGUUAUUGAAUAGGUUUUUAUUAAGGAGUUUAAGUCUUCCGCAUUACUUUCUGUUUAUAUUAUAUUGAAAUGUUAAGGUUUAGAUUGGUUUGUUCACUCGCAUAGGAGGGUAAGUGUGGGUGCCAGUCGCGGCCCGGAUUUGGGUCGUGACAAACUUGGUAUCAGAGCAUUAGGUUCGUUGGUCUCAUCACACAAGAACAGUUCUAGUAGAGUCUUAAGGAACGGUAGGGGGACACCUUUACUUUUCUUUGAGAGGCUAUAAGACUCUAGGAAAAUUUCACUCUUUCAUUCUUUCUUUCGUGCUACUACUUGAGUCCAAUUGGUAUCUAGGCGAUACGAAUUGGUAUCUGACCAUCUUCACUCUCUUUCGCAGAUGGUUAGAACUAGAGCAACGACUACGCCAACACCAACACCUGACAGACAAGAAACAGUUGAGCCAGCGACUGGGGCUGUGGCUCGAGGGAGAACAGCGGCAAGGGGCCGUGGUAGAGGUCGUGGGAGGACGUCCUCUAGAGGAAGAGGACGAGCACCGAGCCCAUCUGGUACUAGGGCGGUGAAUCCUCCACCGACUGAGGAAGUGAUAAGAGAGGGGGAGGAUGGGGUGAAUGAACAAGUGCAAAAUGAGGAAAUGCCACCCCAACCUACCCCAGAGAUGAUCAAUCAGGUUCUGGCUUAUCUUAGCGGUUUAUCUGAUCAGGGCCAGACACCCCCAGUGUUUUCUGCACCAGCACCUCAGGCUCCGGAGGUACAACAUGCGGCUACUAUGGCUCCCCGCAUGGAUGUUCCAUUGGAAAUAGGCACGUUUCCACGUCUGACUACUAGGCCUAUAAUGACAAGUGAUCAGCAUGAACUUUUCAGUAAGUUCUUGAAAUUGAAACCUCCAGUCUUCAAGGGUGCUGAAUCGGAGGAUGCUUAUGAUUUUCUAGUUGACUGUCACGAGCUACUACACAAGAUGGGUAUAGUAGAACGGUUUGGUGUGGAGUUUGUGACUUAUCAGUUUCAAGGGAACGCCAAAAUGUGGUGGCAAUCCCAUGUUGAGUGUCAACCGACAGAGGCACCACCUAUGACUUGGGCCUCAUUCUCUAGCUUGUUUAUGGAGAAGUAUAUCCCCCGGACUUUGAGGGAUAGGAAAAGGGAUGAGUUCCUGAGCCUAGAGCAAGGUAGGAUGUCGGUUAAUGCUUAUGAGGCUAAGUUCCGUGCACUGUCCAGAUAUGCCAUUCAACUCUGUUUCAGUCCUCAAGAGCGGAUUCACCGGUUUGUGAAGGGGUUGAGGUCAGAAUUGAGGAUUUCGGCCUUACAGAUAGCGGCAACGGCAAAAUCCUUCCAAGAAGUUGUAGACUUUGUGAUAGAAGUGGAAGGAGUGAAGCCAGACGACUUCACCACAACAUCGACAUCAAAAAGGUUUCGAAAGGGAAGUUAGUUUAAUGGUUCUUACACUAGAGGACAGGGUUCGGGAAGUUACUCAGUCCGACCAAUUCAGUCUUCACUACAGACUGUAGUUGGGGGACAACCUCAGACCGGUCAACACUUCUCCGAGGGGCCUAUGAUUGACUCAAGAGAAUGUUAUGGAUGUGGGGAGAUUGGACAUAUUAGGAAAAAUUGUCCCAGACAAAGUGAUAGACCCCCAAUAGCUAGAGGUAGAGGUGGUCAUGGUAGAGGCCGUUAUUCUGGAGGACGUGGUGGUCGAGGUAAUGGUGGUCACCAAAACGGCAGAGGUAAUGGGCAAACUGGGGCCACUACAUCACAACAUGGUAGGGGCAACGGACAGACGAACGAUAGGGCCCAGUGUUACGCUUUCCCUGGGCGGUCUGAAGCGGAGGCAUCUGAUGCUGUCAUCACAGGUAAUCUUCUGGUUUGCGAUUGUAUGGCUUCUGUAUUGUUUGAUCCUGGAUCCACGUUUUCUUAUGUAUCUUCCUCAUUUGCUAAUGGUCUAAAUUUACAUUGUGAAUUUCUUGAUAUGCCUUUUCGUGUUUCUACUCCGGUGGGUGAGUCUGUGGUAGUUGAAAAGGUAUAUAGGUCUUGUGUGGUAAACUUUGUCGGGAGCAACACUUAUGUAGAUUUGGUUAUCUUGGCAAUGGAUGAUUUUGAUGUGAUUCUGGGUAUGACUUGGCUUUCUUCGCAAUUUGCAAUCUUGGAUUGUAAUGCUAAAACGGUGACGUAAGCCAAGCAUGGGAUAGACCCGUUACUGUGGGAGGGUGACUACACUUCCAAUCCGGUCCGCAUCGUCUCCUUUCUUCGUGCUAAGAAAAAGAUUAUUAAAGGGUGUUUAGCUUUCUUGGCACAUCUCAAGGAUGACACUACCCAAGUACCUUCGAUUGAGUCGGUUUCAGUAGUUCGUGAGUUUCUGGAUGUGUUCCCUGCAGAUCUUCCUGGUAUGCCACCGGAAAGGGAUAUUGACUUCUGUAUUGAUCUUGAACCCGGUACUCGCCCCAUUUCUACACCCCCUUAUAGAAUGGCUCCCGCGGAGUUAAGAGAGUUAAAAGCACAACUUCAAGAGUUAUUGAAAAAAGGCUUCAUUAGACCAAGUGCAUCUCCUUGGGGUGCUCCGGUUUUGUUUGUAAAGAAAAAGGAUGGCAGUUUUCGAAUGUGCAUAGACUACAGAAAACUGAAUAAGGUAACCAUAAAGAACAAGUACCCUCUUCCUCGCAUUGAUGACUUGUUCGAUCAGUUACAAAGUGCUUGUGUCUUCUCUAAGAUUGACUUGAGAUCCGGUUAUCAUCAAUUGAAAAUACGGGCAACGGAUGUGCCAAAGACUGCUUUUCGAACGAGCUAUGGGCAUUACGAAUUUGUAGUGAUGUCCUUUGGUCAUACGAAUGCCCCUGCUGCGUUCAUGAGCUUGAUGAACGGGAUUCUUAAGCCAUAUUCUUCGUGAUCGUAUUUAUUGAUGAUAUAUUGGUAUACUCAAAGAGAAAGAAGGAACAUGAAGAGCAUUUGAGAAUGGUAUUGGAAAUGUUAAGGGAGAAAAAGCUUUAUGCCAAGUUCUCUAAGUGUGAGUUUUGGCUAGAUGCAGUGUCCUUCUUGGGACACAUGGUUUCUAAGGAUGGAGUGAUGGUGGAUCCUUCUAAGAUUGAGACAGUGAAGAAUUGGGUAAGACCUACUAAUGUGUCAGAAAUAAGGAGCUUUGUUGGGUGAGCCAGCUACUACCGCCGAUUCGUCAAGGGAUUCUCUUCUAUCGCUUCCCAAUUGACGAACUUGACUAAGCAGAAUGUCCCAUUUGUAUGGUCGGAUGAAUGUGAGGAAAACUUUCAGAAGCUCAAGACAUUGUUGACUACCGCACCUAUCCUUACCUUGCCAGUAGAGGGUAAGAACUUCAUUGUUUAUUGUGAUGCAUCCUAUUCUUGUUUGGGUGCAGUACUAAUGCAAGAGAAGAGUGUGAUUGCUUAUGCUUCAAGACAAUUAAAAGUGCAUGAACGUAACUAUCCCACUCAUGAUUUGGAAUUGGCUGCGGUAGUGUUUGCAUUAAAACAAUGGAGACACUAUUUAUAUGGGGUUAAGUGUGAGAUCUAUACGGAUCAUCGUAGCCUUCAGUAUGUCUUUACUCAGAAAGAUUUGAACUUAAGACAGAGGAGAUGGAUGGAGUUACUAAAGGACUACGAUAUCACUAUCUUGUAUCAUCCGGGGAAGGCGAAUGUUGUAGCGGAUGCUUUAAGUAGGAAGGCUGGAAGCAUGGGAAGUCUAGAUCACUUGCAAGCUUCUAGACGCCCAUUGGCUAGAGAGGUUCAAACUCUAGCUAAUGACUUGAUGAGAUUAGAAGUAAAUGAUAGGGGAGGAUUGUUGGCUUCUGUGGAGGCAAGAUCUUUCUUCCUUGACAAGAUUAAGGGAAGACAAUCUGAUGAUGAGAAACUGCAGAAUUCAAGAUAAAGUAUUGCGAGGAGAGGCUAAGGAAGCACAAAUCGAUGAGGAAGGUGUUUUGAGAAUAAUGGGAAGGGUAUGUGUACCCCGCGUCGAUGACUUGAUCAACACUAUUCUGACAGAGGCUCAUAGUUCAAGGUAUUCUUUACAUCCGGGUGCAACCAAGAUGUAUCGUGACCUAAACCAACACUUUUGGUGGAGUAGAAUGAAGCGUGAUAUUGUUGACUUUAUUGCCAAGUGUCCGAACUGUCAACAAGUAAAGUGUGAACACCAAAGGCCCGGAGGAACACUUCAGAGAAUGCCCAUUCCGGAAUGGAAGUGGGAAAGAAUUGCAAUGGAUUUUGUGGUUGGUCUUCCGAAGACAAUGGGUAAGUAUGACUCCAUUUGGGUGAUUGUUGAUAGGUUAACUAAAUCUGCUCAUUUCAUUCCGGUCAAGGUGACUUACAAUGCAGAAAAGUUAGCCAAACUUUACAUCUCGGAAGUGGUGCGAUUGCAUGGGGUUCCACUAUCCAUUAUAUCAGAUAGAGGUAGGCAGUUUACUUCUAAGUUUUGGAAAACAUUGCAUGCAGAAUUGGGUACUAGGUUGAACCUUAGUACUGCGUUCAAUCCCCAGACCGAUGGUCAGUCUGAGCGAACGAUUCAAGUGUUGGAGGAUAUGCUUCGUGCGUGUGUGAUAGAAUUUGGUGGCCAUUGGGAUAGCUUCUUACCCUUAGCGGAGUUUUCAUACAAUAAUAGCUAUCACUCAAGCAUUGAUAUGGCUCCAUUUGAAGCAUUUUAUGGUAGGAGAUGUAGGUCUCCCAUCGGUUGGUUUGAUGCGUUCGAGGUUAGACCUUGGGGUACUAAUCUCUUGAGGGAUUCGAUGGAAAAUGUGAAGUCUAUUCAAGAAAAGCUUCUAGCGGCGCAAAGUAGACAAAAAGAAUAUGUAGAUCGAAAGGUUAGAGACUUAGAGUUCAUGGAGGGUGAACAAGUCUUGUUGAAAGUUUCACCCAUGAAAGGGGUGAUGCGGUUUGGAAAAAGGGGUAAACUAAGUCCAAGGUACAUUGGACCAUUUGAAGUACUUAAGCGAGUGGGGGAGGUGGCUUAUGAGUUAGCCUUGCCUCCAGGGCUCUCCGGAGUACACCCGGUAUUCCAUGUGUCGAUGUUGAAAAGAUACCGUGGGGAUGGGAACUACAUUAUCCGUUGGGAUUCAGUUUUGCUUGAUGAGAACUUGUCUUAUGAGGAGGAGCCUGUUGCUAUUUUAGAUAGAGAAGUUCGCAAGUUGAGGUCAAGAGAGAUUGCAUCCAUCAAGGUGCAAUGGAAGAAUCGACCCGUUGAAGAAGCCACUUGGGAGAAGGAGGCGGAUAUGCGAGAAAAAUACCCACAUCUGUUUACAGAUUCAGGUACUCCUUUUCGCCCUUGUUUUCCUUCUUUUGAUCGUUCGGGGACGAACGAUGGGUAAAUUGGUAUCUAUUGUAACGACCUGUUUAGUCGUUUUCAGCAACAAACUUCAAUUCUUGAAAAACAGGCUGAGGCGACGGACCAAACGACGAUCCGUCAUGGGCACGACGGACCGUCACAAGGUCUCGUUUCAAAACACUUAGAAAAUCUGAAAUUGGGUACUGAAAAUCGACUCUCUGAACUUCGUGACGGAAUGGCAGUACGGACCGUCACAGGCGUGACGGACCGUCAUAGAUUGUUCAGUGGAAAUUGACUCUCUGACUCUUGCGACGACCUGCAGGACGGACCGUCGCAGGCACGACGUCCCGUCACAGGUUGCACAAAUCCCAGGCAGAAUCGGAUUUCGUUACACGUUUUAAGGGACGUUUUUGGACUACUCCUUCCUUACUUAUAGAUUUUGUGGGUUUAUAUUAAUAACUCAAAUUCUUGGGUGUUAAAAGAGGUAACCCUAAGUUAAUUAGUGGGGUAUUAUUGCCAUCUUUUACACUUAAUUAUAUGUUAACUAGGGUAAAAGAAAGAGGGUUUGAAUAAAGAAAAUAGAGAGAACAAGGAGAGAGAGAAAUUGAUCGAUCAAGAGGCAGAGGGAAUAUCAAAGCUUGGGAAAUUGCUUGUUGAUUCCAAUUCUUCGGUGGAGGUAGGUUAUGGUUUUCAUGCUUCAUAAGUAAACUCUUAAUAGUGAAUGAUAUGUAUUGGUAGUAUUGUAAACCCUACUAUAUGCUUAAUGGUAUGUUUGCAUGAAUAUGAUUAUGUGAUUGUGAUAAGAUAAGCAUGAUGAAAAUAUUGAAUCCCAAAUCUUGAAAAGAAACUUUAAUAUACAUUAUUAAUGAUGAUGCCUUUGUAUAUAAGAAGGCUUGAUGAAUUAAAGUAAUGGGAUUGAUGAUGCCUUGGAAUAGAGAAGGCUUGAUGAUUUACAGAAUGAUAUUAGUGGAUCGGAGUGUCACGUUCCGACAUAUAGUAUUAGUGGAUCAGAGUGUCACGUUCCGACACAUAGAAUUAGGGGAUCGGAGUGUCACGUUCCGACACAUGUAGGGGAUCGAAGUGUCAUGUACCGACACAUGUAGGGGAUCGGAGUGUCACGUUCCGACACAUGUAGGGGAUCGGAGUGUCACGUACCGACACAUAGUAGUAUGGGAUCGGAGUGUCACGUACCGACACAAGAGGAGGAAAGAUAAUGAAUCUUGAAAGAUGAUAAUAUACUCAACUUAAUAUACUUAAUUCCCAAAUGAGUAUGGUGUUGAGGCUUGAGCCCUCAUGGAUGAACUUGAUGGCACUUAUUGAUGAUUAUAAUACUUGUUGUUGUUACAUGUUGAGUUUUAUAGUUGAUUUAUGAUAUUACUUCAUAUAUACUCUUCUCUAUUUUGAGUUGACCGAUGAUAUCUACUCAGUACCCGUGGUUUGUACUGACCCCUACUGUUAUGUUUUUCUUCUUGUUAUUUGUGGAGUGCAGCAAACGUGCCGUCAUCUUCGACUCAACAGUAACUCAAGCAAGUCUUCGUCACACCGGAUCUUCAGGGUGAGCUAACGCUUCUAGCUUGGACUGGAUCUUCUCCUUCAUGUCUUGAUGCCUUGAACUUCCGCCAUGGACUAGCUUCUUAUGUAUUUUUAGCUUCUUAGAAACUCUUAGAAUUAGUAGUUUAAAGUGGAUGUUCUUGUGAUGAUGACUUCCAGGUUUUGGGAAUAAUAGAUGUUGAAUAUUGAUAGUUAUUGAAUUGGUUUUUAUUAAGGAGUUUAAGUCUUCCGCAUUACUUUCUGUUUAUAUUAUAUUGAAAUGUUAAGGUUUAGAUUGGUUGGUUCGCUCGCAUAGGAGGGUAAGUGUGGGUGCCAGUCGCGGCUUGGAUUUGGGUCGUGACAGCUUCACAUGCCCAUUCCACUUGUGGGUUGGGGGUGGGAUUAUUUGUAAGUGUUUUGUAUGCUAUCUUUAUAUUAUCUAUUGAAUAUGAAAUGUUAACAUGACUAUAUGAUAAAUAUGUCUUUGAUUAUGAUAAUGAUUUAUGUUGAUGGAAUCCUUAACUUGUAUAUGUUUUAUGGUAUGUGCAUUGAAUAUUUUAAAAUGUCUUAGCAUGCUUUCUAAGAAAUGAUCCUUUUCAUGCAUGUCCUUAAAUGUUAUGUCCAUAAACCCAUACUUAGUACAUGUGGCGUACUAACCCCAUUACUUUAUAUUUCUACAAAAUGUAAGGUCCGGCCAUUCAAUAUUUUGAUGGUUGAUUGAAGAAGCUUGAAACUCUUUCUCCAAGUAUUGGUAUAUCCUCAUGUUUGGGGAUGGUAUGUUUUGAUUAUUCUACAUUACCACGACUUUAUUAGAUUUAAAAUAUACUCGUAUUUCCAUUUAUAUUCUUUGGAUUCCUUUGUAUUAUGACCUAUAUGGCGUAUUGAUUAUUUAUUGGAUUAAUCCAGAUUCGUACUCUUUAGAUUGUUUCUAUAUGAGAAAACUUUUAGAAUAUCUCCAUGUAUGUUUUAAUGAUUGUUAGGUAUGAAGUCUAAGUAUACUUCACAUAGUAUUAAAAAGUUUUAGUUUUCCGCAAUUUUAACUGAUAACAUGUCAUGACGAAUGUUAAGGGCUUGUCUAAGUCCUAUGGGAGGAUGAGGAUGUCGGUCGCAUUUGGGGUUUACUCUUCGGGUGUGACAAACAUGAUAUCAGAGCAUGGUUAAAUAUACUUAGGUUAAAUGUCUCAUUUACCCACAUUAUAUAGUGUCUUGUUCAAGGUUGUGAAGUGCGCCACAAUUAUGGAUGAGAAUCUAUGUGAUGAAAGGAAACUUCUCUUUUCAUGGUAAUCAUAUAUCGUGCCUGUAGAGUUUUGACAAUCUGUAUCUUUUACCAUCUAAUCCCUUUUUUGUUGUUAUAUGCGAUGAACACAAGAAGGACAGACGCGAGAAAAGUAGAAGAUGAGGUUGCAAAUGUGGGAGCUGAUGCCCAAGGCAGUCAAGUUCCUCCUCAAGUGCAAGUGUUGCGAGUGAUCAAGUUCCGACAUAUCCUCUGACCGUGAUGGAUGGUGAGGUGAGGGAAGCCCUGUUCCAAAUGGUCAAAGACAUCACAACUGAAGCUCAAGACAUUACGGCACAAGAUACCAGAGAGAUUGUUCCUCAAGAGAAACGGGAUGAUUGUACUAUGGCUAGCCAUUUGAGAGAUUUUACAAGGAUCUCCCAUGUUCUUUGGAUAAGAAGUUGAUGAAGAACCCAAGACUUCCUUGAUGAGGUCUACAAGAUCUUGUUUGCUAUGGGGGUGACUACUACUGUGAAGGCUGAGCUUGCUGCCUAUAAAUUCAAAGAUGCGGCUCAGACAUGGUACAAUAUAUGGAAGGAUAAUCGGCCUUUUGGAGAUGGUCCCGUGACUUGGGAGGUCUUCGAAAAUGAUUUUCCUGAAAGAUUCUUAGGGAAAAAAUGGAAUCUAAGGUAGAGGAGUUAAUUAACCUUCGUCAAGGAGGUAUUAGUGUUAUGGAAUAUUCAUUAAAGUUCAUAAACUUGUCAAAAAUAUGCUUCUUCUUUGGUUUCUUAUGUUAGGGAUGAAAUAACUUGUAACGUAACGGGCGUUUCCGAUGAGAUUAAAGAAGAAUGUCGUUCAGCGAUGUUUCAUGACAAUAUGGAUCUUUUCAGGUUAAUGGUCCAUGCAGAACAACUAGAGGAGAGUCAUCUAAGGAAGAGGAACAUAGAAGCUAAGAAGGCAAGGUCUUUUGAGAUUAGUUAUUCUAAGAGUAGGUUUGAUGUUCAAGACAAGCCUAAAUUCAAAUAGAGGUUUGCAAACCAGGUUCUUUCAAAUGUCUCCAAGAAUCGCAAUGAUAGAGGUCCAAAUCCUAUGCCUCAAAAGGGAGAAAUGUUAAUCCACCAAGAGAAAGACCAACUUGUGGUAAGUGUGGAAAGAAACAUAUGGGUGAAUGUCUUGUUGGGAAAAAUAUUUAUUAUGGUUGUGUCAAAGGUUGCCAUAUAGUGAAAGAUUGUCCUAAUGUGAGAUGUGAAGGAAAGGGGAAUGGCCAAAUACAACUAAGCGGUCCGAGCUCUGAAUCUCCAAAAAGGAACUAUUUUUAUGAACUGAAGGCUAGGUGUGAAAAAGAGAAAUCUCCGGAUAUUGUGACUGGUAUGUUACAAGUUUUUUUAUAUAAUGUUUAUGCCAAACUCAACCAAGCGGUCCGAGCUCUGAAUAUCCAAAAAGGAACUAUUUCUAUGAACUCAAGGCUAGGACUGAAAAAGAGAAAUCUCCCAAUGUUGUGACGCGUAUGUUACAAGUUUUUUUAUAUAAUGUUUAUGCUUUGCUUGACCAAGGUGCUACCCUAUAUUUUGUUACAUGUUUUAUGGCUAUGAAGUUUGAUGUACUUCCUGAUGUUUUGAUCGACCCUUUUCUGUUUGUACCCCAAUGGGUGAAAUUUCGUGUUAUGCUGCCCAAUAGACUUAUUCUUGUUGAUUUGGUAGAACAUGACAUCUUUGAUUUUGAUAUCAUCUUCAGUAUGGAUUGUCUUCAUGAGUGAUUUGCUUCAAUAGAUUGUAGAACAAGGGUAGUGAAGUUUCAUUUAUCAAAUGAACCCAUUCUAGAGUUGAAAGGGGAAAGUUCUAUAUCAAGGGGUCAAAUCAAUUUUUGCUUGAAGGCUUGCCGGAUGAUAGCCACGGGUUGUUUAUACCAUUUUGUGAGGGUCAAAGACCUAGAAUAUUAAACUACUACUAUUGAGUCAAUCCCCGUAAUGAGGGAAUUCCCAGAGUUUUUUCCUGAUGACCUUCCAGGAGUUCCUUCCCGAAUGGGAAAUUGACUUUGGCAUUAACUUGUUACUGGAUGCGAAUCCCAUUUCAAUUCCUCCAUGUUGUAUGGCUCCGGCUGAAUUGAACAAGUUGAAAAUCCAACUCAAAGAUUUACAAUAUAAGGGUUUUAUUAAACCUAACAUUUCUAGAUGGGGUGCUCUGAUCUUUUUUGUGAAGAAGAAGGAUGGGUCCCUUAGAAUGUGAAUUGAUUAUUGCCAACUUAAUAAAGUAAUCAUAAAAAACAAGUAUCCUCUCCCUCGGAUAGAUGAUCUAUUUGAUCAACUCCAAGAUGCUAGCUACUUUUCCAAGAUUGACUUAAGGUUGGAAUAUCACCAACUUAGGGUGAGAGGUGAAGAUAUUCCCAAAACAACUUUUUGAACUAUAUAUGGUCACUAUGAAUAUGUAUUUUGCGUUAACAUAUUCCCCAACAGCGUAUAUGGACCUAAUGAAUAGAGUUUUCAGAGAUUACCUCGACUAAUUUGUGAUUGUGUUCACUCAUGAUAUUUUUAUAUACUCCAAGAAUGAAAAUGAGCAUGAGAUAACUUGAGGGUAGCCUUGCAUGUCCUCAAAGGAAACCAGCUUUAUGCAAAAUUUAGCAAGUGCGAAUUUUGGUUGAGAUCAGUUUCUUUUCUUGGCCAUAUUAUCUUUGGUGAGGGUGUAGAGGGUGAUUCGAAGAAGAUGGAUGCGGUCAGAAAUUGUCCUAGACCUUUGAUACCCACUGAAAUAAGAAGUUUCUUGGGUCAAGUCGGGUAUUGUGGAAGGUUUGUUGAUGGAUUUUCAUCCAUUACUUCUACUUUGACAGAUUUGACCUAAAAGAAGGUGAAGUUUGAGUGGUCCAAAGCUUGUUAGAAAGGUUUUCAAGUAUUGAAAGAUAAGCUUACGUCCACUCCGAUAUUGACUUUACCGAAGGGUGAUGAAGGCUUUUUAGUAUAUUAUGAUGCUUCUCAAGUGAUCCUGGGAUGUUUCCUCAUGCAACAUAGCAAGGUUAUUGCUUAUUCUUCUAAGCAACUCAAAAUUCAUGAGAAGAAUAUCCAAGUCAUGAUCUUGAGUAAGCUAUUGUAGGUUUUUCCUUGAAAAUAUGGAGACAUUACUUUUAUGGUGUGCAUGUUGAUGUUUUACUAACCAUAAAAGUCUUCAAUAUGUGUUUACAAAAAAAGAGUUAAAUAUCCGACAGAGAAUAUGGUUUGAACUUUUGAAGGAUUACGACAUGAGUGUCCUGUACCCUCAUGGCAAGGUCAAUGUUGUUGUGGAUGCUUUAAGUUGCAUGACUAGGGUAGAACUUGUUAGAGAUGUUCAUAGGUUGUCUCAUUUAUGUGUGUGAUUAGACGAUUCUCCAAAUGGGAGAUUCUUGGUCCAUUAUACCUCUAACUCAUCAUUAGUGGUUGAGGUGAAGUCUAAGCAACACCUUGAUCCUCGAUUGAUGGAGUUGAAGAAAUCAGUACUUAGUAAGUUCGUUGUGUCAUUCUCCCAAGGGGAAGGAUGGUGUUCUUAGGUACCAAGGGAGAUUAUGUGUACCGGAUGUUUAGGAUUUGAGAAAUCGAAUACUUGAAGAAGCCCAUGGUUCUCGCUAUUUUUUACAUUCGGGUGCCACCAAAAUAUAUCAAGACAGUCUAUUGAUGGGUUGGUUUAAAAAGGGACAUAGCGGAGUUUGUUACUAAGUGUCUAAACUGCCAACAAGUUAAAAUCGAGCAUCUAAAACCUAGUGGUUUAACCCAAUUUAUGGAUGUACCUACUUGGAAGUGGGAAGCCAUCAAUAUGGAUUUUGUUUUUGGGUUGCCUAAAACCCAGAGGCAAAAUGAUUCUAUAUGGGUUAUUAUGGAUAGAUUGAAAAUAUCUGCCAAUUUUGUUCGUGUUAAGUCUAUUUAUACUACUGCAGAUUAUGCAAGAAUCAAUAUUAAUGAAAUUGUGAGUCUUCAUAGGAUUCUUUUGUCAAACAUUUCGGAUAGAGGUGCCCUCUCAGUUUUGGAAAUCUUUCCAAAAAGGUUUUAGUGGACAAGUGAAACUUAGUACUUCUUUUCACCCUCAGGGAGAUGGUCAAGCAGUACGUACCAAUCAGACCCUUGAAGACAUGUUAAGGUCCUAUGUUAUCGAUUUCAAAGGAAAUUGGGAUGAUAAUCUAUCUUUGAUUGAGUUCUCCUACAACAAUAGUUACCAUUCGGGCAUCUCCAUGGCACCAUUUGAAGCUCUUUAUGGUAGAAGAUGCAGGUAUCCAGUUGGAUGGCUUGAGGUUGGUGAGUCCUCACUCCAUGGUACAGAGAUUAUCUAUGAGGCUAUAGAGAAGGUCCGAACAAUAAAAGAUAUAUUAAAGAAAUCAUAUAGUCGGUGUAAGUCUUAUGCCUUUAUACUCUAUUCUUGCGCUUAUACGAAAUGUUUAUGCAUGUGUCUUCUUGAGAUGUUUAUGUUUUGUUGUUAUCUUGAGAAGAAUAAUACCAUUGUAACUUCUUGAUGUUUUUUUAACGCAUGAUAAUGUUGAGAAAUAAGUUCCUCACUAUGUGUUAUGAAUAUGGAGCUCUUAUAUGUGGUGCAUCAUGAAUUGAGUGCUAUGUGUUAUGUUGUGAUAUGUGUUUAAAGGAUUUGUGAAGUACUCCUAUAAGAUGUGACUCAUUAUUAUUAUAUGUUGUUAUUGGUUGGGCUGCUAAUGUUAAGUCUACCUAACCUUCAAAAAAGAUUUCAGUAUCAUUCGGGGACGAAUGUUCCUAAGGGGGGAUAAUGUAAUACUCUUGAAGUUCCACGAGUUAGAGUAAAUAUUAAUCUAUUGAAUAAUGCUUAAAAUGAUGUUUCUUGACAUAUAUUAAUGUAAUAAGUUCAUUUAAAAAUGUCAGAACCAAAAUGAAAAAGAAAGACCUUGACAUCUGGAAACUAGCUAAUUUGAACUAGUUGAUGUCCCUACGUUUGAUGAAGGUUUUAAAAUGUCAAAUGAAGUGCAAACUUGUAAAAAAACUUCAAAUGAGUAAUAUGUAGCACAAAGUAUACAAACAUCCGGUAAGCACACCCCAAGGACCACCCAAAUGGUCCUUGAGGAGGACUUAAACAUAGGCAAGAAAGUUGCCAAAGGAGCCUGGGCGAGUGUAAAGAACCAGGGUGCUGAUGCGUGACGCACAGCCCACACGAGGCUCACUGCCCCAAGAAUUGGGAGGAAGCCUAGCGACGUGGAUCUGUCAUGAGGCACACUGCCUCAACCCAAAAUUUCAGAAAAAAGAAUGGGAAUUGGCCCUGCGACGCGCAGCCACUACCUAGAUUUUUUAAAGUCAGACUUUCAUAAUUUAACAUCACAAAAGGACCCAUUAAAGUGAAGAGUCUUUUGGAUAUUUUGUGGGAUGGAUACAUAUUUAAUUUAGGUCAGUUUUAGAUCACUUUUUACACACAUAAACCAAAUCAAAAGAACUUCUCUCAUCUCUCUCAACAACACUCUCUUUUCCAAACUCCAUUUAAGAACAAGAAGAGCUUAAGGAAGAAGACGAAGACUUCAAGCUUUUCUUCCAAAAUUUGUGGAUUGUUCGUCAAUAAUGUAUGGGUUUUCCGCUCUUAGGAUUCCUUUACCCAAGAGUUCCUCUCAAAGAUAGUUUUCAAGAAAUAAAAAUUCUAGGGUUUUUACUCUACAAAACAGGUUUUAAUCCUAACUCUAGAUUUAUGACUACAGUUGAAAAAUAAUGGUUUUCUAUGGUUGAUUUCACACGAAUUAUUUAGUAUUUUAUUAAUAAUGUUGGAAUAUCAUGUGAUGCAUUGUUUCUCUCUUAAUUGAUGAUUUCGAAUGGGUUAUACUACUACUUGAUAACAUGUUAUUAUUGGGAUUUGAACUAUGACUAAAAUAAACUCUUUAAUGACCCUUUUCCCUUAUUCUACUUUACGAACUAGUCUUGUUUAUGAGUUGAAGAGUUAGUAUUGGCUAUGCUAUUGAGUAUUUCACUAUUUUGUUGUUAUGAUUGUUGUAAUUUGAAUGUAUGUCCUUGAAUAAGGAUCUUGGAAGCAAGAGGUAAGUCUUUUAAAGUCGUGAUUUCUCUAUGAUAUUUAUGUUUGCCUAUAAAUGAUGUUACUAUGUUAAUAAUGUCUGUAUAUGAUGCUAUGUAUAUAUGUUGGGCUGUGAAAAUCAUAGUUGUGAGAUCAUGAUAAUAAUUUGAUAAUGCAAGUUUAUGAUAUUCUCUCGUAUGCUUUACACAAGAUUUAUGAUAUGUUUAUAAGAGAAAUAAAGGGAUUCAAUGAAACAAAAUCUUUAUCCAAUAUUAAAGAGCUCAUGAUCAUGUUUAUACAAGGAUUUAAUCUCAUAUUACUUAUGAUAAGAUUUAUUGAAUAAAUGAGAACAUAAAGGUUAAUCAAAAAGAGACUUAAGCUUAGCACCGAUGGACUAGAUAUAAGAUUUGUCCCUUUCAUAGUUGGAAGGUAAAUUCAAUAUGACUCUCAUGAUAUAGAGGCCGUCAUGUAAUGUGUAACUAUGGGUCUGUAAUGCAUCUCCUAGUUCUUGAACUAUGUUGCCACCAUAAGAUACUAGCUAGUGGAUCCACCUAGAAAGCUAUGCAUGUUUGGAUUUACUUUAGCCGGUAGACCACCUUAUUUCAGUAUGGGGUUUUAUGAUACCGGAUUCCAUGUUUAGCUCGCAUGGUCCAAUAUCGGUUAACGUGAUUUUUUCCUCAAGUAAAAUGAAAGACAAGUAAAUGGACGUUGAUUAAGAUUACUUGAAGAGUCUACUUAGUAUAGGUAGGGGUAUGGGACUCUACCUUGACACUUCACAAGUUGACUCUAAGGGAAGUCCUAGGAGAUUGUUCUUAUGUAAUAUGAUAACAAAAAAGGUAUGAUGAUUAUGAGACAUGUUGUUUCUCUUAUAUGUAGUUGGUUAUAUUAAUGAACAUGCUAUUGGUUUAUAUUUAUUUACAAGUCGUUGACUACUUAUGUUACGCUUUAUAUGAAGCAAAGCUUUACUUAUGGGCUCUUAUCUUAUCUACUUGGUUGUGUGGGAUUAUGGGGAUUCACAUGAAUAUUGCACUUGUAGGUUGGUUUGUAUGUGUUCUGUAUGUUAUAUGUUUAUAUGAUCUAUGGAAUAUGACAUGUUAACUUGAUUCUAUGAUAAUAUUUCUUUGAUCAUAAUCAUGAUUUAAGUUGAUGGAAUCCUUAACAUGUAAAUGUUAGAUGGCACGUGCAUUGAAGAUUUCCAAAUGUCGUAGCAUGCUUUCUAAGAAAUGAUCUUUUUCAUGCAUGUCCUUAAAUUUUAUGUCCGUAUACACAUACUUAGUACAUGUGGUGUACUAACCCCAUUAAAUUAUAUUACUACAAAUGUAGGGUCUGGACAUUGAAAAUUUAGAAGGUCGAUUGAAGAAGGUUGGAACUUUUUCUCCAAGUGUUGGUAGGUCCUCAUGUUAUAGGAUGUUAUCUUUUCAUUAUUCUAGCUUACGAAGAUUUUAGUAGAUUUUAAGAAUACUUGUAUUUCCUUUUAUGUUCUUUGGAUUCCUUUGUAUUGAGGGAUAUAUAGUGUAUUAACUAUUUAUUAGCUAAGUCCAGAUUCGUACUGUUUAGAUGGUUUUUAUAUGACACAUCUUUUAGAAUAUCAUUAUGUAUUUUUUCAUAAUUGUUAGGUAUGAAGUCUAACUAUACUUCACAUAGUAUUAUAUGUUUUUAAUUUCCCGCAAUAUUAACUGAUGACAUGUCAUAAUGAAUGUUAAGGGCUUGUUUGUGUCUUCGGAGAGGACGAUGACGUCGGUCGCAUAUGGGAUUUACUCUCUGGGUGUGACACUAACACUUAUUUUCAAAAUUUUCUACAAAGUUUAGGGUUUGGAGAGGUGAUUUUCUAUACUUGGAAUAUAGGUUUCUAAUGAGAUCAGAGAGGAAGACUUGGGGUGUCCUCAUAGUUCGAGGACAAACCUACCUUCUCCACUUACAUCUUUAGUUUAUUUCUUAAGACUAUUAUAUGGUUCGUUUCCUAAUCUGUAUUAAAAAUAUUUAAGCCUAAUGUAAUUCUAUGUUAUAUAUGGUAUAAGACAUAGUGUUAUAGAUACUCUUUAAUUUUGAUAAGAGACUUCGAUUGUAAAUAAAAUAUUUGAUUUUCUGUAUUUCUCUAUGUCUUAUGGCUUGACGAAUAUGCUAAGGGUUUGUUCGGAACCCUUCGAAAUCAAGCACGUCAUAUUACGACUAGUGGUGCUUUCGGGUCGUGACAUAUUGCCACCAGGUAUGUGGAUUUCACUAAUGGAUUCCUUCAUCCAGUAGGUCCCUAGAUUUCAGUCAGAUUUUUUUUUCUUUAUGCAUUGUUUAUACCUAGGGUUUGUACAUGUUAGAUAAUUAUUGUGCUUUAAUAGUUAUAGUAUUCUAGAUCAUAUAAUUUCUAUUUUCAUGACAUUGUUUCCUAGUUCCUUGAACGAAACUCAGAACCUAGUUGUGUAGAUUCAUUUAUUUCUUCUAUUGUACUAGCUAGGUAAGAUAAAUAAAUAUAAAUACACUUGAUUUCAAAUGUUUUAUUAUCAAUACUUAAAUGUUGCACCCUCAAUUAGAAUAUGAAAUAUUUAGCUAUCAUGUAUAAAUCAGUUAUGUUAUAUUGUAUACAUUUCUAGUUGCGAGUAGACUUCAGACCGAGUGUACUAGGGUUAAGUGUACCCGUAUAGUCCCAGAACUACAUGCUCCCAUAUGUUCAUAACUUUCCUCUCUUUGGGCAUUAAAUUUAGUAAUUACGCCAGUCAUACCUUUAUACGCUUUGCAAUAUACGUCGGGUCCUCUUGAUGGGGCGUAUACAUCAUACUCCACGAUAUAGCUCACAUGGUUUUAUGUCGGUUAUUAUUAUCUCCCACCUUCAGACUUUAGUUCAAUUGAUCGGGUUUUUCCUUAAAUGUCAUAAUUCAGUCUCAGCAUGUUGUGCACUUGGUCAUUGUUUUUAGUUCAGUUCAUUUUAGUAGAAUAUAAUAUUUCCAUCAUGUUUAUAUUAUCUAUUUGUUGAUUCAUAGGGUUGGAACAGUCGUGAUCUCCCCACCUUUAAUUGUCUACCAGAAUUGACAGUCUAACUACAUCAUUAAGCGGGGAUAAAUUGAACCAACUAUGGAGCAUUCAGUUGUCUUCCCAUAUUUAAGAUAAGCCAUGCAACUUGGUAUAUCCCAAUCCUAGACAUAAAUUAAUUAAAGUGACAUGCAAGAAAAGAUCAUGCUCCUUAUAUUGUACGCUUAAUCCCGCUAUUCCUCUCCCAAGUUUAAAAGAUGUUACACCUCAGAAAUCCAAUGACCCAAGCUAGAGCUUUAAUGAACUUUAAUAACUUAAAUGUUUUCAAUUAUAUUUUAAGACCUAAACUAUCCUAACUAAGUUGAUUUGAAAGUGUUAGUGCAUUGGUGUCAAUGAAUGACCGUGACUUCCGAAAACUAGUAAAAAUGAUCUAGUGUGUCUUUAAGUCUUGUAAAGGGUUUAAAUAGUCGUAUGAGGGAUAAACCUUUUGAUAAUACUUUUAAUACAUGUUACUACUUUUUUAGGGUCUAAAAAUUUGGUCAUGACACCCAGGGACUACCCUAGGGGUCCUUGGGGAGGACCCAAACAAUCGACACAAAAGUUAUAAAAAAAUAUAGCAAAUAACCGCACGUGCAAUUGAUGACUCGUCAAUGUUUCCCCCUCCCCCUCCCCUCCCCCCCCCCUUCCUUCAAUGGUUUUCGUAAGUACAAACUUAGAAUCCUCCCCAACUUGUACAAAAAUUCAGACUCAGUUCCAAUCCAUGAGUGUCCAGUACGGUUCAUUGAUUUGUUGACGCCCCCGUCCAUGGGGUUUCAUCAAUUGGCACAAAUCUCACUACCUCCACACGGCUUAGGUGGCGUUAGUUCAAUUAUUAGUUAUUUAAUUAAUUAUUUAACACUUAGAAAAGGUUAUAAUUAUUUUUUAGGUAUAUUAAUGUAUUUUAAGUGAUAAAACAAAUCCUACACCUUAUAACUCAGAAAACACAAAAGCUCACACUUAUCUCUAGAUUAUGUCUCUCUAAGCAAGGACUCCAUUGAAGAAGAACGUCAAAGCUUCAAUUAGAGUUCAAUAACAACAAUUUUUUCUGCAUUAAUCAUUAAGUAUUGACAAGGUAUAGGAACUCUUCACUCUUGGGACUCGUUUCCCAAAGAGGUUCCUUCAAAUUGAUUUUCAAUGUUGUUCCAACUUUCUAGAAAUUAUUGAAAUCCGUGGGUUACCUUUAAAUUUGAAUUAUUUUGUGUAUAUUUGAUUAAUAAUGAUGAAUUAUGAAUGUUUAUGAAUUAUUUGAUGUAUUAUCUUAGGCUUUUGACCUAAUUCCUUAAAGACCCAUGAAGAGUCGUAUGAAGGUCAAACUUUGUGAAAAUACUUAGGGUACACCUUACUGUGUGUUAAGGGCCAAACCGUAUGGGUACGAAUCCCCAAUGACCAAGCUAAGGGCCCAGGAGGAGGACCUAAACAUUGGACCAUAGUAAACAAUGGUUCGUUGAUGGACUCACGCCCCCGUCAAUAGAGGUCGUGAUUCCAUACUUAGAAUAUAAAUCCUUGGCUGUAUUUAGAUGACUCUCUGAAUCAAACCAUGAUUUCCAUGAAGGUACAUACAUGGAAUGACAGACCGUCGAUUGAGGGCAUCGAUUAGUGCCUGUGAACUUUUGCAUUACAUGGCAAAGCCAAGGGUGGUUUGGUUAAUUCCACCCUUGGCCAAUUAAAUGUUGGUUCGGCAUAAUUUAUCUAUUUUAAUUAUAUUAAGAUAUUUUAACUAAUUAAAAAAGUCUUCUGACUUCAAAAUCCCAAAACCACAAGGCUCCCACUUCUCUCUAAAAUUUUAUCUCCCAACUCAAGACCCCCAUUGAAGAAGAAGACCAAUCAUUAUCUAGGGCUUGAAGAUCAUGACUCUCCCCCACAAAUAUCCAAGGAUUGUUCAGUUAUGGAGGCUAUUCACUCUUGGGAUUUAUUUACCCAAGAGGUUCUUCAAAUUUUGGAUUUCAAUGUUCCUAAAAAGUCUACUUUUCAUCAAAUUUUGUGGGCUAUUCACUCUUGGGAAUUAUUAACCCAAGAGGUUCUUCAUUGUAUAAUGUUGGUCUAUUCUUGAUAACGUUGUUCAAUUGAAGUAUGAAGGAUGAUGUUAUGAAUGUGUGAUUAGUGUAUGAACAUGAUGGAUGGGAGAUGAUAAUAGGUGUAUGAUUAUGAAGGACUGUAAGUGAUUCUCUUAUUAAUUUUAUUACUAUGAUUAUGAUGUAAUGUUCUCACAUAAUAUUAGGUUGAGAUGAAAGGACUUCUCAUCCUAGAACCUAGGAGACAUGAUCAUGUUAUAUAAGGGGCUAGACUCCUAAGACCUACGUUACAUAUUAAUGUUAAGGAAGACUUGAUGAUACUUCAAAAGGGAAUUUAUCUUAUCAGUAAGUGGACUUGACAAUGAGAGUUGUCCCUUCAAAUCGGAAGGUGGGUUCACCAAAGGUCUCGUGAGGUGGAAAGUACAAUGAGAAGUAUCAUAAAGAAAUUUUCUAGUAACAAUCUCCUAGUUCUUUAACUAUGUAUCUCCAUAGGAAAACUUGCUAGUGGGUCCACGUAGACGCUGUUAUGAUGUAUAUGUCCUACCAUGGCAAGUAAAAUGCCCUUCUUUCAGUGUGAGGGGUUGACACCGCAUUCCGUGUUUAGCUAACAUGGUCUAAGGUCGAUAAUGGAAAAGUUUCUGAAAGUGAAAUGAAUGAAUUAAAGUAAAAAGAUGCAUAUUAACUAGAAUAACUUGAGAUGUGUACUUAAUUUAGGUAAAGGUAUGGGACUUCACUUAUACAUUGCACAAGUGGACCUUGAGGGGAUUCCUAAGGUAAUUUUUCUAUGUACAUAUGUUAUGAAUGAAAUAAUGUUGAUUCUAUAUAAUUUUGGCCACAUAUUAUGUUGCUUUAACUUUAUAUACAUGGUGUUUGAGUAAAUUCCUAUAUAUGAGAUUAAAUACACUUGUUAUGAUGUUAUAUGAUGUAAAGGCACUGUUUAUAUUCUAUUUCCUAGUAUACUUAGUUUAUGUGCAGUUAUGGGGCUUCACAUAUAUAUGACACUGGUUGUCUUGAAUUUGAUUGUGAGUAGGGUCUUGUGAUAUAUUGAUGAAAUAUUUCUUAUGGAUUUACUAUGAUUUUACUCUUGACAAUCUUAUGUGAAAAUAUCUUAUUGUUGUUAUGAUAUGGACUAGUAUAUGUUUUUCGAAUGUGCAUGAAUGCUUUUAAAGGUAACUUGGCAUGUAUAUAAACUAAAUGUCUUUUUGUGCAUAAUUUCAAUGAUUUGCUUGCAUAUGUUUCCAUACUUAGUACAUGUGGUUUACACUAACCCAUAUUAUCUUCUAUUUCCUACACAAAGUGUAGGUUCGGGCCAUUAAAGAUAUUUGAAUCCUUCUUGAAGAUCUUUGACAGAUAAUCCCAAGUUGGUGAGUCAUCAAGUACGAGGAUGAAGAAUCUUAGCUAUAAUUUUCAUAUUUACUAUUCUAAAGACUUCAUUUUAUUUUCUUUAUGACACAUAUUUUAAUUAUGUAAGGUCUAUAUACCAAAUUUUGUACUCUUAUGCUUGAUGUUUUGUGUGAGACAACUAUAGGUUAUUUUCAAAAUAUGAUAAGUCUAAGUGAACUUCAAAUGUAAAGUAUUGAUUUCUCAAUAUUUUUGUUGUUUCAAUGAUGCGAUGAUGUAUGCUAAGGGCUUGACUAAGGUCUCUAAGAGUACAAAGACGCCAGUUAGGUCUAGAGGGUGGUCCCCAGUCAUGAAAAACUUGGUAUCAGAGCAGAGGUUGAAUAAUAAUAGGAAUAAUGUCUCAUAGAACAACGUCUAUGUAUAGUUUUGUUCAUAAUUGUGAAGUGCGCCUCACUUAUGAAUGAGAGGCUAUGUGAUGCUAAGGAAAUUCUCACUACUUUGGUAUUCUUAAGUCAUGCCUCAAGAGUCUUAACUCUAUGAAUCCUUUUAUUCAAAUAAUUUUCUUGUGGUUAUAGGCUAUGAAUACUACAAGGACAGCUGCAAGAAGCGUUGAAGAGAAGAUUGCUAAUGCAAAAGUUCCUCACAGAGACAACCAGGCUCCUCCUCAAAAACAAGCUCCUCUAGGUUACCAAGCCCCGGUCAAUCCUCUGGCUUGAAGGAUGGAUAGAUAUGGAUGGCUUUCAUAAACAUGUCUCAAUCCAUGAAUACUCAAGCUCAAGAUAUGGCGGCUCAAGCAAACCAGGAAGGUGCACCCCAUGUGAAUUGAAAUGCUAGUAUCAUGGCUUCUUGCUUAAGGGACAUCUGAUGAUGAACCCUCCCAUGUUAUUUGGGUCUAAGGUUAAUGAAGAUCCCCAAUACUUUCUUGAUGAGGUUUAGAAAAAAAAUAUAUAGAAUGGGGGUGAGUUCAAAUAAGAAGGUCGAGCUAGGCUCAUAUCAACUCAAGGAUGUGGCCAAAACAUGAUACACUCAAUAGAAAGAAAAUAGGGCUUUCAGAGAGGGUCCCAUAAGUUGGGAUGUCUUUAGGAGGGAAUUUUUUGAAAGGUUCUACCCAAGGGAUAAAAGAGAGGCAAAAGUGGAAGAGUUGAUCGACCUUCUUCAAAGAGGUAUUAGUUUUCAAGAAUAAUCUUUGAUAUUUACUAAGUUGUCUUAAUAUGCCUCUUAUUUGGUGUCCAAUCCUAGAGAUGAAAUGAGACAAUUUGUGACGGAGGUAUCCGUUGAUCUUGUUUUGAAGAAUGCCGUGCAGCAAUGCUUCAUGACAACAUGGACAUUUCUCGUUUGAUGUUGCAUGCUUAACAAGUUGAGAAGAGUAAUGGUCAAGAUGAAGAAUAGAGAGUUCAAAAGGGCAAGGUCCAAUUAUUGAGGUACUUCUAAGUGUAAUUUGGAGAUUCAAGACAAAUCCAAGUGUAAUAAAAUAUUCCCCAACCAAACUCUUCCAAAUGUCCCAAAGUCUUGUAAGGAUAGGGUGUCUAAGCCUAGGUCUCAAGGAGGAAAAUUGGUGAUUCACCAAGUGAGGUCUGACAAUGCACCAAAUUUUGCAAGAGGCAUGUGGGUAAUUGUUUAAUGGGAACAGAUAAUUGCUUUUGUUGUGGAAAGAGUGGUCGUAUGGUUUGAGAUUUUUCCAUGGACAAGAGUCAAGGAAAGUAGAGUAAUCAACAACAGGCAAGUGGUACAAAUUCUGAUGCUCUUAAGAGAAACUGCAUGUAUACUCUCAUGUCUAAAGGUAAUCAAUAGGGUUCUCCCGAUAUUGUUACCGGUAUUUUGCAUGUAUUUUCAAUUAAGGUUUAUGAAUUUCUAGAUUCCGGUGCCACUUUAUCUUCUGUGACUCUUUUAGUCACUAUGAAGUUUGAUAUGCUCCUCGAUGUCUUAGUUGAACCUUUUUCGGUUUCUAGCCCAAUGUGUGACUCCUUUGUUGCUUAAAGAUCUAUAGGAUUUGUCCCGUAUUAUUGUCCAAUACAGUUACAUUUGUUGAUUUUGUAUAACUUGAUAUGUUGGAAUUUUAUAUGAUAUUGGGGGUGGAUUAGUUACAUUCUUGUUUUGCUUCAAUUGAUCGUACAACAAGGGUAGUUAAAUUCCAAUAUCCUAAUGAACCUAUUUUAGAAUAGAAGGGGGGAAAUUCAAUCCCUAGAGGUCAAAUCAUUUUGUGUCUAAAAUCUUGUGAGAUGAUUUCUAAGGUAUGUCUAUUUCAAAUUUUGAGAGCCAAGGACUUUGCACCCGAAGCCCCUCCUUUGGAGUUGGUCCCCGUAGUGAAAGACUUUCCAGAAGUGUUCCCUCAUGAUUUUCCCAGAAUCUUUCCCCGACGGUAAGUAUAUUUCAGAAUAGACUUUAUGUAGGAUACUCAAACCAUUUCAAUUCCUCCUUACAGGAUGGCUCCAACCGAGUUGAAACAAUUGAAGGUUCAACUCAAGGAUUUUCUAGAUAAGGGUUUUAUACAACCAAACAUAUCGCCAUGGGGCGCUCCGGUAUUAUUUGUGAAAAGGUAUGAUAGGUCUCUUAGAAUGUGUAUUGACUACCGGCAAUUGAACAAGGUCAUUAUGAAGAAUAAGUAUCCUUAUCCUAGGAUUGAUGAUUUAUUUGAUCAACUCCAAGGUGUGAGGUACUUUUUUAAAAUUUAUUUGAGGUCAUGGUAUCACCAACUAAGAGUUAGAAGAGGUAACAUACCUAAAAUGGCUUUCCAAACAGGGAAUGGUAAUUAUGAGUUCCUAGUCAUGUAUUUUGGUCUAACUAAUUCCCUGGCAUCUUUUAUGGACCUUAUGAAUAGGGUGUUCAAGAAUUAUCUUGAUUCAUUUGUAAUUGUCUUUAUUGAUGAUUUCUUGGUAUAUUCUAAGAGUGAGAAUGAAAACAUGGAUUAUGUGAGCAUAAUAUUGCAAGUCCUCAAGGAACAUCAACUUUUGAUAAAUAUAGUCAGUGUAAAUUUUAGUUGAUAUCAAUUGUUUUUCUUGGUCACAUUUUUCAUGUGAGGUUAUAGAGGUCGAUCCAAUGAAAACGGAGGCGGUUAAUAAUUGGCCUAGACCUUUGACUCCAACAUAAAUUAAAAGUUUCUUGUGUUUAGGCGGGUAUUAUAGGAGGAUUUUUUAUGGGUUUUCAUCUAUAUCUUCUCCUUUGAUAAUCUUAACCCAAAAAGGUUUUGUUUGAGUUGUCAGUAUCUUAUGAAAGAGGUUUUCAAGAGUUGAAAGAUAAGCUUACCUCCUUUCCCAUUUUGACUUUACUGGAGGGUACCAAAGGGUUUAUUUUUUAUUUUGACGCUUCUCAAGUAGGUCUGGAUUGUGUCCUCAUGCAAUAUGUUAAGGUGAUAGCAUAUACCUCUAGAAAACUCAAGGUGCAUGAGAUGAACGAUUCAACUCAUGACCUUCAAUUAGCGGUCGUAGCGUUUGCUUUUAUGAUAUAGACACACUAUCUAUAUUGGGUGCAGGUGGAUGUGUUCAUCGACCAUAAGAGUAUCCAAUAAGUUUUCACUCAAAAGGAGUUAAAUCUCCGAGAAAAAAGGUGGCUAGAGCUUAGAAAAGUCAUGAUGUGAGUUUCCUAUACCACCUCGGAAAAUCCAAUGUGGUUGUCGAUGCAUUGAGUCAAAUGACUAUGGGUAGUGUAUCCCAUGUUGAUGUAGGUAAGAAAGUGUUAGUGAAAGAUGUUGAUAGAUUGUCCUAGUUGGGUGUUCACCUUGAAGAUUCUCCAAAAGGGAGUUUCAUGGUUCAUAAUAGCUCCAAGUUAUCUUUAGUGGUUGAGGUAAAGUCUAAGCAACUUCUUGAUCCUAUUAAUGGAGUUGAAGGAAUCAGUUCUUAGUAAGUUCAAUCAGUCAUUCUCCAAAGAGGUGAAUGGUGUACUUAGGUAUCAAGUAAGUGUGUAUGUGCUGGAUGUGAAUAAAUUAAGGAGACAAAUUAUAGAAGAGGCUCAUGUUUCUUGAUAUUCCAUUCAUUUGGGUGUCACAAAAAUGUAUCAUGAUCUCCAAGAAGUAUAUUGGUGGAACAUUUGAGGAAUGAUAUAGCGGAGUUUUUGGCCAAAUUUCCUAAUUGUUAGUAAGUCAAGGCCGAACAUCAAAGGUCGUGAGUGUUAACUCAAAAUAUACCUAUCCCUACUUGGAAAUAGGAAGAUAUGAAUAUGUAUUCCUUGUGAGUUUGCCUCGUACACGAAGGCAAAAUGAUUCAAUAUAGGUUAUUGUUAAUACGUUAACAAAAUAUGUGCAUUUUAUCCCUGUCAAAGAUAUUUAUUCGGUGGACUAUUGUAGGUUGUAGCUUAAUAUGAUUGAGAGUUUUCAUGGGGUUCCUUUGUCUAUCAUCUCUGAUAGGGGUCCCAAAUUUACCUUUAGAUUUUGAAAGGCAUAACAAAGUGGGCUAGGUACCAAGGUGAAACUUGGUAUCACAUUUCAUCCACAAAUGAAUGGUUUGGCUGAACGAACCAUCCAAACCAUGGAGAGCAUGUUGAGGAAUGUGUUAUAGACUUAAAGGUUAAUUGGUAUGACUAUCUACCAUUAAUUUAACUUUCCUACAAUAAUACCAAUCAUUCAAGUAUCGCCAUGGCACCCUUUGAGGACCUCUAGGAAAGGAGAUAUAGAUCUCCAAUCGGUUAGUCUGAGGUAGGUCAGUAUGCUCUAAUAGGUCCCGAGCACAUAUAUGAGUCCGUGUGUAACAGCCCGAGGGUAUACCCUAGAAUUUAUGGAAUCCUCAAAUCUUUAGAUUGUGUACUCAAUAUCUCGGAGGUCUUAUACAAGCCCAUAGACAUCAUUCAUCACAUAAUCAUAAAAAUAAGAAAAAUUUAAAACUUUUAAUAGACAAUCAUAUAUAUAUAAAGUAUUAUAAUACAUAGUUAGACUCUAAGUCUCUUUUGUCAUCUUAGACUCAACAUCAAUAGAGUAGAAUAGGGACACGACCCUUAAAAACAUAAAAUAAUAUCCAAACUAUUAUAUAACUUGAAUAAGAACUUGACAUAGGGAAAUCCAUGAAUCAUAAAGAUCCCUUUCCUUGAACUUGGGAUAUCUAUCCAAGAUCUUCACAUAGGAGACAUCCUCUAGUCAUCACCACCUACACUUUGUGUAAUGGUAUUAGUAAAAGAAUGCACAAUAACUAAAACAUAAAUCAUAUAAAUGAAUAAACAUGUACACUAUUCAUAAUAACACAUAAAGCCAAUUAUCACAUUUUGAAGCACAUUCAUUCUAUAAAAAUCAUUACCCCUCUUUUACCUUGACUUUUUUUCUUAAACAACCCUCAAAUGUAUUUACUAUAAUGUACCACCUUAAAGCACCUAAGAUGGACUUUCAUAAAUAUGCUUCAUCAAAACGACCACAUAUAAUCUUAAGGUCAUAGGCACAUCAUAAGACUUCAUAUGAAACCAUAACCUAAUAUAACCCCCAGGUCACACUAGUGCUAUGUACAAGUAUUAUCCUAUGAUACUACCCAUACCAAGUGUUACUAAUAAUUCACCUUAGACUAGGCAUAUCAUAUUAAACAAGUCAUAACACCUUUAUUUAUUACUAGACAUAAAGAACAUACUUCAUAGUAUCAUAUAAGGACUCAUUCCUUUACUACAAUAGUAGCCAUAACUCAUUUAGUUCAAAUAAAAGGCAAACCACCCGCAUAAUCCCUUCACAACUUACUUAUGCAAUGUACACAUGGUAUCCCAUACCCCCACAUAUACUAAGUAAACUGACUUAGGAGUCUUAAGUGUAAUUCACAUGCAUACUUAUAAUUCAUGUCUUAAGAUAAAAAAAAAUCACUUAAAUAUGCAUUCAUACAAAUCAUACAUAACAUAAGUCUUCAUUAAUAAAAGUACUAAUCUUAUUUUUUCUUGGAGUUCACUAGUGUAAUGCAUGGGUACUGUCUAUAGUACUACCCAUACUAAGUAACCUCCUUAAGGAGUUGUGAUUAGAGUCCAUAUUCUUAUCUUAGUUCAUAUCGUAAAUUUUGGGAGACAUAGCAAUAACCGACAUAGACCGUGUGAGCUACAUGGAAUCAAAUGUUUUACUCCCACACUGAAAAGAGAGUGUACUACCUUCCAAAGUAGGACCUUCAUAUAUAAUAGCUAUUCUAGUGGAUCUACUAAGCUAAGACCUACGAGGACACGUAGUUAUGACACAAGGAUGUUGCUACUACAAACCUUGACUUGCUAGACGUGGAGGUUUCCAUAUCAUGAGACAAUAUCUAUGUUGGGAACCUGGACAUGCUAAAUUUGAAGGUUCUCUUGUGGGAAGUCGGACAUACUAAACGUGAAGCUCCCAGUAUCAUUCUUCAUGUUCACUCGGUUCUUAGCUCAAACUCCCUUUUUAAACAUAUUUAAGACUUUAAAAUAUUAGUUCAUAAAGUAGGCUUUUGGAGCUUGCUCUUUCAUACGUCAUAUAGCUCAAAGGUUUCUAAGAUUAGAAUGUCCUUUCAACAUAAAACCUACUUCAUCUGAGAAUGUCCUUUCACAUAAUUUCAUCAUUCAUACAAUCAUGUGUGUGUACAUACAUAUGUGAGAUCUACCUUCACAUAAGCACCUCUAGGAACACAUGUUCAUAAGUUCAUUAAUCAUACACUUUACAUGCAUAGUAAUAGAUAAGGGUGCAUAUGGGAACUAUCCACCAUGAAUCUAUCCUACUCAUAAUUAUGCAAGAGUAUGUGUGUGUGUCCAUAUUAGUCAUCAUUCUAUCAUAAGAGCAAAAACCUAUUUAUUUAGGAAACCACACUCCAAGGAUCAUAACACAUAUAUAAUACACCCCUCAAGUUAUGACCAACUCGUAAAUAGAACACCUAGGAAUCUAGGUCACACACCCACAAUACAUCAUGGGAGACAAGAGUAUAUUUAACAUUAGAAUAGAAGAAUAUAUUUAACAUUACAAUAGAAGAAUCUUACAUUCAUAAGAUCACGUAUUCAUAUAGGGUUCAUAUAGGUUAGGGUCAUUCUACAAGAGUAUUCAUCACAACUAGUCAUAUAGACCAUACCUAACCUAACAUGAUCAUCACAUAUACAUAACCUCAUCAAGGCCCCUAGAUAAUGAUACGACAAUUGAAGACUCCACAAGGUAUUCAUACUUGUGAUCAUCAUAACCACAAUUCACAUUACAACAAAUGCCUUCAAGGUGAUGAUCAAAAAUACUGGAGUAGACAAGAAAGUAAACACCGCCACCAUAAGUGGACCAUACCAAUCAACACAAUUAAUUUUAUAUUCUAAGCUAAUUAGAGGAAAUAGGUUAAGUUACCAACUCUCCAAUAUAUGAUCAUCUAGAUCAUCUCCCAAACUAUUCAAUAUCAGUUAACAUAGAUAACAUUAGGAAUAAGCAAUACACUAUGAUCAAAUCAUAAUUGGAUCAUCAUCUAAUAAAGAUCACAAGACCAACCUUAAACGCUAAUUUGAAGGAUUAAGGAGAUCAUGGGUUCUUCAUGGAAUUAGAUUGAAAAUAAUGUUUAAACCAUUGAUUAAUCAUAAUUAUAUCAUUAGAAUGUUUUCUAAAUCAAUUUGAGAAUGAACCCAUGGCUAGAUUGAAAGAUAGGAUUUUGACCUUAGAAUCUUGUUUGAAAAACCUUUGGAAGAAAUCCUUAGAUGGAGAUUGACUAAGGAUGAAGGGCUACCAUACCUAAGCCACGAAAUUUACAGAAGAGUGCACUUGAAAUCCAUCUCUAUGGGUUGUUCUUGAGUUUGGUCUUCAAUAGAGGUUUUGGAUUUUCAUGUAUGGGAGGGAAGGUUUGAUUUGGAAGGGUGAAAUUCUAAAUUAGAGUUUAGGCUUAUAAAGUGACUUAAAAUACCUUAAUAGGACAAAAAUAGCCGUCCACAUUUUAAUUGGAAUGUAGGGUGAAUUUCCCAAUUCACCCCUAGCAUGGCAGUGCAUAAGAUGAAAUUGCAGGCUCGAAACGACGUGUAUGGGCGACAGACCACCGAUGGAACAAUAGUGCCGUACUGCACAACCAUUGUUUUUGACUGAGGCUCCAUUGUGAGGGCUGAGAUCACACAUCUAUCUGUUGAAAAAUGCCCCUAAUCAAUGGGGUGUCAUUUCAUAGGCGUAGUUCGGACACUGCCAAGGAUGUCAUUGGCCAGCCUUUAGGUCCUCCACAAGGACCUUUUGGGUGGUCCUUGGGGAGUCAAUCCCAGACGUUUAGAAUCAAAAUACGCUCAUCUACAACUUCGGAUCCUUACCUAUCAAUUUAGUCCCCAAACAACAUAUUAAACAUACAAAGGAACGCUAGGACACACAAGAACAUCUAAAGACUAACUUUCUAACGUCUUGGCCGUUCUUAGACAUUUGACCUCCAAAAAACAUCAAAUAAACUAUACAUGAUCUAAAACAACUUAUAGACAUCACUGAGUUUGGAACCCUGAACAGACUAUCAUAUACCAGCGAUGAGAUGAAAACAACCUCCAUUCGAUGGUUUCCGUGCCACCAUAAAGGCAUAGUAUCAAAAGAGUGACCAAAACAUGUCCCUGACCAGAUCGUAAGUAGCGUCCCGCUGCUGGCAUGCACUUCUUAAUUUAAUCAAAGAAUUUGAAAUGUUAAAAAGUAAAGGGGCGAACGUCAGCAAAUGCUUUAUGCUUUUUAGAGCAUUUAGAGCAUGUACCUGCUAUUUUUUUUCAGAGCUGGUGGAACAACGCAUUCAACAACUCCUUUACAAAAUACAAACCCUGGGAAAUCUGAAAUGUAUUCUUGUUCGUAAGCUCUUUUCUUUAGUUUAACUAAGUUCUAAUUAAGAAUAAAAAGUACCUAUUUGAUUAAAGGAAUCUUUCACAAAAUUUCCAACUAAUACUAAUGUUAUCAAUUAAUGAUAAAGGUUGAUUAUUAGACCAUGGUAUUUGAUUUGCCAAAUACAUUAUUAUUGUAAGCCCUUUGAUAUAUAUAGAGACACCCAAUUUUUAUUUUUAUCUCUAUAAAUAAAAGAACAUUAUAAUAAGAUCACAUAGGCGUAGUUUGGACACUGCCAAGGCAGUCAUUGGCAAGCCUUUGGGUCCUUCACAAGGACAUUUUGGGUGGUCCUUGGGGAGCCAAUCCCAGACGUUUAAAACCAAAAUAAGCUCAUCUACAAGUCCGGAUCCUUACCUAUCAAUUUAGUCCCCAAACAACAUAUUAAACAUACAAAGGAAAGCUAGGACACACUAAAACAUGUAAAGACUAACUUUCUAACGUCUUGGUCGUUUGACCUCCAAAAAACUUCAAAUAAACUACACAAGAUCUAAAACAACUUAUAGACAUCAUUGAGUUUUGAACCCUGAAUAGACUGUUGUACACCAGCGAUGAGAUGAAAACAGCCUCCAUUCGAUGGUUCCCGUGCCACCAUAAUGGCAUAGCAUCGAAAGAGUGACAAAAAAAUGUCCCUGACCAGCUCGUAAGUAGCGUCCCACUGCUGGUCGGCACUUCUUAAUUUAAUCAAAGAAUUUGAAAUGUUAAAAUUAAAGGGGCGAACGUCAGCAAAUACUUUAUGCUUUUUAGAUCAUUUAGAGUAUGUACCUGCUAUUUUUUCAGAGCUGGUGGAAACCGCAUUCAACAACUCCUUUACAAAAUAAAAACCCUGGGAUAUCUGAACCGUAUUCUUGUUCGGAUGCUUUUUUCUUUAGUUUAAUUAAGUUCCAAUUAGGAAAAUGAAAAGUCCCUAUUUGAUUCAAGGAAUCUUUCACAAGAUUUCCAACUAAUACUAAUGUUAUCAAUUAAUCAGAAAGGUUGAGUAUUAGACCAUGGUAUUUGAUUUUCCAAAUACAUUCUUAUUUUAAGCCCUUUGAUAUAUAUAGAGACACCCAAUUUUGAUUUUUAUCGCUAUAAAUAAAAGAACAUUGUAAUGAGAUCACAUAGGCGUAGUUGGGACACUGCCAAGGCAGUCAUUGGCCAGCCUUUGGGUCCUCCACAAGGAUCUUUUGGGUGGUCCUUGGGGAGUCAAUCCCUGAUGUUUAGAACCAAAGUACGCUCAUCUACAAGUUCGGAUCCUUACCUAUCAAUUUAGUCCCCAAACAACAUAUUAAACAUACAAAGGAACGCUAGGACACACUAGAACAUCUAAAGACUAACUUCCUAACGUCUUGGACGUUUUUGGACGUUUGACCUCCAAAAAUCUUCAAAUAAACUAUACAAGAUCUAAAACAACUUAUAGACAUCAUUGAGUUUGGAACCUGAACAGACUGUCGUACACCAGCGAUGAGAUGAAAACAGCCUCUAUUCGAUGGUUCCCGUGCCGCCAUAAUGGCAUAGCCUCGAUAGAGUUACCAAACCAUGUCCCUGACCAACUCGUAAGUAGCAUCCCACUGCUGGUCGGCACUUCUUAAUUUAAUCAAAGAAUUUAAAAUGUUAAAAAUGAAAGGGGCGAAUGUCAGCAAAUGCUUUAUGCUUUUUAGAGCAUUUAGAGCAUGUACCUGCUAUUUUUUUAGAGCUAGUGGAACAACGCAUUCAACAACUCCUUUACAAAAUUCAAACCCUAGGAUAUAUGAACUGUAUUCUUGUUCGGAUGUUCUUUUCUUUAGUUUAAUUAAGUUCCAAUUAGGAAAAUUAAAAAUCCCUAUUUGAUUCAAGGAAUCUUUCACAAAAUUUCCAACUAAUAAUAAUGUUAUCUAUUAAAAAGAAAGGUUGAUUAUUAGACCAUUGUAUUAUUUGCCAAAUACAUUAUUAUAGUAAACCCUUUGAUAUAUAUAGAGACACCCAAUUAUUAAUUUUAUCUCUAUAAAUAAAAUAACAUUGUAAUGAGAUCACAUAGGUCCAACAUAAUUGUCCUAAUAGGCAGCCAAAGAAAGGGAGGAUCAAUUAGAUAGCAAACGAAGUUGAUGUUGAAUUAGAAAGAACGCCAAUAACUAGGAACUGAGUCGGGGAAUUCUAACUCUUUACAUGCUCUUGUGACUUUCUUUUAAUUUAAGGUAACAUGUUAUUAACCUUUUAAGUCUCAUGUGAGGCUCUAGAUACCUUAGUUAAUUUUUUAGGGUUGUUACAAUAUCCCCUACUUGGAAAUAUUCGUCCUCGAAUGAAACUUGGAACUUUUAAAAUGCUUUCAAGAACUCAAUGAACCAUAGAGCAGCUCACAUCAUUCAACAUGUUAUCACAUGAUAGUAAGUGCAACAAACUUAAAAGGAACAUCAUUCGUAGAAUCAUGCAAUUAAAGCAACAUUAUCAAACAAGAACUACUUCUACAAUUAUUUUCAUGCUUACAUACUUCUUUAUACUCAUUGCCAUGUGGAGGAACUACCUUCUUCAACUUUUAGGCAUGCCCAUUAUUUAACCAUCAGGUUAGACAUAUAAUGUAUCUCAAUCUCACACAUAUGCACAAUCCACACUUGAACUCACGAGAAAAAUAAAGCAAUAUAUUUAGUUGAACAUAAAUCAUGAAUUAUGUAGGUCAACUACAAUCUUAUAGUCUAGACAUAAUAAGAUCAAGGUCAUAUAGGACACUACCAUGUAUUUAUUCUCAAACUUUCUUCCUUAUGAAGUCAACAUGGAAACUUACACACACACUUCACAACAAUAGGAAGCUAUUUCCCAUAGUUUAAAUUCCUAGCACAAUGCUAGCUUUCAUACAUAUGCAUUAUUUAGGAAAAUUGUUAUAGUAUAUAGGCACACAUUGAUGACAUUGCCUAGACAUACCAUCACCUCUCAAGAUUGAGCCUACAUUAAUACUUCUUAAGUCAUAAAAGUCACACAUUUUAAAGGGACACGUCUUUCAUUAUUGAAAUAAAACUCAAUACCUCGUUAUUGGGCCAAAAAUCCCUCACAACAAAACUGUUGUCAAGCAUGUUUAUCUAGACUCCUCAUGAAGUUAAAUGCGCAUUAAUCAUAUCAAGAGUCACAACAACAUGAGAAACAAUCAAUUUGAUAAAAAUCCCUCUUUCAAGCAAUAAUGACCUUCCAAUACAUGCAUAACAUAGUGUCAAUUAAUACAUGCAUAACAUAUGGAGAACAGGCAACUUAUAUUCAUCUGCAAGACUCCCAUCAUGAACAAGCUACUUAGGAACUGUUUGUUUUCAAGCUUGAGUAGGAAUAGAAAGAAAAGAUAUGAAUAUCUACCACCUUACUACUCACAGUAUCAUCCCCUACUUAGGGUAAACCCAUUUAAGAGAAACUUACCUCACUUAAGAAAUAUUUCUGAACAUCACCACCUUUCAUCUGUCAAGCACGAACCAUUUCCCACUAGCUAUUCACUCACACUCUACUAUGUGAGGAAUGCAAAAGAUCACAAAUGAGUAACUAACUUACUCCACUUCAUAUUCAUCACUUAAUGUGAUUCUUAAUCUAGGGAAGUUCAAGAGAACACAAAAUAGGACAAUUAAUGCAUUCAUAACCUUACCAUCCAUGCAUAUUAUCUUCCACUUGGGGUAAUCCUAAUCAAAAAUUUUCACCUCAUGAGCUUAAACAUCAAGCUCAAGGCAAGGCAAGACCAAACCCAUAUACUCCUCACAUAAGGAGACUUGACAUCAUUGAGGGUUUUCCAUUUGAACUCUCAUCCCAAGGAGAUUACUAACUCAACAAUUAAGAUAGGUCAUGCUACCAAUCCCCAUGAGGCCUUAACUACAUAAUGAAUGCCAAGGGUAACUCCAUACCUCAUCACAUUCUACCACAAAGUUCUUACAAGGUAAGAAGUUUCGAAUUCAAUCCUACCAGACUAACCACCUUUUGUGGAACCUUCCAACCAAUCAUACCUAAAUACCAUCUAAGCACUUUUUUUCAAUUAGCCAUACUUAAUAUCCAACUUAACUUACAAUUGGUCAUGCUUAAUAUCAAACCUAAGAUACAACUAACCACUUCAAAGUAGGUCAACAUCAAUUCUCUCCUUCUCUUGAGAGUUAAGGGGUACAUAAUACCCUCUAAAUCACUUUAGGGGAAAACAUACUUCCAACUCAUAUGGAAUAAAAACCAUUCUACCUUUUUCCCCACUCUUAGAAUAGGUUCUUAUAGGGAACUAAUCAACUAGUCGUAAGGGUUCUCCCAUUAACAAUCAUUCUCCACAAUCACCCCAGAAGGUAAGCACACUACAUUCACUCCUUAGGAUCAAGCCUAAACAAAAGACUCCUAACCACACAAGGGAAACUAUGUAACAUCACAUAUCCAGGGGUAACAUGCACCUUAAGCUAUUUACCACAUUUCUCCAAAAUAUUCCAAGCCUAAACCAUGACAUUAUACUAUCAUCUUACAAAACCAUAUAGCAACCUGUCAUUCGAAAGGGAAUUCCAUUAAACUAUAACAACUCUUAACAAGUUAUAACCAUACUAUAACAUGAUAUCUCAUUUUAUAAAUCACAUAUAUAGCCAUAAAUGACAUCACAUGAAAGCAUACUAAAUUUACCUUCACAUAUACUUAUCAAGUCAAAAUAAGCAUAGUAAGCAUCAAAACUCAACUUUACUCUGUCAGUCCUUCAGACAUCAUCCCUACUAACAAAUCACAUCUAAAUAACUACAACAUAAUUAAACAUUAGAGAGAGAUCAUAUAGAGUUAAAUUCUACGGAAUGACACAAGAGUAGUGAAGAAAGUGAAACUCUAUUGUCCUAUAGCCUCUCGCUCAUCGAUUUGUCACGAGUCACCACCGAUGAAUUAGACUCUAAUCGAUGUAGCAAUAUAAGAAUUUAGACCAAAAAACCAUUUUCUAUAACCAUAUGCUUUGAUACCAUAUUUCUAACGACCCGAGGAUAUACCCUAGAAGUUAUGGCAUCCUCAAGUCUUCAGACGAUGUACUCGACAUCUCAGAGGUCUUAUACAAGUCCACAGACAUCAUUCAUCACAUAAUCAUAAAAAUAGCGGAAAAAUAAAAGGUUGUCAUAGCACAUCAUAUGCUAGAAUCAUUACUUCAUAUAUGAAGUAUCAUAAUACAUUGUUAGACUCUAAGUCUUUUUUGCCUUAUUAGACUCAACAUCAAUAGAGUAGAAUAGGGACACGGCCCUUAAAAACAUAAAAUAAUAUCUAAACUACUACAUAAUCUGAAUAAGAACUUGAAAUAGGGAAAUCCUUGAACCAUAAGGAUCCCUUUCCUUGAACUUGGGAGAUGUAUCAAAGCUCUUCAUUUAAGAGACAUCCUCUAGCAACCACCACCUACACUUUGUGUAAAAUUAUGAAGAAGAAUAAUAUUAGUAAAAGAAUGCACUAAGCAUGGCAACCAUGUAAAAAACAUACAUUUAAAUGGGAUAUGUACUAAGAAAUCAUGCAAUUUGUCUUUUUAGUAAAUUUCAUUGACAUUCGCACAAUAACCACAACAUAGUUUAUAUGCAUAAAGUAUACAUGUACACUAUUCUUAAUAACAUAUAAAGCCAAUUAUCACAUUUUGAGGUACAUUCAUUACAAACAACUCAUUACCCUUCUUUUACCUUCACUUAUUUCCUUAAGCAACCCUCAAGUGUUCUUACAACAAUACAUCACCUUAAAGUCACCUAAGAUGUUCUUUCAUAAAUAUGCUUCAUCAACAUAACCACAGAUAAUCAUAAGGUCAUAAGCACAUAAUAAGACAUAAACUUCACAUAAAAACCAUCACCUAAGACAACCCCAAAGUCUCACUAGUGCAAUGUAUGAGUAGUAUCCUACAAUACCACUCAUACCAAGUGGUCCUAAGAAGUCACCCUAGACUAGGCAUAUCAUAUUCAACAAUUCAUAACACCUUCAUUUAUUAAUAGACAUAAGGCACAUGCUUCAUUGUAUCAUAUAAGGACUCUUUCUUUUACUACAGCCUUAGUCAUAACUCAUUUAGUUCACAACAUAUGCAAACUACCCUCACAACCCCAUCACAUGGUUACUUGCUCAAUGUACACAUGGAGUCCCAUAACUCCACAUAUACUAAGCAAUUCACUUAGGAGUCAUGAGUGUAACUCACAUAUAUAGUCAUAAUUCACGUCUUAACAUAACAAAUUCACUUUAAUAUGCAUUCAUACAAAUCAUACAUAACAUAUGUCAUCAUUCAUACAUGUACUGAUCUUAUCAUUUCUUGGAGUUCACUAGUGCAAUGCAUGGGUAGGAUCCAUAAUCAUUCCUAUACUAAGUGACCUCCUCAAGGAGAUGAUUAGAGUCUAUAUUAUUAUCUUAAGUUCAUCUCUUAACUUUUGAGAGACAUAGCAAUAACUUACAUACACCAUGUAAGCUACACGAAACCGGUGUUCUACUCCCACACCAAAAAAAGAAGGUACUACUUGACAAGGUAGGACAUUCAUACAUAAUAGCUAUUCUAAUAGAUCCACUAAGAUAAGACCUAUGGGGGCACUUAGUAACGAAAUAAGGAGAUUGCUACUAGAAACCUUGACUUGAUACACGUGGAGGUUUCCAUCUCAUGAUACAACAUCUAUGUUAAAAUCAUAGACUUGCUAAACGUGAAGGUUAAAUUGUGGGAAUUUGUACUUAUUAAAUGUGAAGUUGCCAUUCUCAUUCUUCAUGUUCAAUAAUUGCUAAGAUCAAACUCACUUUUUAAACAUAUUUAAGACUUUAGUAUAUUAGUUCAUAAUGUAGGCUUUAGGAGUUUGCUCUUUUAUACAUCAUAUAGUUCAAAGGUUUCUAAGAUGAGAAUGUCCUUUCAUCAUAGAACCUACUUCAUGUGAAAAUAUUCUUUCACAUAAUUCUACCAUUCAUACAAUCAUGUGUAUGUGCAUACAUAUGUGAUAUCUACAUUCACAUAAACACCUCUUGUCACACAUGUUCAUGAAUUCAUUAAUCAUCACCUUACAUGAACAGUAAUAGAUAAGGGUGCAUAUGAGAACUAUCUUUUCAAUUGACACCAUGAAUCUAUCCUACUCAUAAUUUUGCAUGAGUGUGUGUGGGUUCAUACUGGUCAUCUUGAUCACAUAAGAGCAACAACCUAUAUAUUUAGGAAACCACACUCCAAGGAACAUAACACAUAACAAUACACCCCUCAAGUCAUGACCAACUCAAAAUAGAACACCUAAGGAAUCUAGGUCACACCCACAUUACAUCAUAGGAGAUAAGAGCAUAUUAAACAUUAAAAUUGAAGACUCCUACAUGAAUAAGAUCACAUAUUCAUAUAGGUUUUAUCCAGGUUGGGUUCAUGCAUCAAGAUUAUUCAUCACAACUAGUCAUAUAGACCAUACCUAACCCUAAAAUGAUCAUCAAUUAUACAUAACAUCAGAAAUACCCCUAGAUCAUCAUACUAGAAUGGAAGGCUACAUAAGGCAUUCAUACUUGUGAUCAUCAUAACCACAAUUCAUAUUGAAACAAUUCCCUUCAAGGCCAUGAUCAAACAUAUAGGAGUAGACAACAACGUAAACACCGCCACCAUUAGUGGAUCAUACCAAUCAACACAAUUCAAUAUACAUUCUAAGCUAAUCAGAGAAAAUAGGUUAACUAACCAACUCUUAAAGCUAUAAUCAGCUUGAUUAUUUCAAAAAAAUCAAUAUCAUUUAUGAAUAGGCAGUACACUAUCAUCAAAUCGUAAUUGGAUAAUCAUCUAAUCAAGAUCACAAGACCCAUAUUAAAGGAUAAUUUGAAGGAUUAAGGAGAUCAUGGGUUCAUCACAGAAUUGGAUUGAAAAUCAUGUUCAAACCAUUGACUAAUCAUACUUAUAUCAUUAGAAUGACAUUAAAUCAAUUUGUGAAUGAACUCAUGGUUAGAUUGAAAUAUAAGAUUUUUGACCUGAGAAUCAUUUUCGAAAAACCUUUGAAAGAACUCCUUAGAUGGAAGAUUAACUAAGGAUGAACGUCUACCAUACGUUAUCACAAUAUAAUCCAUGAGAUUUGAAGAAGAAUUCACUUGAAUUCAAUCUCCAUGGGCUAUUCUUAGUUUUCAAUGGAGGUUUUGGGGUUUUCAUAUUUGGGAGAGAAGGUUUAAUUUGGAAGACUGAAAUUCAAAAAUUUAUUUUAGGCUUAUAAAGUGACUUAAAAUACCCUAAUAUACCUUGAGUAACUUUCCGCAUUUUAAUUGGGACGUAGAAAUUAACCCAUAGCAUGCAGCGUAUAAGUCUGAAUUGCAGGCUCCAAACGACGUGCAUGGGCGACGGAACAUCGAUUGAACGAUGGUGCCCCUACUACACAGUAGUCGUUUGUGACUUAGGCUCUAUUUUGGUGUUGAUAUCACACUUCUAAGUUUGGAUCAAUGCUUCCAAUCGAUGGGGCGUCGUGUCAUGGGUGUUGUUUGGACACUGCUAAGGCAGUCAUUGGCCAGCCUUUGAGUCCUCCUCAAGGACCCUUUGUGUGGUGUUUGGGGAGUCUUUCCCGGAUGUUUCGAACCUAAAUAAUAUUAUAUACAAUUUAGGAUUAUUACGUAUAAAUCUAGAUCCCAAAAAACAUAUAAAACAUACGAACGCACGCUAGAACACACUAGCACGUUUAAACACUACCUUUUGAACGUCUUGACAUUCUUGGAUGUAUGACCUCAAAUCCACUUUAUAUCAACUAUAUAAGAUCUAUAAAACCUUAUUAACAUUUUAUUAACCUUUUAAGGUUUAUGUGAGGCUCUAUAUACCUUAGUCAUUUUUUAGGGUCGUUACACCGUGGAGAAAGUCUGACAAAUAAGGGAUGGAUUGAAAUUUGACCAAAGUCAGAAAAAUCAAAUGUCGACAAUAGAAAGAGGGAUCUUUAGUUUAUGGUGGGUUAUUUGGCCUAUUUGAAUAUAUAAGCCAUGAAGGGGGGAUGAGGUUUGGUAAAAAGGAGAAAUUUAGUCCCCGGUAUGUGGGGACAUAUAAGGUUAUGAAAUGCAUUGAUAAAGUUGUCUAUGAGUUGAUAUUACCUAUUGAGUUGGAUCCGGUCCAUAUGGUUUUCCAUGUUUCAAUGCUCAAAAAGUGCAUAAGUGAUCUUGUGUCUAUCCUUCCUCUAGAAGGUUUAGAUUUUGGUGCUAACCAAAUAUCCUUUAGACCAGCAAGUGAAGAGGUUGAGGAAUAAAGAUGUAGCUUUAGGAAAGAUUCAGUGGAAGAACCAACUAUUGAAAAAUGCUACUUAGGAGGCUGAGGAUGACAUGAAAUACCAAUAUACUCAUAUUUUUCCUUCCUCUUCUAGUCAAGGUUGAGUUUAGUAACUUCUCCUAAUCAUGGUUUUGAAGGGUCUUAAAUGUUUUUUAAAACAUCUAUGAUUUUCCUUCAUUAUACAUGUUAUUGUGAAAAAUCCAUGUUUCAUAUAUGUUUUGAAUUGUGUAUUCUUUAUAUUUUAUGAUAAUUGAUUCUAUGUUUGGCAUAGUGAAUUAUGUGAUAUUUCGUAUAAAAUUUCUCAAAAUGUGAAGUUAUAAAAUUAUAUAGUAAUUAUUGUUGAAUAUGUGAUCCAUAUGGAAAGAAGAAGGAUAUGCCUCAUUACAAAAUGUAAUAUUGUGAAAAGUGCGCAUAAUUGUUAGUUGGCAUAAUUUCUAUCUUACAAAUGUUGUUUUUUUGUGUUGAGAAAGGAGUGGAUGUUUAUCCCUUGUUAUUGAAUUAUUCUUAUGUCUCAUAGGUUGGUUGGGCUGCUAGACCUGAGUCAUAAUUCCAAAAAGAUGUUUAAAGUGUCAUUCAAGGACGAAUCUUCCCCAUGUGGUGGAUAUUAUUAUACAUUGGAAAUCAAGGAUCUAGGCUAGAGUAUAAUGUGUAAAAAUUGUUUUUCCCGGCCUUAAAAAUCAAUUAACUUGAUUACGAAGUAUUAGUCACUAAACGUGAAGAAACAACAACGACAUCCAGAGAGGAUUGAAACUGAUCUAGUGUAGAUUUAGGUUUUGUACGGGGUUUGGAGAGUCGUAUGACGGUCAAACUUAGUGAAAAUAAUUAGGAUAAACCUUACUGUGUGUUUAGAGCAAAAAAAUUUGGGUAUGACUCCCCAGAGACCACACUAAGGGCCCUCGAAGAAGACCCAAAAAGUCCCAUACAGUGUGCCAUUAACGAGGCAAAUGACGGUUCGUUCAUUGACUCACACUCCGUCAAUGGAGUUCGUGAGUCCAUACUUAGAAUAUGGAGACUUAUCUACAUUUUUAGGACUCUCUUUAUCAAACAACGGUUUCCAGGACGAUCCAUACACGUAAUGACAUACCAUCGAUUGGUGCCUGCGACAAGCCAAGGAUGGUUUUGUAAAUUUCUGUAUAUUGUCCACGUUCAUAGGAGUGCGUUUAUGUUUCUGCUUUACGAAUAUUAUUAUUUUUGGGAAUUUCAAAUAAUAUCCAUCCUUGUUCCUAUUCUGUCAUUUUUCAUUUCCGGAGUGUUAGCCCCGAUUAGCAAAGAACCGGGAAACUUUCUACUUAUGAGUCGGGUAUAGAAGCAUUGGGCGAUUGGAAAAUAAAAGUUAUGUUUGUCCUAAUGUAGUUAUUUUAGGUUUAUUAAGGUAUUUUAACUAAUAAAAUAAGUCUUCACACUUCAAAAUCUAAAAGCCCCAAGACUCACACUUCUCUCUAAAAUUUUCUCUCUCAACUCAAGAUCCCCAUUGAAAAAGAAGACCAAGCUUUCUCUAGGGAUUCAAGAUCAAGACUUUCCCUCACAAAUACCAAUUAUUGUUAAGGUAUGGAGGCUAUUUACUCUUGGGACACCUUUCCCCUAGAGGUUCUUCAAAAUAUGGAAUUCAAUGUUCUUGAAAAGUCUACUUUUCAUCCAAUUUCGUGGGUCUACUUUCUAACUUGAAUUUUUUAGUCUUAAUUUGAUUAUUUGUGAUGAUUUAUGUAUGUUUAUGGGUGGACUGAUGUAUCACUUCAAGAUUUGACCUAAAUAUCUAUAAAGACCCAUGAAUAUCCCUCUUCUCCUAACCCUAACUUAUGAACUAUCUAGAUUAUAAUUGAGGAAUAUAUAAUUUAAUGUAUUCUUGCAUACACUUGAUGAUGAUGAUGAUGAUUUAAUUUUUGGGCGAAUAUCAUGGAUUUGGGGGUGAGUUUUUGAAUGAGAUUCUUGGAAUCCGUUGGUAAGACAUUCAAUGGUUAUGAACACAUUAAUGUAUUAAUGUUGGUCUAUUCUUGACAAUAUUGUAACUUAAUGUAUGAAUGAAGAAGUUAUGAUUGUGUGAUCAGUCUACAAACAUCAUGGAUGGGAGAUUAUGAUUGGUGUAUGAUUAUGAGGGAUUGGAAGUGAUUCUCUUGUGCAUCUUAUUACGAUGAUUAUGAAAUGUUCUCACAUAAUGUUGGGUUGUCAUGAAAGUACUUCUCACUCCUUAAAUCUAGGAGUAAUUAUGUUAUAUAAGGGGAUAGACACCUGAUACCUAUGUUAUAAAUAUAUGUUAAGGAAGACUUUAGGAUACUUCAAAAAGGGAAUUUAUCUUAUCACCGAGUGAACUUGAAAAUGAGAGGUGUCCAUUGAAAAUAGGAAGGUAGGUUCACCAAAUGUCUCAUGAGGUGGAAAAUACAAUGUGAAUUAGCAUAAGGAGAGUUUCGAGUAACAAUCUCCUAGUUCCUUAGCUAUAUGCCCUAUAGGAAAACUAGCUAGUGGAUAUAUGUAGACGUUAUUAUGAUGUAUAUUUCCUACCUUGGAAAGUAGUAUACCCUCCUUUCAAUGUGAGGGGUUAACACUAUAUUCCAUGUUAUUCUCAUAUGGUCUAAUGUUGGUUAUGGCAAAGUUUCUCUAAAGUAAAAUGGAUGAACCCAAAGUAAAAUUAUGCAUAUUAACUAGAACGAUUUGGUAGGUUUAAUAAGUUUAGGUGAGGGUAUGGUACUUUACCUAUACAUUGCACAAGUGGACCUUGAGGGGAUUCGUAGAGUGAUUUCUUUAAGUACAUAUGUUAUGAAUGAAAUUAAUAACUGUAACAACUCUAAAAUGAAUUAGGUGAAGCUAGAGCCUAAAACAUGUGUCAUGAGGUUUUAAAGUAUUAAAUUGGUCUAAAAUAUUUUUUUGAGGGGUUGUUUAAAUUUUUGUAUUGUUUGGAUAUGAAACAUCCAAGAACGUCCUAGACGUUCGAAAGUUUCACCUUGAGAUAUGCUUUUGUGUUUUAGUGUGCCUUUGCAUAUUUUACGUGUUUUUUUUCAAUUGAAAUUGAUGGAGAAAGUUCGUAAUAUUUAUAAUUGUAUAUUUGGGUUGGAAACAUCCGAGCACGAUUCGCCAAGUACAAACCUAAGGGUCCUUGAGGAGGACCCAACCUUGGGUUCAAGGGUUCCAAAACAGUCUCCACCAACGUUGCCAAUCAACGCCCCAUUCAUCGGACAAUGGCCCGUCGUUUAAGGAAGUAGACCAACACUUAGUGUGGGAGAUUAGACUCCCUUGUGGAAGAUCCUCUUACAGACUCUCAAGAUGGUCCGUUGGUGGGUCGACAAGGCGUAGGUGUGUCCUUCCAUUGAAACCUGCAGAUUUUCUACAUAUGCCUCGACCAAGCCAAGGCUAUAUUGUGUAUUUCACAUAGAAUUAUAAAAAUAGUUUUCAAGGUUACUUAAGGGAUUUUUGGGUAUUUUAAGUAGUUUUACAAGUCUAGUACUCUAAGUCAAGUCAUUAUUCAAAAUCAAAACUCAAUCCCAAAUGAAGAACUUCCUAGAACAAGAUUGGAGCUUGAAGCAAGGUGGGAGCUUGGAGAUUUAUUUCUCCAUCAAUUCUCCUUCAUUUUUAUGGAUUUUCAUCAAUAUAGGUUUGAUGUUUCAUCCUUGAACUCUCUUUCUUCAAGGAGCCAAACUUCAAAGUGUUUCUCAAGACUUCUCAAAAGAUGAAUUGUUCUAUUUUUAUAUCUAGACAUGGGUUUUUGCAUAAAACUUUUAAAUUAAUAAUUUAUGAUUGAAUUUCUAUUAAUUGGAUAAUUUUAUAUCAAAAUUCCUAUGAAUAUACAAAUCAUGAUUUCCUUAUUUUGGCUAUAUUAUGGGUGAUUGGAUCAUGUCUCGUUGUAUUGAAUUCUUGUGUAGUUUACUUUGGGUUAUUGAAUUAUGUAAGAAGCAUGUUAUAAUUGUAUAUAUGCUUUCCUAAUUUGAUGAGUUUCAUAUUGUAUCAUCUGGAAUUAUUGUAUAGUACGAUUAUUGGGUUGAAUUGGUGAUUAUGGCUAUGGGAAAGAGCCUUUAUGGAUUGAAUUGGUUGAAUUGGCUACGGAUUGGAGUUGUUGUGGAUGGAAUGGUGGUAUAUUUACCUAACCUUUUUUAUAUUGUGUAUUAUAGGUAUUUAAAUUGUGAUGUUUGGUAUAGUCUACUUAUGGUGAUUGUGCUUAUGUGAUAUAUUUGUAAAGAAUGUGGUCUCGUCAGCAUUACUUUAUGAAUUGUAAAAAAUAUGGUCUUGUCGGUAUUACUUUAUUAAUUAUGAUAUUAUCAUGUAAUAACUAGUAUAUGGGAUCAUGGUGAGGGUCUAUGAGACUUAUGUGUACAUUUGAAUCCAAAGCAUGUGUUCUUCUAAUUUAAUGAUAAGUGUCUAUCAUGGACUAUAUGUCUGUCUUAAUGUGUGUUGUUUGAUGUUUAAUGUGUGAAUCUUCCUAAUUGACUAUAUGAGUCCUAUGAUAAACUAUUAUUAUGUUUCUAGGAGUGUGUAGGGUGACUUGUAUUAGACUUUGUCGUCCCUACAUUUAACUUGAAUGUAAUUGUAAAGGUGAUAACAUGAAGUAUGUGUGUCUUGUUGUGGUACACCUAUGUCCCUCUACUUGAUACAUGAUGAAUGUGUAUAUGACUCUUGACUUAUUAGGCUAAAGAAACUUUGUCAUGAAUUCAUAAGUAUGAUUGAAAUAUUAUCUUGAACAUAGUUAAGAGGGUCACUAAAGUGGAACCUUUAACCAAGAUAAAAGGUUAUGAUAUCCAUGAAGUAAAAAGUUGUAAUGGUAUCCAUAUUGUAUGAAUGAUGGACUUUGGGGUUCGUUGGCUGGAAUGGCAUGAAAAACUCCUUAGGAAAAUCAUGAAGCUAUCCUAUUUAACCAUUGUGUAGUAGCCCUAGUGGACCUCCUUUUGUAAGGUGUAUAAUGAUUUGGUUGUGACUUCUAUAUGUUACCUCUUCAUAUGCCCUUAGAUUGAAUUACUUUAUGAGAACAAAGGCUAGCACCAAGUGAGUAUGCUUGGGAAGUGACUCUACUUAUGUUGAGACUAGAGUAUAGAGAAGCCCUUGAUAUUCCUUAAUCAUGUGCCUACAUGCGGUGUGUCCUAGUUCUAUCCUUACCAAGUAGAACACCCUCCAUCGGAGUAGGAGAGACUCUGGAUUCCAUGCCUAGAUGGUAUGGUCUAUGUCAGUUAUUUCCAAUUCUUAUCAUGCAGGAUACAUUCUAGUGUUGUUUAAGUUCAACAAUGUUAUGGUAGUGGAAUUGGACGCUAUUUAGACAUUGCACGAGUAGGCUUUGGAGAUGCUAGUGUGUAGGUUCCCUAGGUCGUUUCUAAGACCUUUAUGUGAAAGUCCUUAAUUGUUGAAUGUCUCUUAAAUGGUUUAAUGGACAUAGUGACUUAAAUUAAAUGCAUGUUUAUGAAAAGGUACUUAUCUAGAGCAACUUCAAGGAUUUCUUAGGUAGUAUUGGAGAGGUUGUGUGGACGGUCUCUUCAUGUCUUACAUAGGUGAGUCUUAGAAUAAUUCUUGGUACGGAGUUUAAUUGUUGAAAUGGGAAUAAUAUUAUCUCAGUAGUCUUAAGGAUCACUUAGAGGUGUGUGAAGGGAUUGUAUGGGUGGCUGAUUCAUAACUUACUCAAGUGAGCCUUAGAAUAACCUUUGUAGGAGGAUCUCAUAUUUAUGUGUUAUAAAGUGAUGUUGAUGCUAUAUUGUGGUAUGUGACUUAUGUAUGUUGAUGUUUACUUGUAAUGGACUCUUAUACAUAUCUUAUGAAGUUUUCUUCAAAAAUACAAUGAUUUAUCCAAAUAUCUUUUUAGCAUGGUUUUAAUUGCAUGUCACAUUACUUAGUGCAUUCUAAUGUACUAAUUCCAUAUAUUUUAUCUUAUCUCUAAAGGUGCAGGUGGCAUUUGAGAGGAAUCAUUGAAGUAAAGCUUGGAUAUUAGCAUUAAUUUAAAGUCGUGGUAUGACCUUAAUUGAUUCGAGGACAUAUGUGUUUAGUUUUCUUGUUAAAGACAUUAUAACAUAUUUAGAUAUUUCUAUUUUGUUUAUGUAUGGGUCGUAAUCCAAGAUAUUCGUGUGUCUAACAUACCGACUUUGAGACUUAGUCUUUCCUAUGAUUUUCAAUGAAAGAUAUUUUGAAGUAAUACUAUUUUUGGUGAAAAGUUUUAAUUCCUCACUACUUUUCAUACAUGUAUGCGAUGAAUGAUGUCAAAGUUCUUGUACAAGACCUCCGAGAGGUUGAGUACGUUGUGUCCCGACUUGAAGGAUGCCCUGUAUAUUCUAUCAAAAGUCUCAUUAAAGCCAAAUCUAGUAAAGUAUUAUUCAUCAGUGUGAGUCGUGACACAUCUAUGAUCAAGAGACUAUAGGAUGAUAGAGUUUCACUUUCUUCAUCGCUCUUGUGUUGUGCCAAUAGAGUUAAGGUUAUAUGUGUUUAUUCCUAAUCUCUUCUCUUGUGAUUAUAGAGUAUGACUACAAGAAGAAUUGCUACAAGAAAGUUGGAAGAGGAAGGAGUGCAUGAGGGAAUUCCCCAAGGUGGAUUAGAUCCACAACGAUUCAAGUUCCUCAAGAUUUCCAAGUUCCACAACAAGGGUGAUCAAGUCCCUAAUAGAGGUGAAGGUAAUGAGGUUUCGGUGGUUCCCCCCGACAUGACAAGUGGGGAGAUUAGUGAGGCUCUACAUGCUUUAGCCCUAGCCAUGAUAACUAAUGUGAAUAAAGAUGUCGAGCCUAGGGUGAAUGCUUUAUAAAGUACUAUGACCUAUAGGUGUAGGGACUUUGUGAGGAUGAAUCCUCCUAUCUUUCUUGUCCCUAAGAUGGGAUAAGAUCCCCAAGAGUUUCUUGAUUGUGUGUACAAGGUUUUGAGUGCUAUGGGGUGACUUCUAAGGAGAAGGAGGAGUCGGAUUCAUACCAAUUGAGGGAAGUUACUCAAGUAUGGUACAUCCAAUGGAAAGACAAUAGGCCGGUUGAGUCGGGUCCUAUAGAGUGGGAAGAUUUUAACCUUAGGAAAGGUAAGAGUAUUCUUUGAAGUUUACCUUGUUGUCUAGGUAUUCUCCAUCCUUGGUGUCUACCCUAGUGAUGAGAUGAGUAGGCUUGUGACCGAUAUUGACGACCUUGUUGAAGAAGAGUGUCGUACAACCAUGCUCCAUGGUGACAUAAACUUGUCUAGACUUAUGGUUUAUGCAUAAACAAUUUAGGAGUCCAUACUUAGUAGGAUUUCAAGGAAUUUCAGGAGGGGUAGAUCCCAUGAGCAAAACCGACCUAGGUUCAAGAAGAGGGCUCCAAACCAUUAUGGACCUACUGCUCAUAAGGUCAAGGUUUAGGGUGGUAGUAGACAUUAUCUAUAAAUUAUUAAAAAUGAUAAAACUAUUUAAAAUAAUGUCCAAACUUUAUAUAUUCUUGAAAAAUCUAUAAAACUUAUUAUUUUAAAUCAUUUGAAAAUGAAGAAGCUCGAAUUAAUUAAUUUAUAUGGUGGAGGUCCAAAAUUGGGUGUCAAUAUCUCUCCCUCAUUUUACUUGGAGUGAUGCAAGAAAUUCGAGAAAAAUAAAAUUUACUAAUCAAAUUUUGACCGACCACAUAUUUGUCUUUUGAAAAAAGGGUUUGGUACGGACUUUAAGAAUUAUGGACGAACCUCGAAAGUGGGUUUCCUACAUAUCUCAGGCUAUAUGAGAAUUCAGGUCACUUGUAGCUCGAUUGGUUGGAUAGAAAAUCUAUAAUGCCUAGAUAACCUUCGAUUCUGGAAGAGUAACAAAUAGGUCGAGUACAAAAAGAGACUUGUAACCUCUUAGUCACGAAUAUGGUUCACUUCACACCCAUAAUUAAGAACUUAUACGGACAUAAUUUCAAAAACUCUUGGCACAUUGUCACUCGGAUUGGAAAGUCGCGUUCGGUUAACAUCAGGAAUUUUUCGGAUGCAAAACUGAAACCAAAAACCCAAAGAAAAACCGCCAUGCCUUUGGAUAGGGGUGUGGUUUGAUUGUGCUGAAAGUCGCUCCUCAGCUCGCGUUCUAAGAGUUUGAUACUCCUCUUCGGACUAUGUCCUAGUUGUUGCUAGAAAAACAAUUCCACGUUGUGCAUCAUCCUUGUUGAUGUCGUCCGCACCUGCGGUUUGAUUUAAGAAUUCAUUCUCUUGGAUGCUCUCGACAAAGAUUGAAACAACUUGUUACCGAAAAAUGUAACUGAAAAAGUAGUAUCUCUUACGAUGCUUUUCAGUCACUCUGGAUGUGAAAGAUGUCACAUAAAUAUGUUCACUAUAUGCCGCUUUCCAACACACCAUGUACAUUACAACUCAUGGUUUGCUGAGGAUUUGGAGAUGCCAUUGCUCGUCUUUUGCAUGGCGAGCUCUGACGAUCUUUGCAAUGAGCCAGAUCGCUUAAUAAUGAUUCAACUGUAACGAGGUGGAUGACUCAAUAAUUAUCCAACUGUAACGAGGUGGAUGGCUCGAUAAUAUUCCAAUGGUAACAAGGUGAAUGACUCAAUAAUAUUCUAACUUUAACGAGGUCGAUGCUCGAUAAUAUUCCAUAUGUAACGAAGUGGAUGGCUCAAUAAUAUUCCAACUGUAACGAGGUGGAUGGAUUGAUAAUAUUCCAAUUGUAACGAGGUGGAUGCUCGAUAAUAUUCCAUAUAUAAUAAGGUGGAUGGCUUGAUAAUAUUCCAUCUGUAAUGAGGUGGAUGGUUUGAUAAUAUUCAAAUUGUAACAAGGUGGAUGCUCGAUAAUAUUCUAUCUGUAACGAGGUGGAUGCUCGAUAAUAUUCCAACUGUAAUGAGGUGAAUGCUCGAUAAUAUUCCAACUGUGACUAGGUGGAUGCUCGAUAAUAUUCCAUUUGUAAGGAGGUGGAUUCUCGAUAAUAUUCCAACUGUAACGAGGUGGAUGCUUAAUAAUAUUUCAAUAUAAUUCAAAAAUAGGAACCUGAAAUGGAAAAACAAAUAUAUGAACCACGUAUGGGGUGGAUCGCCGAGCAAAACUAUAUGUGAAAAUCUUCAAUUAGCCAAUCAAAACAUAUAAUCCACUUAAGGAGUGGAUAACCAUCAAAUUUGAUUUUUGACUUUGACAUUGUCAUGAAACAUGUAUACCUAAAUUGCUACGCGACAAACAUAAAAAAAUCUAAAUUUACGCAUAUGCACGUCGCGACUAUAAGUCUCUCUUUAAAAGACAGAAUUACCGAGGUGAAUGACUUAAUUCCUUCUCAUGAAAAUUAAAGUCACUCUCGCCUUUCUUGACAAACUCAACAGUAUUUGAGUUUGUUGCAUUCAUUUUCAAUCUUUAUCAAAAACUUGUAACGAUUUGAUAACUUUGAAUGCCAUGGAGAUAUUGCGGUCACCAACGUCUUUCUGGUGUGAUAGACUCGUUGGUUUUCAACUGCAACACUGCUAAAACAGUGUCACUAUUGAUCAUCUUCAGAUUUGAUGUCGAUUUCACAUAUGAUUCUAACUUAACUAAUAAUAUCACCUACAAAGCUCGACACCAAACGUUAGUAUCAACAAUAAAGUAAAUAAUAAAAGUAAAGUUUGUAUACAUCCCCACUCUAUUCAAAUAGGGAGAAACGUGGCGGUGAUUUAAAAUUAACUAAUUGAUUUAAUUUUAAUGAAUUUUAACAAUAAAAAAAUUUUAAAAGAGUCGAUAUGGAUUUUUAGAAAAAAAAUAGAAAACAAUUAACACUAUGUUUGGAUAAUUGUUAUCCAUUGUAUUAUAUUGUAUCGUCAAUGCACCUAUAAUGUUUGUUUUGAUUGUUACUUAAAAUUUAUUGUAUUGUAUUGUUAAAUUUCAUUGUUACAUAACAAUGAAAAUCUAAAUUUUAUGAAACAACCAUUUGAUGUGUUGUUGUUAUUAAUUAAUUUUUUUUUCAAUUAUAUAAUAUUUUAAGAUAUUAUUUUACUCUUUUAUCUUAAUUAUUUAAAUCUAGUCAAAUCUCCUACUCUAGAAUAAUUAGGAUAUUUUAGCAAAUUUAUAAAUUAUAAUACAAUAUGAUACGAUUAAGCCAAACAAAUAAAAUGUUAUUAACAACAACGAACAAUACAAUCUAGUCAAACCUUGUAUCUACCAUAUAAUACAAUAUAAUAGAAUACAAUACAAUACAAUCCAUUAUAAAACAAUGGGUAAUAAUGAUCCAAACAAAGUGUAAGUGAUCUACGAAAUCGAGAAAUUCUAGAUAAAGGGUUCAAUUCAUUUCGAAGUAAAGUUGUUAGGCACCCUUCGAAAUCCACAAUUGUGGGUCCCGAUUGAAUUCCUUUUUUCAAAUUGAGAAGGAAAUAAAAAUAAUAUACAAGUCUAAUAACAUGCAACAUACACAAAUAAUGAAAAUAAAAUAAUAAUAUAAGAUCGGAAUAAAAUUUGCCUAACGUACAUAAUAACAUAAUAAUUAAUAAAACAAUAUGAUUCGAACUUCGUUCGAAUGAAUCCAAUGAAAAAUCAUCUUUGGAUACCUGUAAAAACACUUAGUAAAAAUGUUAGUAGUAAAUAAAUAUGAAUAAAAAUAAAUGAAAUAAAUAACUAAGAAUAAACUUGUUUUAUUAACAUGGCAGGCCUUAGCAAUCGAUGAUGAUUUCUUCAUUAGCCAAAUUUAACAAGUAUAUAAUAUAAAUUAAGCUAAAUUUCCGUGUUUUACAAUGUGGAGACCUCCAAAACUGACAUAGAAACUUUUUGAUUGAAAAAUUUUAACUUGUAAAAUUACAACCUAAUAGAAACACAAAAUAGCUAAAAUUAGUCCUCAACAAAACGGGCAACAUAAUCAAUAUUGAUAACCACAAGAAUAAUAGUCAUGAAUCUAACAAGUAAUAUCAAACAUAAUAAUAAUAACAAUAACAAUAAUAGUGAAUCCAAUGAAAAGAAGACAAAGCCUUUGAAGGCUAUAUUUUUUGGAACACAAAAUUUAUUUUUCCUUUACUUUUUAAUUGCCAAAAUCUGAAUUUUUCCUACCACCCUUAGCUUUUGAUCAAAUUAAUUCUUAAUUAGUGAAUUAUUAGUCAUUGGACUCAAAUUAUGGCUUAUACUGUGGCCCAAACUUAUUAUUCAAAUCUUCCUAUGCAAAAUCCACUCGUAAUAUUUAAUAUGAUUUUUUUAGAUUGUGUGAAAUAUAAAAUAAAUAAUAACGUAUAGAAUUAAUAUAUAUAUAUAUAUAUAUAUAUAUAUAUAUAUAUAUAUAUACAAAAUAAACGUGACUAAUGAUAUGAUGUUAGCAAAAAUAAUGAUUUAAUCCAAAUAAAAAUAAUUGAAUUUAUUCAAUCAGAUGUGAAAAAAAAUGUAAUUAAGAUUAACUAAAAAAAUCCUAAAUUUUAAUAAGUAAGGAUAGUUAUCGAUAAACUUAUUUAGAAUUAUAACAAUUAUAUAUCCUGGGCUAUUAAAUAAAUAAAUUUAAAAAUUACGAAUUUUAAAAAUGUUAGGCCAAAAUUAGGUGUCAACAAAGUUGAAGAGCUAGAUUAAGUCAUUUGGCUUGUCAAGAUAGGGCUAUGAUUAGCCUAAUUGUAACUUUGAUGGUGACUCAUAACUAGCGAUCCUCCAUCAUUUUGUUUCUUAGAACUUAGAAAUAAUUUAUUAGUGUUUGUCUUCAAUAUUCCUGUUGUCACAUUCGGAUUUACCCCCUAGACGUAACCGGUGUCGGCAUACUCUUUGAGGACUAAGACUAGUCUCAUAGUUUACAUCAUUACAUUCAUAGGUCAAAUUUAGCGGAAAAUUUAAAACUUUUCAUUACAUCUAAUUGGAGGUUUACAUAGACCUCUACAUACACAUAACAUAUAUAUAUAUAUAUAUAUAUAUUACUGAAACAUACCGGCAACCACAUCUGGAGAGCUCUCUUGAUCACCUCGGGAUUGAAGAGCAUAAAAGCGGUUCUUAUUAGAGGCAUCCGGAUUUGGGGUACUUGCUUUAGCUUGAGAAUUUUGACUUCCUCAAACUUUCAUCAUAGGGAAAUCUCUCUUCAUGUGACCACUCUUUCCACAAACAUAGCAAUUACCCAUGCCAACUAGGCACUUACCAUCAUGUCUCUUAUCACAUUUUGCAGAAAGAGGCUUCUCAACAUAAGAUCUACAACCUUUACCCCCUUGGGGCUUGGUAGUAAAGACCUUACUUUCGUUGACCCUUGGAGAAUUAUGAAGGCCUUGAUUAGAAAAUAUCUUCUUGAACCUUGUAUAAAUUGGCUCUUACCUUCUUAAUAACCCUACCAAUUGCUUAAGCUUUUGUCCCUCAAUUUGUUCGGCAUCAAAAAUGAGACGAGAGAUGUACAUGCUAGGAAUCAACACAGUUGACCUACACUCAUUAACCACAAAAACAGAUAUCCCCAUGACAAAUUUAUUCAUUUUAUCCCUAGAAUACUCAACCAUACUAAGAGCAUGCUUUGAUAGUUUAGUAAACUUGAGGCUAUACUCCUUAACGAUCAUACCCCAUUGCAAAGGUUGAUGAAUUCCUGUGUUUCCCUCUCCCUUAAUUCCAACGAAAAUAACCUAUCAAGGAAAUCCAUCUUAGAAGCCUCCCAAGUAACCUAAUUUCUCUAACUGACCUCUCAUCUUUCCAUUACUCAUACAACACUUGAUCCACAUCCUUGAGUUGGUAUGAGGCUCGUUCCACCUUUUCUUGAGAAGACACCACCAUAGAAUCAAUAACUUUGAACACUUCAUCAAUGAACCCUUGUGGGUGCUCCUUCACCUUGGAACCGAACAAAAUAGGGGGAUUCAUCCUUGUGAAAUUUCUCCUUAAAGAGAUACUACUAGCAUUGGGGUUCACUUUCACCCUUGUACCCUUAGCAACUUGAGUAGCCAAUACUUGAGUAAAGCGAUGAAUAAUCGCCUUUAUCUCAAUGUUAGAAAUAGGCCCUUCUUCAAUACGAACUUGAGGAUUUUGAGGAGCUUGAGGGGGAGCCGCCUCAUUUAAAUUCUCCUAUCUAGCCCUUCAUUUCCUCCUUGUAUUCAUUGACUAUAAGAACAACAAAAGGAUUAGAAGAAAGGACCAAAUAUAUCUAGGACUCUUAGGCACGACUAAGGAAUAACAAAAGAGUGACUUCCCAAGCAUUACAUAGUUUAUCAUUCAUAAGUGUGGCGCGCUUCACAAUUUAGAAUAAGGCCCUACAUAGAAGUAGUUUACUGAGACAUCAAUCUUAAGAUUACUUUAACCUAAUGCUCUGAUACCAAGUUCGUUACGAUCAAAAGUAACCCCCGUGGGCAGAACCGGCGUCCUUGUUUUCGAUGAGGACUUAGACAAUCUCUUAGCAUAAGUCAUAGCACAUCAUAGGUUAAAAACAUGGAAAAUUAAAACUUUUAAUCAUAUACAUAGUGAUGGUUACAUAGACCUCUCACAUAGUACAUAUAGGGAGUUUACAUAGACUCCUCACAUAUGAAAGUUACUUUGGAUUCUCAUUUAGACAAUCGUAAGAAUACAUAGGAAUUUAGUCUAAAUGGAAUAGAAUAUUCGGCCAUAGCCCUUAUAAAAAUUCAUAACUGCCACGUAGGGCUUACAUCAACAUCUUCAACAAUAUGAGAGACAAGAAUGUCUUGAAACAAUACAAGUACGACUAAGGGAGAGUAUGUGGUAUCAUCCUCAAACUAGAGGACCUACCAAAACUUUGAGAGUCUAGUCCAAGCCAUCUUGUUUUAGCCUCAAGAUACAAUAAUGGCCCGAACCUACAAUGUUAGUAAAAAGGGAAGAAAUAUGGGUUAGUAUAAAACAAAUGUACUAAGUAUGUUCACUAUGCAUAAAAUAAUUUAAUCAAUGAGAAAAGGCACAGUUUAGUAAAAACCAUGCUUAGUGUCAAAUAACCCAACAUACACAUAUAUGGAACAUCAUAAGUAAACCCAACAUAUAAGCAACUUAAGCAACACACUUCAUACUUACAAAAUAUCCUCAUAAUCUUCAUAACGUGACUCAUACAUCAACACAAAUCAUAGGUUAUAAGCAUAUCAAAAACAUAAUCAUCAAAAAACAAUACUUGAACCAACCAUCCCUUAGGAUCCCACAUGUGCAAUAUGUAAGAGAAGUCCCAUACCCACCUUCACACUAUGUGAUAGACUUUAAGACAACCCUAAUAAGAGUUCACAUACAUAACUUGUUCAUUUACUUUUACAUUAGGGAAAAAGUCUAAUAACCGACAUGAGACCAUGUGAUCUAGAUGGAAUUUGGUGUUCAACUCCCACACACAAUUUGUACGUAGCUAUCUAGGUGUGAUCCAUUAAGAUGGAGUCCUAUGUGGGAACAUAGUUAAGGGUCAAUGAUAUUGUUACUGGAAACCUUGACUUACUAGAUGUGGGGUUUCUAUAUUAUGAGAGACCAUAUAUUUUUGGAAAUCCAUACUAUCUAAACGUAAAGAUACCUAUGUGGAAGGACAGGCAUACUAAUUGUGAGACCUCCAUUUCAUUUACUUGCGCUUUCGGUGCUAAGCAAUUACUCCUUUUAGUAAUCAUCUUAUUUCAUCAUAUAAAUUCACAUUGGCCUCUUCUAGACCGCUAUGUAAACAUCUUAUCAUAUUAGGUCACAAGUCAUCACAAGUGAGAACAAUCCUUUCACUUCACAAGUGGGUAAACCUUUCACUUAACACUUUAUUAUAACCGAGAAACUACUUUCAAUCACAUAAUGAUCAUAUCAUAACAUGCAUACAUAAUUCAUGUCUGAUUUGAUGUCUUAGGGUAAGGGAUGAGGAAUUCUUAGCAUCAACAUCACAACCAUACAUUAAACAUAAAAACAUUACUAUCUAAGUAAAUCAUACUUCACAAUUGAAUUUAAGAAGAAUUAAUGAACGUACCUCCUUGUCCCCUUCAAGAACCUUCAUACUUCUAUUAGCAAGAAUGCAUAACCAAUUAUACAGACAAGUUAAAUUCAAGAAUCAAUUACAUAAUUAACAACAAUAUAGUCAAUCUACAUGUUCAUAGUCUUCACAAUUAACCAUAUCAAUUCAUGGUUUUCAUGAAAUUGGGGGAAAAUAUGGGUCUAGGGAAAACUCAUAGGAAAUCAUAAAUUAACCAUCAAUAUAUACUUAAAUAACAUUUACUCAUCACUGUUCAUCACAAUUCAUUCAUAAUUUCGUUUUCCAUAGAAGACCCAUGUGAGGGGGAAAACCCUAGUUUUGAGUGAUCUACAAAUUAUAUUUUGGAGAGACUUCGUGGGGAAAAGGAUCCUAAGAGUUAAAGAAAUAAUACAUUAGAUAUGUUAAAGCCAUGAAAUUAGGUUGGAAGUUUGAACACUUGACCUUCUUAUUGGAGCUCUAAUGGUCUUCAAUGGAGGGUGGGAAGAAGAGAGAAUUUGAGAGAAAUGAGGGUGAUUUUUAUUUCAACUUUGGGUAUUUUAUUUGGGUGUGUAAAAUGACUUAAUACUUACCCUAAAACGUUUUAUAGUAAUAUCCUAAAUUACUCAAAAGACCCCUCACUUAAUUGGGUCUUGAUGUGAAGUCAAAUUGACUUAAAAACAACAUGAACGAAUAUGGGAAGUUCUUGUGCAUUGCGGGGGCAAUUCCAAUUAUUUUUUCUAAAAUUAUGGUCAAGGAAGCGAUCCUCGUGGAGUUAUCACGUUGUGAAUCAAUUGUUUCCUAAUGAGUGUGGCCUGCGCGACACGUGGCAGCCUUUGGAUCUAGGCUGCAAGUAGGCUACUUUGGCAACCUAUUCGCGAAGGUUCGGGUCCUCCUCAAGGACCCCUGGGUUGGUCCUUAGGGAGUCGUUACUUGAUGUUGGGACCCUUCAUACUAUAUUUUUACCUAUUUAACACUAUGUUUUAUAAGUUUUAUACUUCAUACAACAAUCUCAAACCUUCACCAAACAUAGGGAUGUCUAGGAGUUCAAUUUCGCUAGUUUUCGAACGUCGAGGUCUUUCUUUGAUGUUUUAGAUCUAAUACUUCUCAAGUAAGUUAUUUACAGUCAUUUAGGUAUAAAAACAUCAUUAUUCAACAAAUGAGGCUCUAGUAUAGGUCAUGGAAUUCUCGAGGUGUGUCCCAUGUAAUAGAAAUGUUCUUCUGGAUUGUUAAAGGUCAUGUCCCUACUCUAUUGAAGUCGUGUCUAUGAUUUCAAGAUGAUACUUAGUGUCCUAAUUUUGUAUUGACUAGUUUUAAAUAAUACGAAUUAUUAGUCUUUUGUUAUGUUUCUAAAAAUUUUUAAUUGCGCACUAAUUUUCAUGCCUAUGCAAUGAAUUAAUGCUUCAGUCUUGUAUAAGACCUCUUAGAGGUCGAAUACACCAAUGUUACGUCUAGGGGGUGCUCUCCUGUCGUGACACUUAGGUUAACACUUUUGGCUUGUUUAGUGUUUAAUAUUUAAACAUUCUCAGUUCUAUAAAUUAAUUGAGUUAUUGAUCAUUAUAUAACUAUGUAUACUGUCCUCUACUGAGUUAUGUAAGCCAAACCAAGGGUCCUAUGGAGUCUAGCAAUGGUCUUCGAGUGCAAUUCCCGCCAAGGGUAUAGUCUCGCGGCAUUACACGAUGGUUUUGUACUUAUUUUGUACAUGCACUUAUUUUUGUUGAGUACAUAGCAUUUUCAAGUGGCUAUUGAAAGACCUUGCUUUGGAUACUAGAGUUCAUCACAUUGACUACGAGGGUGAGCCUCAUCUUCCGAUAUCCCAUGGAGUUUUCUUUGGUCUAUGUCCAUCAUUUCUAGACGUUGGCAUUGUUUUGGAUAGUUGAAUAGUUCAUAAGUUGGGGAUGUAUCCCUCCUUGUUUAGGGUUAUGGAUCUUAUUAGAUGUUUUGGUACAUUGGUUUUUAGAUUCUAGGUAUUUAAAUUCCAUAUUUGUAGUUAAUUAACUUGUUUCCGUUACAUAAUAUCCUUAGUUUUUGUCUAAUUUUCUUGGUUGGGUUGUAGUAAUGGUCCCCCCCCCCCCUCGAAGGGAUAGUGUAGGUGUUAUUCACGAUGGUAUGGGUAGUGACAUUUAUUGGUUUAUAAAUUUAUAAUUUGUGUUAGAAAGAAACUGAAGUUGUUUACAUUAAAUUUGAAAAAGAAAACAUUAAUUCAAAUGGUUGAAAGAUGAAUUUGAUAUCUCAACAAGAAAUAACUUUAAUUUUUUUAAAAUAUAAAAUUAUUAUGUCAGUAACACACAUUUGUGGGAUAAGAUGAGUUGGACUAAGAUAUGAGGAUUACUAAACAGAGAAUACAAGUCGUACGUUCACUUUAUCAAUUAUUACUAUUCUAGUCUUUAAAAUGUCGAGGACCUAUUAGAAACAUCUCCCUGCCUCUUAAAGGUUGGGAUAAAAUUUACAUACAUCUUAACCCUAUCCAACCCCACUAGCAGAAUUAGUAUUGUUAGUCUUGAAAAUCACAUUAAAGAAAUAAACAAGAGUCUUCAUUUUCUUCUUAUUUAGGGUAAAAUAUAACAUUGUUGAACCUUAAAUAUGUGUGUACAACUUUUUAAACAACAUGAUUAGAUAAUAGGGAAGAAAUAAUUUUUCUCCUAAUUGAGAUUUUGAAUGGGUGAAAAGGCUUCCUUUUCCUAAUCUUACUCAGUGACAUAUAUAAUGUUUCGGAUUGAACGGAAAACACCAUAAGAAAUACAUAAUGAUUUUGAUAUCAAAAAGGAUUUUUCCGGAAGAAAAAGAGAAUAUUUGUAAACAGAAUGCUUCGGCUUUUGAUAAUUUUAUAGUUAUUUUUUUUUAAGAAACUAUAGAAUAAGAAGAAGAAAGUACAAAGGAGAGAAGACUUAUGAUUUCUCUUGAGGGGUGACUUUACGAUGAAGAGGACCACUCUAUUUAUAGGAGAAAUCUAACUUGGUCCCCCAAGUAAGGCUCUUAACCAUAUCCUAACAGGACUCUACAUUAUCUACAUUCACUAUAAUACAAAUACUAUAUAACAUUCCCCCUGAAUGUCUAAUUCAUAAAUGAUGUGCUUCGUCAAAACCUUACCCAAAAAAUUUAAGAAAAUAAAAACACUAUUGGAGGAAAAGAGUACCCACAUAUAUUAAUACAUAUCUAGGUUGCGUCAUUAAAAACCAUACAAGGAAAACCUAGUGGGACAAAAUUUUGUUAGGGAAAAAGAGUACAACGCAUAUUAACUCCCCCUAAUAAGAACAUCAAUCCUGAGACUUGAAUCUUCGCAUUCCAUGCUUGUGCACCAUCUUCUUAAAAGUUGCAAUUGUUAGAGACUUGGUUAAUAGGUCAGCACAUUGUUACUUGAAGGAAUCAGUUGCACAUUUAUCUCACAAUUAUUUUGGAGUUCACAUGUAUAUAAAAGCUUUGGUGAAAUGUGCUUUGUUCUAUGUCGUUCUCUGAAUCCUCCAUUAAGUUGUGAUAUGAAUGUUGCAUUAUGAUCAUAUUAAGUGGUGGGUACUAUAUCACACUAUAAAAAACACAUUUCUCUCUAGUGAGAUGUAUCAUAGAUCUUACCCACACACAUUGUCUACUUGCUUCAUAAAUAGCUAUUAUCUCAGCAUGAUUAGAUGAAGUGUCUAAAAUGGGCUGUUUUGUAUAACUCUAAGAUACGACAGUCCCCCCACAUAUAAACACAUAGCCUAUUUGGGAUCGAUCUUUGUGAUAAUCAGAUAAAUAUCCAGCAUCAGCAUAACUAACAAGAUUAGGGCUACAAUUAUUAGAAUCAAAUAAACCCAUAUCAGUUGUCCCAUUAAAAUAUAGAAAAAAUGUGUCACAUCUCAUUCCAAUAUCUCCUAGUAGGAUAAAAACUAUAAGUUGUAAACAAAUUAACAACAAAAGAUAUAUAAGGCCUUGUAGUAUUAGCAAUAUACAAUAGUGCACCAAUUGCACUAAGAUAUGGUAUUUCAGAACUAAGAAUUUCCUCAUCAUUUUCUUGAGGUCAGAAUGGAUCCUUAUUCACAUCAAGUGAAUUAACAACCAUCAAAGUACUUAGUGGAUGCACUUUAUCUUUACGAAAUCCUUUCAACACUUUUUCUGUAUAGGCAGACUGACGAACAAAAAUACUAUUUGUGAAGUGCUCAAUUUGCAAACCAAGACAUAAUCUUGUCCUUCCAAGAUCUUUCAUCUCAAAUUCAUUCUUUAAAUAAUCAAUUGUCUUUUGAUGCUCUAUUGAAGUUCCAAUAAGAUUUAUGUCAUUAACAUGAAUAGUAAGUACAACAAAUUCUGAUAUUAUUAUCUUUAUAAAGACAUGUGGAAAAAUUGCAUCUUUUGUAUAACCUUCCUUAAUUAAAUACUCACUAAGAUGGGUAUAUCACAUGCUUCCAGAUUGCUUCAGACCAUAUAAUGAUCUUUGCAAUUUAAUUGAAUACAUUUCUCGAGAUUUUUAAUUACAUGAUUUAGGCAUCGCAAAUACUUCAAGAAUUUUCAUGCAUAUCACAUUAUAAAGUGAUCCAUAAAGGUAGGUUGUAACUACAUCCAUCAAAUGAAUUUCAAGUUUCUCAUGGACUGUGAAACUAAUGAGAUAACGCAAUGUUAUUGCAUCCAUAACUGGUAAGUAUAUCACUUUAUAAUCGACACCAAGCCUUUGUGAAAAUCCUUGUGCCACAAAAUGUGCUUUAUACAUUUGUAUUUCAUUUUUCCCAAUUAUUUUUUGCACAAAAAUCCAUUUGCAACCAACUACUUUAAUACCAUUAGGUAUUUGAACUAUUGAGUCAAAAAACUUCACACUUGAUAAGUGAAUUCAAGUUUGAUUGAAUUACUUCUUACAAUUUUUGUCAACCAUUUCUUUGUCGACAAUCUAUAACAGACAUAAUCAACCACUUUUUCUAAUAAAUUCAGAUUAAUUUCAACAUCUCCUAAAUUGAUGGAUAGUUCAUUAUUUUCUUGAGUUUUAAGUUCAUUGAUUCUUGUAUGAAUAUCAGAAUUAUUCAAAUUUUGAAAUUCCAUAUGAGAUUCUUUCAUAUUGUCAUCAUGGCAUUAUAUCUAUAUUUUUAUAGGAUUUUAAUCCUUUGAAUCCAAUGGUCUACCACACUUUAGGUGUGUUUUUUUCACUCAUUAUCUAUGACACUAGUGGAUGAUCCUAUAGGGCAUCAAUUUGAAUUGGGAUAUUCUGUAUAUAAAUAUGUGAUUUAGUAGUCCUUUUCAAAUUUGAAAAUGCGUCUGGCUUUUGAUUUGCAAUUUUAUGCAGAUGAAUAAUCUUUUGUAUUUCUUGCUAAUAAAUGGAAGAAUAUGGAUCAAGAUGAGACAAUAAUAAAUUUUUUCAUAAAAUUUCUCGUUUUAUUUCACUAUUCUCUCCCCCUAAUUUUGGAAAAAUAAUCAAACCGACAAUCUGCAAAUCGAGGAGUAAAUAUUUCUCCAGUCAAUGGUUAAAGAUAGUGAAUAAUUGAGGGUGACUCAAACCCGACAUAUAUUCCUAACCUUCAUUGAGGUCCCAUCUUAGUGGUAUUUUGUGGCGCCACAAGCACAUAUACAGCAUAUCCAAAAAUUCUUAUAUGGGAUAGAUUAGGUUCUUGACCCAUAAUCAAUGGAUAAAUCUUAUGAUAAUUUGUUGGUUUGAGACGAAUAAGUGUUGCAGCAUGCAAAAUUGCAUGUCCCCAUAGAGAAGUGGGAAACCUUGUUUCCAUGAGCAAUGAUCUUGCUAUUAAUUGCAAACAUUUAAUUAAUGACUCCACAAGUCCAUUCUUAGUAUGAACAUGAGCAACGGAGUGUUCAACUUUUAUCCCAAUUGCUAAACAAUAAUUAUUAAAUGAUUGGGAUAAAAAUUCUACAGUAGUAUUAAGACGAAUGGACUCAAUUUGAUUAUCAAGAAAGUGUCCCCUUAACUUUAUUAUUUGUGCCAAUAAUUUUGCAAAUGACAAGUUAGGAGAUGAUAAUAGGCACACAUCAGAACGUCUAAAAGACGAAUCUAUUGGAUCCAUUAAGUAUUUAAAUAACCCACUAGGUGGGUGAAUAGGUUAACAAAUAUAUUCAUGUAUACGUUCCAAGAACGCAGGGGACUCAAUCUCAACUUUCCUUUGUGAAGGUCUCACAAUUAACUUGCCUUGAUAACAAGGAAAAUUCACUAUUUUAAAGAACUUUUAGGUCCUUUAAUGGAUGUCCAUUUGAAUUUUCUAUAACACGUGUCAUCAUUAUAGACCCAGGAUGUCCCAGACGAUCAUACUAAAUUACAAAUGUAUUGGAAUCAGUAAUCUUCUUAUUUACUAUAAAAUGUGCUUCGAUUGCACUAAUUUUUUUCCAAUACAAGUCAGAAGAUAAAGCAAGAAACAUUUCUAUAACACAUGUCUACCUAGAGACAUUCUUGGUAAUACCAAGAUGUUCAAAAUUUAUUUCAUUCAUUGACUAGAUAUGAUAACCAUUUUCACCGAUAUCUUUCAAACUCAACAAGUUUCUCUUAGAUUUCGGAGAAAAUAUAGCAUUAUUAAUGAUGAAUUUAGUUUCCUUGGGCAAAAUUACAAUGGCUCUUCAAAUUCCUCAAUCAUAUAGGUACUACCAAAAAUUUUAGUAACAUUUAUUUUGCCCAUACUUAAAGGGAAAAAAAUAUUUCUCAUUUUUAAUAUCGCAUGUGUUGUACAAAAAUCAAUCAAGCAAAUGUCUUCCCAUUUCGAUAACAUGUUUUUAGAAUUAUCCAUAUCUUCACAUUAGAUGACAUAUACAAAAUAAAUAUAUAAUUAAUGCUAGUGUUGUCAAAAGGGUAAAAUAUUUCCAAUAUAAUAAACUAAUAAUUAAAUAUUAGGAGUUGAGUCUUAAUUUAUUGUUUCCUCUAUGUUAAUAACGAGUUAAUAGAAAAAAUAAAAUAAAAAAUCAUUAUUUAAUCCUAUUGAACAAAAGAAUGGAUGUUUUUAACAUUAGAUCAAGUUAAAGACCUAAUAUACUACAAAUACAUGAUAAAACCUAGUUAAUAACAGACUGCAUGUUUUUAACAUUAGAUCAAGUUAAAGACCUAAUAUAAUACAGACACAUGAUAAAUCCUAUUAAUAACAGACCGUAUCUUGUUAACAUUAGAUCAAGUUGAAGAUCUAAUACAAUACAAACACAUGAUAAAGUUUAGUAUUUGACUAAUUAUAUCAUAUUAGAAUUAUAUAAAUAAAUCAAUGAAAAAUAUAUAUUAUCUAAUUAAGAUGGAACAAACUAAUGAACUAAUAGAAUAUGACUAAACUAAUUUAAAAUACUACUAAUCACGUAAACAACUAUCAUGACAUGAAAUUUAUUAAGAACUACUACCAUAAAAAAAGACUCUUCCAUGUUCACGAACCAUCACCAAUUAAGUGAUAUAUCUAGGGCAUUAAAACCUCAUUUUGGGGGUUAGAUACUAUACUAUUGUUCUAUGUUGUUUAUUGAAGAUUGGGUUUUUGCAACUUUAGCAAUUAAUCAAUUUAUGGAUUUGGUUUGUACAAUUUUUAUUAAAAUUUCAAGUGAAGAUUUCUGGGUCUAAUCUUCUUACUAAAGUAAGUUCAUGAUUUCUUUAUCUAAUACUAUGAAUUGAGAUCUUGCUUGCAUGGAUAACUAAAUCAAAAACUAGGUUUGUGGGAAGCAUGGAUAAUUAACCAAGUAUUCCUGGUAAUUAAGCUAUUCUCGAAUAGUGUUGUUGCAUACAUUUAUAAUUAUUUCGCUUUGAAGUCUUUUUAACGAGUGCACGCGUUAGAACUCACCUUGUUUCUACUUGCCAGAAAAAAGAAGUAGUAAUAGGAAAAGGAUUAUCAACAUAGAUUUAGUGUAAUACUAUCUAAUAGGCUAGUGUCUAUUGAUGAGAAUAAAUAACUAAGUCAUACAUCGAUUAUGACGUCUAAUAUGAGGUAAUGGUAAUAGUUAGUAGAUUAUACACACAUAGCCGGACCAAGGUGUGGGGUGAAAUUCUCUAGAUGUCGGACCAAAGAUUUAGAGAAACCUAACCUAUAACAUAGUAUGUAAUACAUUAGGAAAGGAUUUCUAUUCCUAGGAAUAUUGCGCUACAAACCAGUGAGGAACACAUAGGCCCUAGUUACUCUUUCAUCUUUAUAAAACAACAUUUACUUUUGUCGACUUGAUAAUUACACUGCUUAAGGAAAUUUUCUUUCACAAACCCCCUCUGGCUUACUUGUAUAGGGAAGACCUUGACUAAAUAGAUCUAAUCGUGAAUUAAAGUUAAGUCUAAAAGAUUUUCCUCGUGGGAUUGACCCCAACCUACUAAUUGGGUUCUGUACUUGAUAACGAUUUCUUAUACUUUUUUAUGGAGGUGUAAUUUGAGCAUCUGAUACAGUAUGACACAAUCAUCCAUUAAAGUAAAAUAAUGUUUUGCCCCAUAUUGAACUUUUUUUAUCAAUAUCACAACUUUCUCAUCUAAUUUUUAUGAUUCUUUCACUUGUUCGAGUAAUAUUGGCUUUAGUUGAAAAUUAGUAAUAACAGAACCAUUUGACUCAGGUGUAAAACAAACAUAAGGUGAAAGGAUUCAAAGAAAUGCUUGUGAAGAAUUUUCAAUUUAAGGCAUCGACAAUUAGAUUAGCUUUACCUGGACAAUCGUGCAAUCAUAAACCGUGAUGAGUUCAGUAGAGCUAUGUCGUCUUAGGUUUAGCUCCAUUUAAGUACCCAAUUACAUUAAAGAUAUUGUGAUAAGUUAAUAGAAGACAUUUCCUUCCAUACAAAGAAUGACACCAUAUUUUUAAAGCAAACACUAUAGCAGCAAGUUCAAGAUCAUGAAUAGGAUAAUUCAAUUCAUUUGGUUUUAAUAUCCAAGAGCAUAAGAAAUUACCUCCAUUCUUGCAUUAACACUCAUCCUAGACCAUUGUAAAAAGCAUCACGUACAUUACAUAUUCUUUCCCUUCUAUUCGUAGAGUAAGUAUUGGCUCUUGAGUCAACAAGGAUUGGAGAGUUUCAAAGCUCUCUUGAAAUUUGUCAUACCAAAUAAAUUUUACUUUCUUGUUCAUGAGGUUAGUCAAAGGGAAGACGAUAAUGGAGAAGUCUUUCACAAAUCUUCUGUAGUUUCUUGCUAAGCCCAAGAAACUUCUUAACCCAGUCAAACUUUUGGGAUGUCUACAUUCAACAACAACUUGUAUCGUAUUAGGAUCAACCUACACACCUUCAGUUGAUACAUGUCCAAGAAAAACAACUUCAUCUAGCCAAAAUUCACACUUGGAAAGUUUAGCAUAAAGUUCUUAUUCAAAAUUUUUAAAAUAAUCUGGAGGUGUUUAUCAUGGUCUUCACUACUUAUGGAAAAUAUUAAAAUGUCAUCUAUAAAAAUAACCACAAACUGAUCAAGAUAAGACUUGAAUACCUGAUUCAUUAGACCCAUGAAUACUUCAAGAUCAUUUGUCAAUCAGAAUGGAAUCACCGAAAAUUCAUACCGACUGUUGUAUCAAUUUCUAAAAGCAGUUUUAGAAAUAUCUUUCUCUCUAACAUAAAGUUGGGGAUAUGUACACCUUCAAUCAAUCUUAGAGAAUAAUUUAGAAUAGUUCAAUUGGUCAAACAAAUCAACGAUCCUUGGUAGUGGAUAUAUAUUCUUUAUUGUUAUUCUUUUCAAUUGUGUAAAGGCAAUACAAAACCUAAGAGUGCCAUUUUUCUUCUUUACAAAUAAAACAGGGGCUCCUAAAGGAGAAAAACUAGGUCGAAUAAAACCUUUCUCAAGAAGUUCUUGCAAUUGAGAUUUCAAUUCUCUUAACUAUGUUGGAGCCAUUCUAUAAGGAGUUAUAGAAAUAGGGGUAGAUCAAGGAAUAAGCUCGAUUGGAAAUUCAACGUCUCUUUCUUGGCACUAUUUCAGAAGGUUUUCUGGGAAAACAACUGGAAAAUCAAAUACAUCAGGUAUGUCCUUGAUACAAGGACUCUUCAACUGUGUAUUAACUAUGUGAGCAAGGUAUGCCACACAACUAUGGUGCAUCAACUUUCUUGUAAAGGCCGCAGAGGUAAUAUUAGAUGUCAAUGAUCGUUAACCUUGUAUGUUUAUUUGUGAACGUGUAGUAUCUUUAAAAUUCACAUGAUUUGACCUACAUUCUACGGUGUGUGAUAUUUAUAAAGCCAAUCCAUCCCGAUAAUAACAUCAAAAUCCUUGAAGGGAAUUUAAAUCAAAUCAGCAAGCAAAACUAGGUUUUGAAUCACAAAAAGACAAUCACGAAAAAUUCUAUUACAAACAACUUGAUAACCCAUACGAUUCUCAACCAGUACAUCAUAAUUAUGUUCCACACAUUUAAUAUUUUCAGAAAGAGCAAGUGAUGAACAAAUAUAGGAAUGUGUAGAACAAGGAUCAAACAAUGUAAUAAAACAAAAACCAUAUAAGAUAAAUUUAUCGGCAACCACAUCUUGUCCAUCUUGUCAUGCCUCUACCUCAUAAAAUAAGAGUGUGAAGUAGACCUUUGUCCACUAGCUUGAUUAGUUUUGCUUGUACCUGCUGCUUGGUUGUUUUUAGGUCUUGCACAUUUAUUAGUUUGAAUGGAAGGCCUAUGAACUGAGACUUUAGUAUUCAAUGAAGGAGCAUUAUUAUGAUAAGGACAGUCCUUCACUUUAUGAUCAAAGCUCCCACAAUUAAAACAUGAACCCGAGUAUCUCCUACAAGUACCAUAAUGAUUCUUUCCAAAUUGCUGAAAAGUGGAAAUGUGAGACUUGCCUUGGGCAUAAUUAUGAGUGCUAGUUGUAGAAAACUCUAUUCUGUUUUGCUUUUAUAGAGCUGGUCUGUUAUCACUACUACCCUUAGAAUUAUCAAACCCUCCCUUUUUUUAUGAACGUUCAAAAUCUGGUCUAGACUUUUAGAAUCUUUUUUUUCAUUUCUACUAUCUUUUUCUUUAUCAAGUCAUUCUCAAGUAAAACAGAGCACACUAAAUUACAAAAGUUCUCAUGUUGUACGAUCUCCACAUUCUUCCUAAUGGAGUCAUUUAAACCAUCUUCCAAUUUCUGUCACUUGUCCUCUUUAAUUAUACCUCCAGCAUACCUAGAGACCCUUAGAAACUUCUGCUCAUAUUAAGCAGUAGACAUGCUUCAUUUCCUUAGAUUGAAUAACUUUUUUUUCUUUGCAUCACAAUUACCAGGUGGUAUACACUGUAUACGAAAUUCCUUAAGAAAAUUAUCCCAAGUAAAACAUGAAGUUUUACCUUGGCGUUAAGAACAUUUAUCCACCAAUCGUAAGCAUACUUUUGUAAUAGUGAAAUUGCAUACUUAAAUUUGGCAACAUCUGAACAGUCUAACAGAAAACACCUCUCCCUGCACUCCAUCCAUCUUUCAACAUCAGUAGGAUCAAGAACACCUUCAAACUCCAAUCCACCCAUUUUCCCCAUUUUCUCAAAAUUAAUUCUUUUGGUAUCAUGCAUCGAGUCAACCAUGUAGUGGAAGAAUUCAGCCAUUUGUUGAAAUGGAGGAUUCACGGCAUGAGUACCAUAACUCAUUUGAGGAUGUGGAUUAACUGUUACGUGUUGAUGGUUUCCCACUUCAGACCCACAAGUGUGGGGAAAAUAUUGGUUUGAGAGAUGUUCUCCAACCCCUUCCAGCGCAUGAGGUUGGGAAACAAAGGCACUAGAACCUUCACGAUCAAUUUCCAUAGAUCAGGCAGAAGAAGUGGCCAAAACCUAACUCCUUCAAAAGGGAACAUCACAUUGAAUUAGAGACAUGUACUUUAUGUCUAUACACUCUAUAUACUAUGCAAUAAUUAUAAACCAAUAAGCGAACAAAUAAUCUAAAUAGAAACUUUUCGAAAACUUACCACUAUACAAGUAAUUUACAGGAAAAGUCCUAUAAUCAAAAACCUAGGCUCUGAUACUUACCCUUAGAAUUACCGCAAUCAUAGGGGAUUUGACCUCUUGCUAUCCCUUAUUUUCUUCUUAAGUAUAAUAUCCUCAACUUGUUGAGCAUGCACUGUGAAACGAGAAAGGUCCAUGUUGUUCUGAAACUUUAUUGCACGACACUCUUCCACGAGAUCAUAGGACACAAUCGUAACAAAAUGAUUCAUUUCAUCCCUAGGAUUAGACAACAAAGACGAAUCAUACUUGGAAAACUUGAUGAAUUUCAAACAGUAUUCUUGAACACUCUUACCUCCUUGAUGAAGGUUUAUGAACUUUUCCACUUUUCCCUCUCUUUUCUCCCAUGGGAAGAACCUAUCACGAAAUGCCCUCCUAAAGGCUUCCAAAUUUAUGGGACCCUCUUUCAAAGUCCUGUUCUCCUUUCAUUGAUUGUACUAAGUCUGAGCCAUAUCUUUGAGUUGAUAAAUGACUAGCUCGGCUUCACAUUUGAACUCACCCCCAUCGCAUACAAGAUCUUAUAUACCUAAUCAAGAAGCUCUUGAGAAUCUUCAGUAACCUUAGACCCAAAGAACAUUGGAGAGUUCAUCCUAGUGAAGUCCCUAAAACGUGAAGCCAUGCUACUACCAUUUUGAUUCACACAGGGUGCAACUUUCCGAUUUGCUUGUGCCGUCAUAGAUUGAGUUUCAGUAGUCAUUACUUGUAUCGAGUUUAGUAAAUUCACCCUUAUAUCUCCAUCCAUCAUGACGGAGGAUUCAUUGGAGCUUGGCCACCAAGAGGAACUUGCUCUUCAGGAUGAGCUUGUUGCCUUGGGGAGGAACUCCCACAUUUGCAAUCUCCUCUUCAACCUUUUUUGCGAUUGUCCUUUUAGUAUUCAUAGUCUAUAUCCAUAAGAAAGGAUAAGAAGAAAAGGAAACAUAGAUUUAAGGCUCUUUAGGCACGAUUGAAGAAUACAAAAGAAGUGAGAAUUUCCUAAGCAUCACAUAGCCUCUCAUUUAUAAGUGUGGCGCUCUUCAAAUUUAUGAAGUAGACUCUACAUAGAAGUGAUUUUUAUGAGACAUCAUUCCUAAGAUUAUUCAACCUCAUGCUCUUAUAACAAGUUUGUUACGACCCGAGAGUACUCUCUAGUGGUAAUCGGUGUUGUCAACCCUGAAGAGGUUUUAGACAAGACCAUAGCCUUCAUCGUUGCAUCAAAGAUAGAAUAAAAUCAGAAAAUUUAAAGCUUUUCAUUGAAGUUCAACUUCACUUCAUACAUAAAAAUAGAAACUAACUUGUCUCACAUUACCAUAUACACAUAUGAGUAUGAAAACGAGACUUAGCCAUUACAUCAUUUCAAGUUUUAUAAAAUGGAUACAACAUUUUCCUUGAAAAAAGGAGAGGUGGAACAAAUGUCUUUCAAUAUAAGCAAAACAACUAAAGCUAGAAUUACAUGGUGUUGUCAUUGGAUUUGAGGACUCACCAACUUGGGAAACAAUCCAAGUUUCUUGAUAAAAUUGUCUUGAAUCACCUCAAUGUCCCAAACCUACAUUUAUUUAGAAGAUAUAAGAGAUAUGGCUUAGUACAAAGUACAUAUACUAUGUAUGGAAACUUAUGCAAGUAAAACAUUUGAAAACAUGCACCCAAGGACUUUUUGUUUACAAGAAUGCUACAUUAUCUUUAAGAUACUUUAUUCACAUACCAAGAAAAUAUACAAGUCCAUAUCAGAUUGACAAGUAACAUCAUAAUAAAGCCAUAGUCAAUAUUUCAUAUUAAAGUCCAUUUCAUCAAUACAAGACAAGACCUCACUCAUAAACCCCAAAUAAAGUCUACUAGUGCAAUGUUUAUGUGAAGUCCUAGAACCCCAGACACCUCAAGCAAACCAUCAAGAAGAUAACAAGCAUUGUCUUAUUACCUCAUACAUCAUCAUAACAAGUAUAGAAAACACAAGCAUACAAAGUGAGACCAACAUCAUGUAUUACAAGUGAAACCCAUAUCAUAGUUAUGAUAGGAAACCAAAACCGUGAAUUUAAUUCAUAAUAUAUAUAUAUAUAUAUAUAUAUAUAUAUAUAUAUAUAUAUAUAUAUACACACACACACACAUACAUAAAGAACCCACCCUAGAAUUCCCCUCAAGGUCCACUUGUGCGAUGUACAGGUAAAGUCUCAUACCCUUAAAUACAAUAAGCAACAUCUUUUAAGUAGUCUUAUGUACCAUUAUAUCUUGGUACAUUUAAUGAUUAUAAACAAGGAAUUAAUACUACAAUCGAGUGUGUUUUGUGUGAUAUGAUAUGUUUGUAGAUUGUGCAGGAAGAAUUUGGCAGACAUUGAAAAAGUAGAAAAAAAAGUAAAGAUCAUGACCCCGUGGUCAACUUCACAGACCGUGAGGGUGGACAUGAAAUAAGAUUACAAUGACUAAGUUAUGAAUACCCACGUUUGGUAAAGCUGAAGUGUAUACCACGGAAAACAUAACAGACCGUGAUCACUUUGAUAGUCCGUUGUCCAGCUUGUGAACAAGAUUCGAGAGGGCAAUUUGAAAUUCCAGUUUUUGUAGAGUUGUAGUGAAGACCACAUACCACUUCAAGAACAAUGAUGACUUUGAAGGACCGAGGUCCAUGUCGUGAACAAGAUUCAAGAGAGUUGGUUAAAAUUCCUAAUUUUUACAAAGUUGAAGGUAAGACCACAGACCACUUCACGAACUGUGGUAUCUUUUACAGUUCGUGAGCUGGAUCAUCAUCUUGAAACCAUUAGCUAUGUUAAAUACCAAAUGCUUGGACACUCUAAGGAAACACAACAGAGGGCUUCAAGGAUUGUGAAGCCUUUCACGGGCCGUGACGAUGACCGUGAAAGAGAUUGAACAAUUCAGCCCUAGUUUAAUUUGGUUUCCUUUAAAAUAUAUUAUUUGGAUUUAUUUGGUCUUUUGUAGGGCAUGAGAGGAUUUUAUUAUGAAUUGACGAAGGAUACAACACAAAAUUUGUGCAUUUUUAUGUUUUUGGCUUCGAAUACUUUUGUAACAAGGGAAUUUUGGUUCUCUUAUUAUCAACAUGAUUUUUAAAUUGCAAGUUGAUUUUGUAAAUAUUUAGAAUUAUGUUCUCAUUUUUCUUUUAAUUACUAUAUACAAGAAAUUAUGAGGAACUAAAUACUUUGACCAGGUGUGUGGGAUUUAUGAUGACACUAUAGACCUGAUUUUUUAAAAUUAGUGCAAAGCAAUCUUUGUUUACAUGCUAUAGUUUAAAGCUUUCGAUCAUAGUCUAUUGAGUGCUCACUUAAGAAAAAUCUGUAUCAAGUGUUUGUUUGAGAGAAAAACACUUGUUAGGAAAAAGCUAAAAUCUACUUAAUAAAUCGAGUUUAAAUCUGGAGUGCGAGAGAACAUAACUUUAAAUUCAUGUCAAUAUAAGCGAGUGUUUAAUGUAACAACCACUUGCAAUUUUAGAGAAUAUAAAUGAUCAUUGUCUAACAAGGCAGAGAAACAUUAGAUAAAGCCUAAUUGCUAAUCUCUGUUAACAUCUAAUUGCUUUACACUCAAAUUGCAGAAGAGCUUUAUAGUUGUCGUCAUAGUGAACACUAACCUGGUUUCUCUUAAUUAACUGAACAACUCAUGCAUCGUUUUAGUGUAUGAAUCAUCCAUGUUUACUCCGAUCUUAAGUUUUAGUGAUUGUUACUUGACAUUCGUACCAAAUUUAACUUUCUUUUAAAUUUGUUAGAAGAUAUAACAUGAAUCGGAUAAAUGCGAGAGUAAAACAUUAUCUAUAAAGAAAUUCUCUAUGGGAUCGACCUCAAAUCCUAUUAAGUUUUGAAAUUGAUAUCGACCGUUUAAAGUUUUUUUAGUUGCAAGUUUGGACGUGCAAUAGUCCUAGCUAGUGUUCAUGUACUUUUUUCAUUCAUUUAUUUUAACAUUCGGGAAACUUUUCCAUAACUUACAUAGACCAUGUGAGCUACAUCAAAUCUCAUUCAAUCCCCUCAUACCAAAAGAAGGGUAUCCUACUUGCCAAUGUAAGACAUAAACAUCGUAUAACAUCUAGGUGGAUCCACUAGUUAAGGUUCCUAUGGGGGCACAAAGUUAAAGAACUAAAAGGUUUUACUAAAAACCUUCUUUAUGCUAACUAGAAUUGUAGUUUCCACAUCAUGAGAGAACAUAUUGUCAACCACCCUUCCUUUGUGAAGGAACACCUCUCAUUGUAAAGUUCACUUAGUGCUAAGUUAAAUUCAAUUUUUUCAAGUGCCUUAAGGUAUUUCGUAACAUCAAUUGAUAAGAUAGGUAUUAGGUGUUAUACCCCUCAUAUAACAUGUUCAUGGAUCAUAGGUUCUAGUAUGAGAAAUGUCUUUCAUUACAAACACAACAACAUGUGAGAAAAAUACUUCAUGACAUAUUCAUAAGAUAAACAUAAUAAUUACUUUCAGCCCCUCAUAGUAGAAGACCUAUCAUUAUCCCACAAUUCAUAUUAUUAUAAAAAAUUCAUUAGUUCAUUAUUCAUACUACAAGUGAUCAACAUUGCCAAAGAUAUACCAACAAUAGUAUAAUAACAUGUUCAUGGCAUUGAAGGUCUUACCAAUGGCCUCAAAGAUACCCUUUCAAUAUUUCAUCCAAAAAUCCAUGAUAUUCAUCUAUAAAAACGGUUAUCAUCGUCAAACAAUACAGUUUUAUAAAAGAACAUACUCAAUUGCAUCACCUCUAGUCAUUAGUCAACAUAAUUCAAGAGUUAGGGUUAAGAGAAUAGGGACAUUAAUGGGUCUUCAUUAAACUAAGUCAAGAACCUAAACAAUACAUCAGUUCAGUCAUAAAAAUUCACAUUCAAUCAUCAUUAAUCAAUUCUAGACCAAAUAAGUCAAGUUUAAAGGUAACCCACGAAAUUGAGUGAAAUCUAGAAAGUUUGAAGAACAUUGAAAAUCAAUUUAAAAAAAAAACCACUUUGGUAAAGGAGUCCCAAGAGUGAAGAUUCCCCAUACCAUUCCCAUACUUAAGGACUAAUGGAGAAAAGGCUUGUUCUUGAUCCCUACUUGAAGAUAUGACCUUAAUCUUCAAUGGAUUCCUUGGUUAGUGACAGUAUCUAGAGAGAGGUUAGAGCUUUUAAUUUUUUGGAGUUAUUAGGUGUAAGACGUGUUUUAUGACUUAAAACACUUUAAUAUACAUAAACUAACUAAUUAUACUCAUCAUUAACUAUCGAUAAAUUAAUUAAUUAGAUAAUUACUGAACUACCCCAACUUAAGCCUUGUGGAGGCAGUGAUGUUAGUGCCAAAUAACGAGUCCCGUUGACGGGGUGGUCAGUUGUGGAUUCGGAUUGAGGGUGUAUUUUUGGAUCAACUAGGGAGGAUUCUAACUGUGGACUCACGACGACCAUUUCUGGGGCAUGAGUCCAUUGUAACCUCGUCAAUUUCCCUCGUGGUUCCUUGUUAUUUUUUGAAAGCUUUUAGGGCCAAGGGUUGAGUCCUCCUCAAGGAUCCUUAGUGGUGGUCCUUGAGGAUUCGUACCCGGACAUUAAUACCCUAAACACGUAGUAACAUGUAUACCAAGUGUCUUUACAAGAUUUUUCUCUCACACGAUUUUUCAAACCUCAUACAAGACCUAAAGACACAAUAGGUCUAGUUUUUGGACGUCAUGGUCGUUUCUUGACGUCUAGAGCCUAAUACUUCAAAAUAAACUUAAUUGCAUCAUUUUAUAUCCCCAAACAAUAUUUUAACUCUCUUUAAGUCAUUAUUCAUUAUCUAAAUCUCUAGCCUAGGUCAUAGGAUUUCCGAGGUGUAACAUUCUAUGUCUUGAGUAAUAAAUUUCUAUCUCAUUUGAUUUUAUAUUUCUAAUCAUGGGACAAUAAAAUAUUACCCCUGAAGUCCUUGAUUUGAAUUUUUAAUGUCCAUAAUUCUGCAUGAAUCCGAUAAGUCGAGAAGUCUUGAGUUGAGAAGUGUCUUUGAGUAAUUAAGUUGAGUAAUCCAUGAUCAUAAUUCUGUAUGAAACCUCCAGGUUGAACAUCAUGAAGUCAUCCAUACACAUGAGAUCACGAACCUUGAAUCUAUAAUCCAAUUCAAGAAAAGUAAAGAUCAAAGUCAAGGGAAGUUAAGAGUCAAAUCUAAAAGGUAAGAGCAGGUAAAAGUUAAAGUUCAUUUUCACUUUAAGUAAAGAGUAAACAUUGAAGCCAGUUCUUCAAAGAAGAAUAUGGGGACUAAGUAUUCCCAAAGAGAUUUAAAAUAUUUCACAAUUAAAUAAUAAUGGAAAUUGAGAUCUCCAAAUAGCUUUUGGGCUAGUUUUCAUAAAAGAGUAAUUGCAAACUAAAUAAAGCAAGAGAGGAAACUGAGAUUUCCAAGAAAGACUUUAAGCCAUGUUUUUUAGCACUAAUCUCAAAUCACAGAAGAAAUAUGAUUUUAAAACAUAAGAGCUAGUAUAUUUUGGGAGUAUUAUUGAGCACAGAUAUGGGGUGAGUUUAAACAACUCACAGCCCCCCAUAAACCAUGUAGCCAUAAUGGGUAGAAGAGGUUCAUACUUUUUAGAUGAACCCUUUUCAGAUAGACUAGUAGGUCCAUUAGUAGUUCAGGUCCUAUACCUUUGGCCGGGUAUAGGAUGUGCUGGUAGCGUGAGGUAGAUCUAUGUAUCAUUCCUAUAGCUCUUAUGUGAUAGUUAUUGGUUAGAGAAACUCCCACAAAAGUUAUUGUAUUUUAUAUACAUAAGUCAAUUGUAUUUCACACACAUUUCAGAGUUAUGUUGUAUACUUGUUAUAUACCCAGAGUUGGUGUCAUAUUUUUAAAUCACUUUUCUUAAUAUUGCACUUAUUUAAACUAUUUUAUAUUGAAAUGAACUCAACUAAGUAUCAGGAUUUCAAUAUUUGGAGUUGAGUACCUUAAGAUGAUUAUCUUAAAUUAUCCUUGAGUACUUCUGAGUUGAGUAAGUUGAGUAGUUUUCAGUAUCCUUGAGUUGAGUUUAAUGUUUUAAAAGAGGUAAGUAUGUUUCAAUUUUUAUGAAGUUUGAAGCUUAUGUUUGUACUUUAGAAUUCCCCUUACAUUCUCAUACAUUCCACGUAGUGAGCCAUUUUUCCUACAUCAUCUCGUGAUGCAGAGAUAUAUAUUCACGAUCAUCAACAAGAGCUUGAUACAUUCGAGAGUUAGAGUUCGCUAUGGUGAGCCUCAUUUCAUCCGGAGGAUUUCAUUUACUUUUUAAUUUAUUCAGGAUAUCGUGGGUUUUGUCCUGACUUCCAUCAUUGUCAUUUAGAGGCUUCAUAGAUAGUUAAUAUAGUUGAGAAGCCUAUACUAUUCAUUUAUUUUAUCAAAAGUUUUAAAUAUUUAAGGUUCCUACUUUGGAAGGAGUGGAAUAUAUUUUAUUAUCCAUAGUUUCUUUUGAGUUAAAGUUUUGAUUUGACUUUAGAAAUUUUUAUUUACUUUUUAAGCUUUUGCUUGCUUAAGUUAGUCUACCGCUUGUAGUGAGAUGGGAUGAGGGUUACCUUGUCAACAAGCAAUAGUUCUUGAGUGUCGGGCACUUCCAGGGUGUACGCUCGGGUCGUGACAGAGUUGUUCAUCUACAUACCUAUUUAAACUAUAACUUGCAAUAUUUAUGUGUAUAUAUAUAUGGGUUUUUUAACGAUAAGGAGAUAUUGGAUUUGAUAUGAGUAAACAUCAAAAUAAUUAGAAAAUGAUCAAAUGGUUAUUCUAUUGUUUUAGGUUUUCAAUUAUUUUUGUUGGAAAUGUAGUCAAACAUAAUGACUUUAAUAACUAUCAGAAAUGAUUGGUCUUCUAAUUUGGUAUUAAUAUGAUGAGUUACGAACGUUCAUUGUAACUUUUAAUUAUAUUAUUAUGCUAAUAAUCUAAGACAGAAUAUGUAAAUUUUUUAAAGAAAAUCAAUUCAACUUCCAAAAAGGAAAAAUAAUAAGUUUUGGUCUAUGUAAUAUUUUUCUUUCCAUAUUCAUACCACAAUUUUGGAAAUUAUUUAAAAUCUAAUACACUAAGAAAGACCAAGAUCGCGUCAUGUAUUGAAAUCAUUCAUUCAUAGAUUUCUCCAUUUGCUUUGUCAUGUAUUCAGAAAAUCUCAUAACUCUUUAGACUAGAGAUGAUGAGGAAUUCAAACUCGACAAGUCUAUAGAUGUAAAUUCAAAUGUCAUUAAGAGCUUAGAACAAGACCUUCAUUGUACUUCUAAUGUCAUCCGCAUUUCCUAAUGUUGAUGGAAAAAUAAUUGAAAAAGUAAUUAGUUAUUGGAAGAAACAUUUAGAGGAAGGUGCUACGGAUGUUCAGUUAACAAAUUUUUAUUAGAAUUUCUUGAAGAUGAGCCACUUAGAAUUUUUUUAUGUUCACUUGACUUCUAGAUAUUUUGAUGAUAAUUACUUGGAAGAGGUAAUAAUCCAACAAUGUUUUCAUAGAAUCACAAGGAAAACAAUAGAGGAAAUACGUGAAGUAUUUAAUAUCGUGAAUAAUUAUAUUUCAGGGGAAGAGGAGCAGGUCCGUAGAGAGAAUGUUUGGGAUUUUAAAUGGUUUUAUAGUAUUUCUGUUAUAUGUUUAGCCAUAUCCCUUUUUUUAAUUUCUGUUAGUUCUGUCCUUUGUUUUUCCUUUUUGAAGAAAUAUUAUUUGGCUUUGAAUGAUUUGUAAAUUAUGUCGCAGAGAAAUUAAAAAUAGUUGUAUUAUUCGAAAAAGAAAAUUCAUUUGAAUAGUGGAAAGAUGAAUUUAUAUCUCAAAAAGAUGUAUCUAAAUUUAUUCUUUCAAUAAAUUGAGUUCUCUUCAUUCAAAUCAUUUAGGGAAAAUACAAAUCCCCCAUGAACGUGGUAGAAAAACUUACAUUAAUAAUUUAACUAUAUGGGCGUUUAAAUACCCCCUAAACAUCUCUGAACUAUAUUAAAUACAACCCUGAGAACCGAAUACCACUCUCACCCGCCUCAUCAUAGUCAUGUAAGCACCACGUCAUUAAUUAUUAUUUUUUUGCUUAUUCACCUUUUUUAUUUUCUUAAACUCAAUACACUAAUCAAUUAAUUAAAAAUACAUUCUAAAAUCAAAAUUGUCACAUAUUCUUCUUUAACCUCUUCUCUUUUACCCCCCCCCCCCCCCCACCCCACACACACACGGUUUCUUAUUUCUUGAUUUUCACCAUUUUCAACCUUCACUAGAUUUUUUUCCAAAACUUUAAGACGUCAAUGGUUGUUUUCUUCUUCAUCAUUCAUCAACUAUUUACUUUUUCUUCUUUGAACUGUCACUCUCAUACAAAUUUUUCCAUUGGAGAAUACUAUUUUAUGAAAAUUAUAUUUUUCUUAACAAUUAGAAUGAAAAAUGAAGAUUGUGUAAAAAAGUUGAUGGACCCACAUUUUUUUGCAUCACAACUAAUAGAAUUUAAAAUGAGUUACUUAAAAUUCAAGAAAUUUUGCAUUCAAUAAUAUGAAUUGGGUGUUGAACUUUUGUGAUAAUGAAGGACUGGUGAGGUGAGGGCUGAAAAAUGAUGAAAAAAUUUUAAUAUGAAAAACGAAAGGUAUAAGGAGUGCUAUGGGAAGAAUACAAUUGGGGAAGACAACAAAAUAAAGAGAAAACAAAAAAAUUAAAUACUUUUUAAAAAUAAUUGAAUUCACAAAUUUCAUUUACUUCUAAACAUGAAAUUUCAGAUUGUUUUAAUUUUAACUUGUAAAAAAAGUUAAAAAUUUAUUAGUCAGAUAUUGGCCAAUAAAAAAAUGUCAUGUGUAUUAUUUUGCCUUUCAAUUUUUAUUUUUAUUAAUUAUUUCACGCGCUUUGAGGAGAGUGAGUACACUCACUUUGCCACGUCAACUCUUAGGGUAUAGUUAAAGUACUAAAGUAAGUUUUGCUGCCAAGAUAAUGAGGAUCUGAUGUGUUUUCCCAAUCAUAUUCAAUAGACAUGAUAUGUUUUCUUAAUUUAUUUCCAUUAAAUGAAUGGUAAAAAGCCUAUUAAAAUAGAUUUUUAUAUAAAGUUACACAUAAAACAACAAAAAAUAUUUGUGUGCUCAGGAAUCCUCCUUUGAAAGACUAUUAAAUUUGGAAAACUAAUAUUGAGAUUAUCUAGUUAAAAUUACAUUUUCAGCUUAUCUUUAGAAACAUUAUAAAGUAUCUUCUUAUAUUAUAGGGAAAAAUGUAUAAGUAUCCCCCCCCCCCCAAGCUAUGCCAAAAAACACAAAGAUAAAAUUAUAGUACACUAAUGUCCUAUUACCCCCUCAAUUUAUUUUAUAAAUAAUUUUCCAUCGCUUUUCGGCUUACGUGACACUAGUUUGAAAAAAUGUCAAUACACGUUGAGCUAAGAAGAUAGUGCAGCGUAGGUCAAAAAGGGAUAGAAAAUUAUUUAUAAGAUAUUUCAGGGGGUAAUAGGACCUUAAUAUAGUAUAAGUGUGUAUAUGAGAUUUCGGGCAUAGGUUUGGGGGGUGUCACGACCCAACCCCGUCGGGCUGUGGGGGAACCUACUAUAACACCAACGUAAAAGAACCCUCACAACCCAACAACUAGAAAACAUGCAAAAUUUAAAGAAAAAGACGGCAAAGGUAAGGAAGUUUAUAAAUUAACCCAUUCAAAAUACCACUCUACUAAAUUAUAAAAAUAGUUUACAAAUCGCCAAGGACCUAGUCUGACAAGUAUAAUAUCCAUUAAGAGAAUAAUAGGGUCAUUAAAACAAAAGACAGAGCUUCCACCAUGCGGAAUUAAAAUUCAAAGCUGCUGAAGGAUUUCUUCGUUUUCACCUAAGGAAACAUAACUAAUCUUGCAUCAAGACUGUGUCAAAAGACAUAGCAAGAGUAGUACUAGUACAACCACAUGUACUGGUACGCCUCAUCGGUCAACCUGACACCCACCUCAGAAUAUAUAAACAGAACAAUAAAGUAUCAUGUCUGGACCCCUUGCUAGUCCACCCUUAGCCUCUUCUUAGAACGCCUUCCAAUUACCACUUAUAUUUUUCCUACGAGGUUACAACCUAAAUAGCAAACAACCUUGUAUACUACGAGUACCGCUAUCACAUUUAAGACCUAAUUAGUUCAUAGCUCAACUAUAAGAACCACAUUGUAUACUACAAGUACCACUACCACCCUUAAGGUUCCAUUCGAUCAUAGAUUAAACAUUCUAACCACAUUUAUAAUAUAAGUACCUCUACCACACUUAAGACUCCAUUAGUUCACAACUCAACUAUACUACCCACAUUGUAUACCACUACAACACUUAAGGUUCCAUUAGAUUGUAGCUUAAGCAUACUAACCACUUUGUACACUACAAGUACCACUACCAUUGUUAAGCUUCCAUUAAAGCGUAAAUAAAACACCACAACAUAUAUAUACAUACACACACCUCGCGAUAUUGAGCAUAACAUAUUUCACUGUAAACAUUUUAUCCCAAGUAGCUGGCAAUGUCAUGGUACCCGAAGUCAAAUUUUUAGCAUCCCGCAACAUGGAAAUACGAUCCAAUUUAUAUCUCAAAACGUGGCAACUGAUGCAAGUUAACAUGCUGAAAUGUGGAAAUUUGAUCCAAGAUAGUAAGUCGGAACGUGAAAAUUCGAUCCCAAUCACACAUCACAAUAACUAAUCAAGAUCACAAAUCUAAACAAAACUUCCAUAGCAUCGAUAAUUUUCAUAUCUCGUUUCAAUAUCUAGGGCUAUUAUUGCAACAUGCAUAAUAUAAAAGUAGCACAAUGGAACAAAACAAGUGUAUAUCACAGCAUAAUAGAGUCAAAUCAUAACCUAGUCACAUGCUUAAUAACCUAUGAAUUCCGUCGAUUUCUUCUUACAUAAUUACACAAGUCCAAUCCUAGUUCUAUAAAGAUGCGUUACUAGUCUCUUUAAACUAACAACAACACUUUAUCACAAUUAUCACUACAACGUUUGGAAAAAGCAUAUUCCAAAAUCCUUCCUUCUACCGGUACCAUAACUUAACAAGAAACUUGUUCAAGAACACAAAUAAGAACUUCGACUAGUUACAGUCUCAACACAACACCUAUCCCAUAAAUAUUGAAUUAUAACAACUUUAUAUACAAUUUACUCAGUGCACAAAACUCUACAAAUUCCUGAUAUUGUUGAAUUAAUUUAUUACAUGUAUUUACAACUACUUAUUAUAUAAAGCCUGAGCUACCUGGGCGCCAAGAAAUUUGUUAGGAGAUUGAUUUCGUUUCAAGCUUCAAUAAAUUCGCUAUGGUGAGUUUAUCCAAGAUCUUUCAAGAUUCCUCCAUCAUUAUGCUACAAAUCUCCCUCUCCUUCUUUAUCUAAUUUGAAAUAACUUUUUUGGAGUUUCUAUGGUAAUUUACGGUCUAUAGGUUAUUUUAGUAAAGAUGGAAAAUAAAGGAUUUCUCGAAAUUCAGAUCUUGCCUCACCAAUCCCACAUUCACGGGGUAAGUUGUUGCUGCAAUGGCACCUGUCCCGCUAUAGUGGGACAAUGACCUAAAUUUUUUUGCGAAUUUUGUUCUUCUCAAAUAACAACGUUUUGGGUCAUUGUAGGGGGUACUUAUGUAUUUUUCCCAUAUUAUAAGUAUUUAAAUAAAACAACAAAAAUAGUUACUAAACACCAUAAGUUGGACUCUAAUUUAAUUAUGUGAAACUUCUUCAAAUUCUUAGCUGAUUUAGUAAGACAAUUAGGGCAACCAUGAUCUUGUCGUGGAUUCCGUCAACCCUAGGUACACAAUCUACCUUGAUACUUCAACACAUCAUCUCCCUCUUGUUCAAAAGCUAAUACUCUUUGUGUAUGAACAUUUUCUUGAAAUCAACCAAAAUGGGGUCUUCGUCUUGAUUCUCUUUAACUUCUUACAAUAAUGAUGACUCAAUCCCAUUUGUCACCACUAAUCCUCCUUCUAUGGAAUCUUUGAGUCGGACUCCUAAGAGUGCAAGUCUAUGCACUUUUGUGAGCAAUUUCAACCAUCUCCUUUGUCUGAGAUUAGUUAUAUCUGAGUGAGCACAUAUUGUAGGCUCUUCUAAUUAGUAAAGACAUCAACAUGAACACCAUACAAAUAUGACUCCGCAUCUUCAAGGAUAAAACUACAGCUGCAAACUCUAUUUCAUGGGUUGGUUAAUUCUUCUCAUUAAAUUUCAACUGCCUCGACGCAUAAGCUAUACCUUAGACAUUUUGCAUUAACACAAAACCCAAAACUACUCUAAAUGCAUCACAAUACACCACAAAACCAUGAGUAGCUUCCGAUAAGGUCAAGAGUUGGGCAGUAGUAAACCCCUUUUUCAACUCCUAAAAGCUUUUCUCGGAAGCUUCAGACAAUUGAAACUUAACUAUUUUCUAAGUCAACUUGGUCAAAGGAGACGAGAUAGAUGAAAACCCCUCAACAAACCUUAUGUAGUAGUCAUCCAAACCCAAGAAACUUUUAUCAGAUUGAGACGUUGUUCUGGGCCAACUUUGAAGUGCUUCUAUCUUUUGGAUAUCAACUGUAAUCCCAUCACUAGAAACUAUAUGGCCCAAGAAUGCCAGAGACUUAGGCCAAAACUCACAUUUUGAGAACAUAUCAUAUAACUCGUUAUCUUUCAAAAUAUGAAGGACUAUGCUGAGGUUACUAGUAUGAUCUUCUUCAUUCAUCUAAUAGAUUAGUUUUUAAUCAAUGAAGAAGAUAAUGAAUAUCUAAAUAAAAAUUAAAUACUCUAUAUAUAAGAUGCAUGAAUGUUCUAGGCGCUUUCGUAAACCCAAACAAAAUGACCAAAAAUAAUAAUGCCCAAAUAGGGUUAUAUCAGAUUCCCUAACAUUCAACUGGUGGUAGCCUGAUCUAAGAUCAAUCUUGGAAAACAAGAAGUACCCUGAAGUUGAUCAAAAAUAUCAUCUAUCAUUUGAAGAGGAUAGUUAUUCAUGAUGGUUACCUUGUUCAAUUGACAAUAGUCUAUAUACAUCCUAAGGUAACCAUCCUUCUUUCUCACAAACAAGACCAAAGUACAUAAAGGUAAGACACUUGGUUGAAUAAAACCCUUAUCUAACAGAUCUUUCAACUCUGGUAGUACCAUUCUAUAUGGAGGAAUAGAGAUGGAAUGAGUAUAUGGAAGAAUUUCUAUACCUAAGUGUGUAUAUCUCGCAAGAAGGACUCCAGGAAAAUCAUCUUAAAUGACUUAUGGGAACUGUUUUACUACUGGAGCUGACUUAAUAUGAGGUAUCUCAACACUAGAGUUAUUAACUCACAUUAGGUGAUAGACAUACCUCUUAGAAAUUAAGUUCCUCGCCGUAACAUAUGAAAUGAAGAGACCUUAGGCACUGCUGAAGUGAUUUUCAACUAUAAGAUUGGCUUAUUUUGAAAAUGAAACAUUACUACUCGAGUUCAACAAUAAGUUGAGGCAUAAUAGGCAUGAAGCAAGUCCAUACUAAGAAUGUCAUCAAAGUCUACCAUGUCUAACUCAACUAAAUCAAUCAUGGUACUCUUGUGAUUGACGGAAUUGGGACAACCACGAUACACUCUCUCUUAUAGAAUGGAUUCACCAAUAAGUGUGGAAACAGUCAGUGGUUCACUAUGUUUCUAAGGAAUAAUAUCAAAGUUCAUGGCAACAUAUGUAGUUACAAAAUAUAAACUUUUUCCUAGGUCUAGCAAUGCAUAAACAAUAAAGUCAAAUACUUGAGUCACAACAGUGACAACAUCUAACGAAUUCUCAUGCUCUUGGUGAUUGUUGAGAGAAGAUAAGCAGUUGUUCCCCCGCCAGUACAGAAAGUAGCUCUUCUAGGUGCAGCCCUAUCUUGUGGAGCAAUUGAUGAAGACUGUGCUCAAUUUCCCCCAUUACCACUUCCUUGUUUUUUCUUUAGGCAAUCUUUCAUGAAAUGCCCAGUUUGAUCGCACUUGAAACAAAAACACUAGAGUGGUUUCUACCACACUUGGCAUAGGUAGGAGGCUUACUACACCCUUGCACCACACUACCUUGCGAAUAUACAGGUUUAGCUCUGGAAUUCUAACCAUUGUACUCACCCUUAUUCAUAGGUGCAGGUGCACUAGUAUAUGGAGUAGUACCCUUCUGUUUCAGUAGGAAGGAUGACCGGUUGGUAUUACUCUUUAGCUUCUCGAACUCAUUCCCUAUAUUUAGCUCUUGUGCUUCUAUACUCUUCUCUAUCUCUCAUUUUUUCCUCUUCAACCAGAUGCACAUAGACCAUCAACCUGGAUAUGACCAUUUCACCUAUCACCAUCAUAUUUCUCCUCAUGUCCUCAACAAUUUCAAGAUCAUAGCAGACAGCUUAAAAAACUUCACUUUAUACUCAUGCACUCUCAAAGAGUUCUAUUUCAGCGUAAGAAACUCUUCUACCUUAGUCUUUCUCAAUUCUUGGUGAAAGAAACAUCCCAAGAAAGUUUCUUUAAUACUGGCCCAACUUGGAUGUGGCACAUCCUCAUCUCUACUCUCUUUUCACAGAUCGAACAAAGUGCUAGCCACAUUUUUCAGUUUAUAUGCAAUGAACUCAACUCUUUCAACAUCAGCAACAUGCAUAAUAUUAAAACCUUCUUCAGUUCCUCAAUGGAAUUAUCUGGAUCCUCAAUGGUGCUUAAACCGAGAAUUCAUUCUCAAGAAUUCAAGAAUUUUCAAAGUGUCAGCCUGUUCUUGCCUAGAUCCACUUUGUUAUCCAACUUGAUUAGUUACCACUUGGCUUAACAUCUUGAUAGUCUCACGGAACUCAGCGUUGGUAACUUCCCCUUGAAAUUGCACUUUAGGGGCAUCAGGCAACUUUUGUUCCUCUACAUUCCUCCUAAAUGGACGACCUCUUUCUUUCCUUUGAAGAGGCUUAGUUUCUAAAAAGACGCACAAGUACAAAUUAGAGAGGAACUUUUAGAGAUAAUCUCUAACGCACGAAAGAAAUAUGAAAGAAGUGCAGAAUUCCUAAAUAUUGUAGCCUCCUAGUUAUAGAUGUGGUGCGCUUCACACCGAUAGCUAGGACUCUAGAGAAAUGGCUUAAUAUAAUCCUUACUCUUGAACUAUGUGCUCUCAUACAAAGUUUUUAAUGCUUUGUGACUAUACCCUGGCCGGGAGUGGCACUCAUAAACCAUAACAGGCCUAGAGCGUACACUUUGUCUGGCUGACUUAUUCAGCAGAAUACUUAAACAUCAGAGAAUAUAACUCAAGGUUUUGCUAAAAAUAUAAUAUCUUAGCCAAAACAACAACUUAAGUCUUUAAACAUAUACAACUAAAUGAAUAAGACAAAAGAACUAAUACUAUCUGUCUAUGAAGCCUUGAAAAUUAAGAUGGAUACUGGGAAAGGACUCCCAAUCAUCCUAACAAUUGAAAUCUAAGUAAAAUAGUGAUAAAAAUUGUCCUCCGAGUAGAAAAGAGGUUCACUAUCUGACUCUAGAGUGCUCAACUGGAUCAAUUGUGCGCUACAUGCCAAUCUUCGUUACCUGUGUUUGUAUCAUGAGAGGAUGCAGGCCAAUGGAAUUAGUACAUUAAAUGUACGAGCAUGCAAGUUUGAAUUCAAAAAAAAACUUAAGGUUGAAUAGAGUAAGAACGAAACAUACCUUGGCUCUACUCAACUCAAGAAUAACAUAACUUAAUAAUAUUGACUCAUUUCAAUAUAAAGCAAUUUAAAAGCAAGUGAAAUAUAGAGAUAAGGUGUUUUGAAAACAUGUCGUAGAUUCUGAAUGUAUACAAGUAUAGAAAUAACUCUGAUAUAUAUGUAAAAAUACAAGAAAUUGAUGUACAUAUAUAAAUACAUUUUACUUUUGUGGGAGUUUUCUAACGGACAAUCAUCACUCAAGAGCUACAGUGAUGAUACAUAAUCUACCUCACGCUUCUAGUGCACCCUAAACCCGGAAAAGGUAUAAGACAUGCACUGUUUAAUGGAUCCACUAGUCUACUGUAAAAAGGGUUCAUCUAAAAAGUAUGACCAUUUUCUACACAUGGUGGCUAUAUGAUGUAUGGGGGCUGUGAGUUAUCUAAACUCUCCCCCAUAUCGGUUGUCAAUACUACCGCUAAAAUAUAUUGUCUCUUAUGUUAUAAAAACAUACUGAUUCUGUGAUUUGAGAUUAGUUCUAAAAAAUUUAACUCAAAGGCUAUGUUUCAAAUCUCAAUUUCACUACUUGCUUCAUGUAGAAAACUAUAUAUCUUUAACUCAAAAGUAGCCUGAAGGCUCUUUGGAAAUCUGAGUUUCCCAUCAUUUAAAUGUGAAAACACUUUAAGAUCCUUUCGUAUUACUUAGUUUCCAUAUACUUUUUUGAAGGAAUACUUCGCUUUACUCUGAACUAAACUCGAAGUUAAGUCUUAAACGACACUUAAAAUGUUACUGAAUGUUUUCUGAAACAUGAAAUGAACUUCUUCUCCUAAUCUUUAGUCCUUAAUCAAACUGAUCUUUAAGUCUUAAAACAAGUUUAAUACAUUUGUAAAAGACUUCUUAAAAGGUUUCUAGGAACUCUCUACAAUAGUCUCUAACUUUUGUUGAAUUUGAAGUUAUGUAUUAAAGGUUUUAAUAUCAUGUUACUGGAUGAAUUUUAUAUGAUUAAAAGUAAUUUAGAGUAGUUAAAAUCAUUAGGAACUAUUAAAACAUUUAUCAAGGCUUAAUCGGACUAAAUUACGAAGAUUGGGCAAAAAAUGCCGAUUUGGGCCCGUUCGAGGCAUGUCGUGCUAGCCAUAGAUGAUUGAGACACAAAAAUGGCACACUACAAGCGUACCUCCCUAGGCUCUCUAUCACGGUUGGGGCGCGUCGCGCUUAGCUAUUCCCAGGUGAUUUCUGACGAAUUUCUCUACUCGGUUUUCGAAUAUAUCUAACUCAAAAAACAACUAUGAAUUACGAAUCAAUUCACAUUAGGCAUUAAGCAACUCAAUAAAAAAGAAUUCAACAAUGUUCUUCAAGAACUUCACUAUUCUCAUUCAGCCUAUUCAAAAAUCAUUGAAUUGAGACAAUCUUGGUGUAUGGGUUAACUGACCUAACACUAAAUAAUCUCACAUACCUUGAUAGGGAUCACCCCCUAUAAAAUCCGGUAGCAAAUCUCGACUUUCUUGGCGCAUUCUUGACUUCUCUCAUUUUCCUUUUUCUUUUCUCUCUUCUCCAAGACCUAAGCAUACUGUUGAUUUUCCAAAAUUGAAUUAACCUUUUUUCCCCAAUAAGCCUCAGAAACCGAAAUAGGAAUUAGUUGGUGAAAAGACUAGUUUGCCCUUCCUUAAAUCUGGAUUUGGACUUUCCCUCACGUCAAUAGCUCAACAUUCGUACGCAUAUCUUACUCAUACCAUAUAUAAAAUGGGAAGACUCAUCGGCGUUAGAGAGAUCACUCCAAGGGAUUUCCAACAAUAUCAAGAACAAGCUUAACUCAUCCUAAACUAGAAGUUAUGGCCGUCUCGAAAUGACCAAAAUUUACUUCUUAACUUAGACAAAUUUUUCCCUCUCAUACUAAAAAUGAAUAUUUUUAGUUUCUUAGCUUAUUCUUAGUAAUUUUAAAUUGGAGAUGUUACCCAACUAGAGUACUGGUAAUAUCAUAAAACUAUUCCACUAAUUUAACAUAAAUAAUUCAUCACAACAAUAUAAUCAUGAAAAAUAAUGAACUUUUACAAAAUCAAUUAUCACAUGCUUCCACAAAAUACAAUUAUCACAGGUAGUCAAUUCUUUCACAGAACUCAAACGCAAAUUAUUAGAAUACCAAAAUGUGGUACCCUAUCCAAAGUUUAUGCCGGAACGUGCCACCAAUCCAAUAUUUUUUUUGGAAGGUGGCAGCCAAUAUGUCAGAACAUGACAUUCUAUCCAAGAUACUUAUGUCGGAAAACGUGGCAAUCGAUCCCAAACACACACCCCAAUCACAAUAAAAGGCAUAUCAUCAAGAUCAUUCAUUUAUAUCAUGAUUUCAUGGCAAACAUUAUUCAUUUAUCUCAUUUAAAACAUGUUUAAACAACGUUGCGACAUUCGCAUACAUAUAUGAAUCAUACUGUAGCAAUAACUAGAAUACAUCACACAAACAUAGAAUAACAACCAUCACCUACCUCUAACCAAAACUUGAAUCCCCUAAGGAACUUUAAUCUUUCCUUUCCAUAUUCUUUCUGCUUGUUUAAGGUCUACAACAAUAAAUAUACGCAAAUAUCAACAAUCAAAGGUCUAUAAUUAUUUGGAUUAUCACAAACCCAAUAACUCUAGACCAAACCUAAGAUCCUAAACCCAAAUUAUGAUUUUUCCACCAUAGUUGUCAGAUCAAAACUCUUUCCCAUAAAUAAUAACCCAAUAAAAUGGGUUUUACAUAUCAAAAAAUUACACGAGGAGUUAAAGUCUUACCUUUAGCCUCAAUAGUGGUGAAAAACUUUUAAGAACUCGCCAAAUAAGGUCAUUUAGGGGUUUAUUAACGACUUUAAGUCGUGUUUGGCCAGCCAUAGAGGACUUAUGCCGCUACACCGGCCUCGCUUUGGAUCCCAAAAAGAAUUAAAUUAGAAUUGGCAAACUCUGAAAUUUUGCAGGUUAAGCUAAGUAUGAGCUUUGAUUCAACUUUAAAAGACCAUAACUCCUAGUACAAGAUGAGUUAGGUGUGAUACAAGAUACCAUAGGAACUCUCAUUGAAUUAUUUUUCCAACUCCGUGAAGUUUGCUAAGUUUCAAGUUCAGAUGAGUGAGAUAUGACCUUUUCAAGUUAUGUUGUCCUGUUAAGGAUUGUUAGCCAAAGUAUGAGGGUAUUUUGAUGCUUUCCUUACCCAAUCAGAUUUAAUUCAUUUUUUAUUAAUAUAUUAUGGGUUUAAUCCUUAUAGGUUCAGUUUUAUAAUCCUAAUAUACGCAUAGAAUUUUAGUUGAGAGUUCAAGAAGAGAAUAGAAGAGAAAAAAGUAAAGGAUGAAGGCAUUCAUCGAUAUUUUUUAGUUUAGUUGUUGAGUUUUGCCAUGGAUUUAAUCCCUAAGAGAUAUGUAAGCUUCGAUAGUCUUUGGUUAUUCGACCCACACACCAAUUGUUAUUUAUUUAGCGUAAUUUCGUUCUUGAAAAUUAAGUAUUUAAGUUUUUGAUGAGAUCUUAAGAAGUGUUCUUGAAGUUUCAUUAAGUUUUAAUGUACGAUUCUACAUGGCUAAACUUUGAACGACCAUAUAUCUUAUAAUAUUUAUAGUUACGUUAGUCAUAACCUAUACAAAUGAAGGUAAUUGAACCUACUUUCCAACGCCACCAAUUUCGCAUCAAUCCAAUUUCUGAAUAAAAAGUUAUUACUAUUUUAGUAACAUGUACUAUGAUGUUACGAAUUAGCCAUGAGAAAACACUCAAAAGGGUUGUUUUUGUUUUUUUACCUCCAAGAAAACCCUAAACAAAUUUCUUGACUCAUAAAAAGUUCAAAAUAAUCAGAUUUUCAUAUUUACUAAUGAAACUCAUAAUUCUUGGCCAUAAAUAUUUCAAGAAACAAAAUCAAGUAUCUGAAGAAAGAUUUUCUUGAUCAUUUACCUUCAAGCUAGGGUUUCAAUAUUUCUAUUCAAUUUCUUAUCCAAGAUUAUUCAAGAACCUUGUUCUUCCUAUCUAAAAUUAUUCCUAACAUGUUCAUAACCUUGAAUUCAUAAUUCAAUUUCUAUGAAAGUCUUUUUGAGGAGUCUACUACAACAUUUCAUAACUUGUUUCAAGACUCAAGCAAGUGAGUAUAAGAGUGAAGAGUAUGUAUUCAUGAGUCAAAAAUAUCACCUAGAUCCUUCAUAUAAUAAACCAUAAUUCUUGAAUUCAUAUUUCACAUUCAAGAAAGAGUUAAGAGCAGAGCUCAAGAAAGUCUUUAAGUUCAAUUAUGAAUUCUUUGAGAUCAAUUAUUGAUUUGAACUAUGUUUUGAGAAGUAAUAGAGAAUGAUAAGAGUCAUAUACAUGAGUUCAAUUUAGUUACUUAGACCUUUGAGUUGAGUUUUUCAUGUCCAUAACUUGCACAUGAAUUUCAUAUAUUGAGUAUCAUUGAAAGAAGUAGUAUCUCCAAGUUCUAAUUUUUGGGUAUUGAGUUCCUUAUUCCUUCGAAGAUUAUAUUUAUAAUGAUGGGUCUAUUACAUGAUACCCAUGAAGUCCUUGAGUUGAAUUGUUUAUUUCAUAAUUUCACAUGAAACCUAUAAGUCGAACAAUCUUGAGAUGAGAGGAAUCUUUGAGUUCUCAAGUUGAGUAGUUCAUGCUCAUAAUUCCGCAUGAACCAUCCAAGAUUAAAAUCAUGAAAUCAUCCAUAAACAUAAGAUCAUGAUCCUUGAAUUCAUACUUUAAUUCAAGGAAGUUAAGAGUUAAAUUUAGAAGUUAAGAAGUAAGUCAAAGAAAAGUUCUUAAAGUUUCUAGAGUCUUUAUUAUAUUUUUUAAGUUCAUUUUAAGGCGUAAGAUUCAAGUCAAGUAAUGAGUAAAGAGUUGAAGAUCUUCCUUCAAAUUAAUAUAAGAGAUCUAAGUAUUCCCUAAGAGUUGAGUUCAUUUCUAAAAAGGUAAAAAAAAACUAAGUGUUGCUUAAAAGUUUAUAAAUGUUUUCUCAUUUUAGUUUAGAGGAAAGUGAGAUUUCCCAAAAGAAUUUUGAAUAAGAAAAGGGAACAUUGAUUCCAAGAGAUAUUUUUAAAGCUAAAUUGUUGAGAAAAUUUUCUCAACCCAAAGAAAGGAAGUUAAUUUUGAAGAAUAAGCUAAAGCAUAAAUUUGAAGUAGUAUUGAACACCGAUUGGGGAUGAGAGUUCAUAUUUACUCAAGUCUCCAUGUAAAUCAUGUAGCCAUCAUGGGUAUUAACGGGUUUACUUUUUAGAUGAUCACGUAAGUUAAGCUAGUGGAUUCACUAAUUUAAGGAGUUCUAUGCAACGACAAAGUAUAGGACAGUUCUGGCAGCGUGGGCAAGACGAUGUAUCACCACUUAGGCUUAGAGUGGUGGUUGUCGGUUAGAGAAUCUCCUACAUAAACUAUGUUACUUUCUUAUAUAGGUAAAGUUGACUUUGUUAUUGCACUUUGUUUAACGAACUAAGUUGUUUUUAUUGUUUUAUAAAGCUUUUAUGUGUAACAUGAGUAUUAUUGCUUUAUAUUGAGUUGAGUAUCUAUAGUCGAAUAGCAAAUCUUUGAGUCGAGUAUUUUAUCCCUGAGUUGAGUAUCUUAUUCUUGAGUAUGUUGAAUGAGUAAAUUAAGUAAUUAAGUAUUCUUGAGUUUCAAGUUUGACAAGAGGUAAGUAUGUUUCCAUUUUUUUUUAUCAAGUAUCAAGAUUAUGUUAUGCUUUAGAAUUCCUCUUACAUUCUUGUACAUUUCACGUACAGAGCCAACUGGCCUGCAUUUUCUCAUGUUGCAGGCACAAGUAUUCAGGAUCUUCAACAAGAGCUUCGUUGAUAUAUCCGAGAGAUCGAUUUAUCUAUGGUGAGUCUCUUUGCUUCCGGAGGAUUCCAUUUACUUUUCAAUUUAGUCAGGAUGUCAUGGGUAUUUUCACUAAUACAAAAAGGCCCUUCAACGGCAAUAAAAUAUGGCUCUAGCGGCGAUAACAUUUGCCGUGAUACUAUAUACCGAUGAACUUUAGCCGGCAAUGUUAGGGUCGGCAAAGACUUUUGAGGCCAUUGUGGGUAAAGGGUAGCAUGAAUUGCCGCUAAAACCAUUAGGUUUUACGGCAAUUGAUUGCGGCAAUCAUGUUGGCUGCUAAAGGAAAUUUGCAUACUUCCUAAUUAUUGUCUUUUAGAGUCCAUUGAUCUAGUCGAUAAAUCUAAAUAAAUAGCCAUUAUAAGGUAGUACUUUUAAUGUCAAUUGUUUGCUACAAUUGUCUUGGCUGCUAAAGGUAAUUCAUUUGGCUAACUAUGGGCUAUUAGCGUCCAUUUAUUUAGUCGAUAAAUCUAAAUAAAUAGCCGCUAAAAGACAGCAGUUUUAAUGGCGAUUGUUUGCUGCAAUUAUGUGGAUACUAAAGGUAAUUAAUAUCGGCUAUUUGUGGUCCUUUAGCGUCUAUUGUUUAAGUCGAUAAAUCAAAAUUAUAGUUGCUAAAAGGUAGUAGUUUUAAUGACAAUUUUACUAUCGAGUAAUUGCUAUAAUAUUACUUCUAAAAGUAUCUUAGUUUACCCCUUUAACGUCCAUUUUAUGAUUAAUAAUUUUCAUUGAAUUUCCACUAAAUAUCAUAUAACGUUUAACAACAAUUGUUUAGCCACCAUAAAUAAUAUCUACUCCCUCCGUGCAUAAUUGUUUGUCAUGUUAAGGUUAUGAACACCCCUCAAGAGAAAUUUAAUACAAAGUGUAAUUUGACUAGUAUAACCUUAUCAAGAAUAUCAAAAAUCUACAUAACUUUUCGACUGAACUAGACUAUCAUUAAGGGCAAAUUUGAAAAAAAUGACUACUUGUUUCUUGAUUAUUUAAAUGGACAAUUAAUGUUGGACGUCUAUUUUUAGUAUAUCUGCCAAACAAUUGUGGACAGAGGGAGUAAUAUAGUAUAGAUAAAUUGUUUAUAUAAAAAUCCAACAAACAUGCUCGCAAAAGAAGCCUCAUAGUAACAACAAUUUUCACUAAUAGUGAAAGGACAGAUAUUACUUUUAAUCCAUACAAUAGAAAUUAGACAAAACAAAAAGAAGUACUGAUUCAAAAUACGAUAGUCACUACUUAUAUAAAUAAACUUAUAUUUCUCAAACUAAUGAAUAAUUUCUUUAAAUAAGUUUAGUUACACUUCUUCGAAUAAUAUCUUUGAAAUCACUAACAUAUGAAAUUUGUGACAUUAAAUUGUAUAAACUGAAAUAAAAAUGAAAUGUGUCAAUAGAUGAAAUCCAAAGUAUAAAAAUAGUGCAAGUAAUUUGACUAAUCUGAAAAAUUACAAGUAAGAAGCAUCCAUUUUAAUUUUGCGUCGUCAAAUCAAAGAGAUGACAAAAUCGAAGAAGUGAAUUAUUUUUUAGAGGAUGAAACACCUAUAAAUCUGGCUACCCCUAAAAUCACUACUAAGAAAGGUCUAACUCAAUUGUCACAUAUAAAUUUUUUAAAAGCAUAGUACAAUCUCUUUAAACUUGCCCGACACAUUUUCACAUGAUAGUUCCAAAAUUGAAGUUAGGAUCAGAUUUUUCAUGGAGAAAAGAAAUAAAAGUUGGACAUAGAGAAUUUCACAUCAAUGGCAAGAUAACAAACCAAUAGAACAAUUAUUGUCAUAUUGUUCAUUGAAGAGAAAUUGACUAGAGCAGUAAUGGAGAACAUGAUAACAAUUGAAUUUCUUUAGUCAAAAGAUAAAAAAUAUUUUCAAACUGAAAAAAACAGUAGACAACAUGUAAACAUGCUUUGAUGACUUUUCAUGAGUGAUAUUCAGAUUGUACAAUAUAAAGAAGGUUUACACUUAAAGCAUGCAAAUUAUUUCUUGUAAUAGAUUUUCUCGCAAAUUACACAUGCCUUAAUGAAAAAAAUUGCCCCCAUCUUUGAAAAGAAUAUUUUAAUCUGAGAUAAACCAACAUAUUUAUUUAUCAAUUUUGUCAUCUGACACAUGCUCCAGAGAGUUCAGUAAAGUACUGCACAGAAAACACCAGCACCUGCUAUUUUGAGUUAAAGUGAGUAAAAUGGCAUAUUAAUAAUUUGGAGUUGUUGCAACAGAAUUCUGUGAUACUUAAAAGAGAGGAUUUCUCAUCUGCUUGUGAAUACCGUCCAACGAAGUCUUUGUUUACUUUGGUGGGAAAUUCAGCAAUACUAUACUUAAGGUGAAGAUGAUGAUGAGUAUAAGAAAAAAUGCUCAGGAAAAAAAAAGAGCGUAGUGGAACUCAAGGGAAUGGAAAACAAAAGAGUAUUGAAGCUCUACCUCACACCUAAGAGUAAGAAAACACACAACAUAAAGAACAAUGACGAGUACCAAAAAAACAAGUAGCGGUUGAUCAGAGUGCUGAUGGAGGAAAGAUUGCAAUUUCAAGUUAACACAACAAAUGACUUGACAAAAAAACUCAAGUCCAGGCAGGUAUGGAUAAAAACCCUUCCCAUAACUAUUUUAUUGAUCUUAUGUCACAGGAUCAACCCAUUGAACAACCAAAAUAGGAUGAGCAGGAUAAGGAAAAAACAUUGGCUGAGGAGAGGCAACCAGUACAAGAGACUGACACUUAAAUAGCUAUUGUUCUCUUCAUAUUUGCCUUCACUUAAGGGGAAGAAUGACAAUGGAAAAUGGCAGAGUCAUUUUUUUCCUAUUAGUUCACGUUGUAAGUAGUGAGUUUAUUCUGAUGGAUUAUAAGGUGAUCGGAUUUGAUACCAGUUUUCCCGCUCUCUAUGUAAUCUAUCUGGGUUUGUCUCUAGUUGUGUGAGAUCGUGAAUGCUCCUUGUUUUCUCUACAAAAAGAAUGUGCAACCCUACUAAGAGGUGCACAUUAGUUAAUGCACUAGGGACGAAGUUCCCGAUGCUGGUGUUAUGAGAUAUAUCAAAAGAAACACAAUGCGACGAGGUCCACAGUGUUUCAUACAAACAUUGAAGUUAACAAAGCUCUCCAUUUUAAAGAAUAGUGGACAGGAAACAAGCUAAUGUUAACUCAUUUGAGUCUGCAACCACAACACAACUCAUACGGUCAAUGAAACUUGGAGGGAGGAAGUCCAGACAGGAAUCAAGGACAAAAACAGAUGUUAGCUGAAAAUCAAGAACUGAGCAAUACACAUCGAUAAUCCUGCUUCUCUGAAGCAGUUUGAAGCGACAAACAUUUACUACUUUUAAUUUCUUGUCAAUGCUAAUGUCUCUUUACUCACUCCAACAUCUAUACCACAGGAAAAAAUCAAUGGACCUUAACAGGGUGGAGCAUAAUGGUUGGGAAGACAACCGAUAAUCAGAACAAUGGUCGGCAAGGAUGAGAAGAAGUUAAAGGUUUGCAAACUCAUGGAACUAAUCCAUGCUAAGGUAAAAUUACAUUGUUUUAGUGUAUACUAGAUGUGAAGGCUGAGAUGAGCAGAAGUGUGGGUUUUUGAUAUAAUCUUUCUGUUCACACACCUCUCCACAUCCAGGAUUUCGGAAAUAAUGAAGUUCAACUUCCGACAUUAUAAGAUAUUUAUAUGGAUCAUUGAGUUGGUUCAUAGUGUUAUUGUUGAGUUGAUUCUUAGUGUUACUAUUGGAGAAUCAACACUAAAAGGCCAAGGUAUCUCUAGAAGUCCUGUAAAUUCAUGAGGUGUUAAAACUUAAGCAACCCAUUAAAGGAUUGUGAAACACUUGUAAAUAAAGUGAGUUUUUUCAAAUUGAAUAUGGAGAAUUCAAAUAUUUUGACAACAAGAAACUUUACAUGUUGGGUGUGGAUGAUGAUGACCAGUACUAUGUGCACCCACUUCGCCUAUUUAUAAACACUAAAGCUAGCUGCUGGUCUCCCUUUCCCCCUUGUCUGCUUUCUGCUAGAUUUACUCAAUCAUUCUUGUAUAUUUGGAUAAAAUAUUAAUUCCUACUAUCUUAUGCUUGAUAGGAGGUUGGAUUGGCUGAAUCCUUAAAUUUUUGUUUUUGUAUUAUCUGACCAAGAAACACAUGAAAUAUCACAGAAAAACAAUGUCUAGGAAAAAUCAUUGGGAGAUACCUUCUAAUAGAAUGUAUGCCUUCACUUAAUAAGUAAUGGACCAGGUCCCUUACUUCACUUCAGAAAAUUACCAGAAAGUUAAAUGCAGUAAAAUCAACACAAUGAUUUUACGUGGAAACCUCCUUGCUUAAGGGAGUAAAACCACGACCUGUCUCACAGGAUUUUCAAUCGUUUUCACUAAUCUUCAAAAGCAAAAUCAAAACACGAUUACACCAAACGUAAGAAAGAGUUAUCAAUCUUACCGUUAAGCAAUAGUCCUCUAUUGCUCAACAAGCCUAAGUAGAAAAACAAUCUACCCACUAAGCUAUCCCACCUGGACAACCUAGACUUCUAACACAACACACCAAUUCCUUUAUAGAUUUUGGAGUGGUUUACAAUUUAAGAACAAGAGAAUAAAUUCCUAAACAACUAGACGAAAAGCUCCAGAUGUUGCUGUUGUCCUUGGAAUAAUUCUUCCUUUGCUUUGUGUAGCCUUUGCAAGAGUUCUUGAAAAGUUUUUAUCAAGUUGAAAAAACUAACAACAAAUGUUUAGGAAAGUGCCUUUUAUAUGGGCAAGUCACUUUCCUGAACUUCUUUGCCAUUGGCUGGAAAGGUCACACUUUUCUGACGCCAUCGGGAAGUGUGCACCUACUUUCUGUACCGUCUCCAGCUAGCAGUCGAUUGUCUCAUCAUCAUGAGAGUCUAGUACCUCUACCAGGUCCCUGGGUUUGUUUCAUCUGCAAUACUUCAAACAAGACACCUGCAAUACUCAAGUAGAAAACCCGGUACCUUUAUGAGGUCCCUAAGUUUGUCAAAUCAUCAAAACUACAAAUAACAUUUUCCCCCUUUUUGAUGAUGACAAACAAUGAUAUGAUCUGAGAUCUUUACCAGAAUUGUUCCCCCAGACAGUGUAUUCCCCCUUAUUGUAUAUUCCCCCUUAUUUAGGUACUAACAGAUUACUUCCCCCUUAUUUAGCUACUAACAGUUUACUUCCCCUUUUUGGCAUCAUAAAAAAGAUAUGCAGUAAACCAUUGAGUCAACAUAAAUACUGAGCAAGAUCAGAGCGAAUAAGCAAUCAAACAGUAGAGAAAGAGCAAUCGCAAAAGAACAUAGGAAGAACAGCAAAGGAAUAAAGUAACCAACAUGCCAUUAUAACAUAAAUACAUUAAAGACAAACUAAAAAUCCAUCAACACGAUGAUCAGCCACACAACAAAAAUGACACAGGAAAGGAUUGAUUGACAAUUUAGGAAGAGGGGGGAGUUUGAGAUAGGGACUGGAUAACAAGAGUGAGUCGUGCAUUGGCAGCAUCAUUAUCCUUGAUGGCCUUUUCUUGCAGGGCAGUUAUCUUUGCCUUCAACUCGUUUUUCUCUUUCUCCAGAGUUUGUACUACUGAAGAACCAGGUCCCUCACUCUGUGCAGUAAGCAGCUCUGCUUUAAGUACAGCAAUUUCAGCCUCUUUACUACUCAACCGCACAGUGAGUUCUUCAAUCUCAUGCUUAAGCUAAUCCAGGUCCUCGAGAAGUUGAGCCAUCUUGCUUUUUGGUAAGCCUCUGCCUUCAAUACAUUCACAUUCAAAUAAGGUAUGCUCAGAGAUAGUUUGUUUAGCUGUCCCCACCUUUCCAACACCAAGAGGAAUCUGAAAGUGCUUGAAUAAUUCAGUGAGAAAGUAUCCAUACCCCAUUCCAUGUACUCCUUUCCUCUCAAUAACUGUUUUGUGAAUGUGUUCAAUCAUGAGACAAGGAAGGCUCAGAGCCUCAAAGCUGCACAGCAUCUCCAUUACGUACAAAUCAGCAGCAGUAGCAAGUGUUCUCUUUUCUGUGCGAGGAAGAACCACUUUGUUGACGAACUCGAAGACCAGCUGAUACUCACUCUUCAUAAUUUUCUUAUAGAUCCCAGCAACCUUAGUUGUGGGAGUCUUAGAAAUCAUGGAGGCAAAUUCUGAAGAGCAAGUUUUGUUUAGCACGGACGGGGUCUCCUCUGUAGGCACUCUGAGAAUUCUGCCCAACACCACCUCAUUCAAAGAAAUAGCAAUAUUGUUCACAUGUGUGAGGAGACUCCCAUCUUCCAUGAAUUGAACAUUGUAAUAGAAUUCACGAACCUCUUCUUCAUGGAGGAUGGGGGAUUUCUUGUUGAACGGGUGCAGCCAAGAUUGGAUCUCCACCAUGUCAUGCAGAGAAUCCAUGCCCGGAAGAGUAAUAAUCCCCAUAUCAAACACUCUUCCAGCGAGAACUGCUUGUUUCCUCAGACUGUCAACUACUUCCUGCAAGUUGACAUUCUCAACUUUCCUGGCUUGAGGACCAGGUCCCUGUCUCCGCUUUCUCUUCUUCUCAGAUCUCUUCCCUUUUGACUGUGACUUUUCAACCUUCCUUGUAACCCUUUCCCUUUUAUUUUCUGACUUCUUCUUGUUAUUUUUCUUUUCAACCUCUUCUCCUGACAACUCAGCCAAUUUUUCUUUAGGUAUCCUAAAAUUUGAUACCUUGAAGGUUCGUGCACUUCUGACUGCAACAGCAGAGCGUGCUCUUGCCUUCAAGGCAUCUACCAUCAAUUUUUGUGCAGCAGACCUUGUAUUAGGUCGUCUUUUAGGAGGCUCCUCCACGACCUUUUCCUUUCCUUUUCGACUCUCCGUCUUCCAUUUUAAUGGUUCUUCCUCACUUGCAGAUUCAGAUGAAGAGGAAGAAGAGUACCACCCUAAAUCGGGGGUUUUAUCAAAAAUUGGUUGAGAAGGCCUUACCUCUUCUCCUUCCAGGCCGUCAGUAUGUUCUGCUCUGGCCUCUUCUCUCAUCAUUCCCAGUCUCUCAAUCAUGAGUUCCUCACUCGCUGCCAGGAUAUUAGACUCGGAAGCCCUGUGUUUUGGUAGAUCUUCCUCAAACAUGUUGUGAGGCAACAUGUCUUCACAUGGACCAGGUACUGUAGAAGUGUUUAGAUCGAUAGAGAAGAAAGGGUUAUCCGGAGUAUUUUGAGAAGGACUUGGUGGGGGAGGAAGGCUGGCUUGAGCAGAUGUUGGAGAAUAGAAUGCAAGGGGCGCAAUUUCACUAAGUGCAUCCAACAUUUGCUUAGAAGAAGAUGAAGAGGAAGACAUGUUUGUGAUACUGGAAGGGUUCGUUGAAGAACAAAAAGAAGAGGAGGACAGAUUUGCCUUUGAAUGUGAGAAGCCUUGUGAUAAAUGAGAGAGAUAAAGUUAAGAGACGGAUGAGAGUUUCAAGAAGAAAAGACCCCUUUUUAAAAGAAGUGAAAGAGUGGCAGGUCCUUGAUUAGAUGCGUCGUUUGAGGGAGAAACGAAUGGACUGAUCGGUCAGAGUAACCGAUGACUGACACGUGGCAUUUUCAACGGUCAAAAUUUUUAGUUUAAAUUUAAUGUAAAAAUGCUAACCUGGAUAGGUACCAGGUACCAUGAUAGAGUUUAACUUCAUUCCUUAAUUGUUCUAGUCUCUUCUUUUGCUGAGCAGGUCCCUAUUGAGAGUAUACCUACGAAAGAUACAAAAAGUGAUCUUGUUCAAAUAUUUAAGAUUCACACAAAGGAUACCUGCACUGCAAUUCUAACCAUCAAGGGAGUUCUACUGUUGGAGGCUAAAAGCAUCACUUGAAGAUCAACAUCCCCAACUUUAAUCGAUUUCUCUCAAAUUGAUCCUUGCUGAGAGCCUUGGUAAAGAUGUCUGCAAUCUGUUCCUCCGUUGGACAGUAUGUGAGCACAAUAUUACCCUUCUUAACAUGAUCUCUCAAAAAAUGAUGUCUGACAUCAAUGUGCUUUCUUCUCUUAUGAUGAACUGGGUUCUUUCCCAUACUCACAGCACUAGUGUUGUCACACAUGAGAGGAAUUGUUUUAAUGUGGAUUCCAAAAUCUUCUAAGUGUUGCCUGAUCCACAGCAAUUGAGAACAACAGACUGCAGCAGCUACAUAUUCAGCUUCAGCAGUUGAAAGAGCUACAGAGUUCUGCUUCUUGGUGCCCCAAGAGAUAAGUGAUGAUCCAAGGAAAUGAGUCAUUCCAUAGGUGCUCUUCCUGUCAACUUGAUAACCUGCAAAAUCAGCAUCUGCAAAACCAACCAGAUCAAAAGUAUCACCUACAGGAUAAAAGAGAACCAGGUCCCCUGUUUUCUUCAAGUAUCUAAGAAUACGUUUUGCAGCCUUCAGGUGUGAAUCACGAGGACAUUCUUGAAACCUGGCACACAUUCCAAUGCUAUACACAAUAUCAGGUCGGCUAGCAGUCAGAUAUAGCAAGGACCCAAUGAUUCCUCUGUACAUUGUCUGAUUCACAAGGGGAUCAGAUUCUUCUACUAUCAUCUUGGAAUUUGUUCUCAUAGGAGUGUCAAUAGGUUUGGAAUCAAACAUAUUGAAUUUCUUCAGCAGAUCUUUGAUGUACUUCUCCUGGCAUAUUGAAAUUCCAUUUGAUGAUUGCUUGAUUUGCAGCCCCAGAAAGAAUGUCAACUCACCCAUCAUACUUAUUUCAAACUCCCUUCCCAUCAGUGAUGAGAAUUCUUCACAGAGAUGUUCUGAAGUAGCUCCAUAAAUUAUGUCAUCCACAUAAACUUGAAUGAUAAGCAAUUCUUGUUCUCUUUUUAGUAAGAACAAAGUAUUGUCUAUCUUGCCUCUUUUGAAACCAUUCUUCAGCAGAAACUUUGACAACCUUUCAUACCAUGCUCUUGGAGCUUGUUUCAGACCAUAUAGUGCCUUAUUUAAUCUUAACACAUGAUUUGGUAGCUCUGCAUCUUCAAAACCAGGAGGUUGCUUGACAUAUACCUCCUCUUUGAGAUCUCCAUUCAGAAAUGCACUCUUCAGAUCCAUUUUGGAUUUUAGCAUUUUGAGCACAUCAUCAUCAUUAUUUGAUCCAUCAUUCUUCAAGCUUCCAUUUUCAUCAAAAACAACAUGAAUGCUUUCUUCAACGCAUUGUGUUCGUUUGUUGAAUAUUCUGUAGGCUUUGCUGGAUGAAGAAUAUCCAACAAAUACUCCUUCAUCACUUCUGGGAUCAAAUUUUCCCACAUCAUCCUUCCCAUUAUUCAGCACAAAACAUCUGCAUCCAAAAGCUCUAAGAUAGUUCAGCAUUGGCUUCCUGUUGUUGAGCAAUUCGUAUGGAGUCUUAUUCAACACAGCUCUUAUUAGACACCUGUUGGUAACAUGACAUGUUGUGUUAACAGCUUCAGCCCAGAAACUUUGAGGAAGAUUUGAUUCAAUAAUCAUAGUUCUGGCAAUGUUCACCAAAGUUCUGUUCUUUCUCUCGACUACUCCAUUUUGUUGAGGAGUUCUUGGAGCAGAGAAGUUGUGGCUUGUACCAUUUUCCAUACAAAAUCUAUCCAGUGUUGAGUUUUCAAACUCUGUCCCAUGAUCAGAUCUAAUGCUGCAAACAACUUGAUUCAAUUUGGUUUGAAUCAUUUUGAAGAAUACCACCAGCUCAUCAGUUGUAUCUGCUUUUGAUCUCAAGAAUCUCGUCCAGGUGUAUCUUGAAUAGUCAUCAACAAUCACCAAAAUGUACUUCUUGUCAUUUCUGCUUUGAACCUUCAAGGGUCCACAAAGGUCCAUAUGAAUCAGCUCUAAGGUUUUCGAUGAUGUUACCUGAUUCUUGGGCUUGAAUGAUGAUCUGAUUUGCUUUCCUUUAACACAAGCUUCACAUAUUUUAUUUUCAGCAAACUUCAUUUUGGGCAACCCUCAGACCAGGUCCUUUGAAAUCAACUUAUUCAAUAAAGAUGAACUCACAUGUCCCAGCCUAUGAUGCCAGAGAUCAGCAUUUUCAUUUUGAGCACUGAGACAUGUUAAGUCAUCUCCAUGAGAGAUUUCCAAGUUUGCCACAUACAUAUUUUUACUUCUGUGUGCAGUGAGAAUUACCUUGUUUGUAGUUAAACUCACCACAGUGCAUUUCUCAGAAGUAAACUUGACCUCAUUUCCUUUGUCACAGAUUUGUGACACACGUAGCAAGCUGUACUUCAACCCAUCCACAUGGUAAACAUUGUCAAUUGAAUCUUCAAGAGAUCUUCCUACUUUGCCAACUACCAAAAUGUACCCCUUCUUGCCAUCACCAAAUGAGACACCUCCUCCUUGGAGGGUCUUGAGUGAGAGGAAGUUCUUUACAUCACCAGUCAUAUUUUUAGAGAAGCCACUAUCCAUAUACCAACAUUGACUGAUGCUCCUCUCACUCACCUGCACCAAAAAUCACUUGUUAAGCUUGGGAACCCAUUUCAGCUUGAGUUCCCAGUAGGCAGACAAAGGAGUUAUCAGAUUGUACUUGGUCCAAUAUGGUGGACUUUGAAGCUUUAUAACAAAAGACAUAGGAGUAGGAACAGAUUUUUUCUUUGAAAAUCUGUGAGUUGAGAAAGGCUCUGUAGGACCAGGUCUCUCUUUUGGUACAUUUUGUCUUUCAGCAUAAUUAGAGUAUCUUUCGCAUGAGUUUCUCCAGCUAACACACUCAUUCUUCAAAUGUCCGUUCUUACCACAAUGAAGACACAACAGAUUGUCAGACACAAACACAUACUUACUUUGAGGAUUAUAAGGAGGACUUAUGUUCAGAAUUCCUAGUCCUUUCUUAUUGAAAUUACUCUGAUUUGUCACAUUUGACAGCAACUUUGAGGAUUUGGUCCACUUAAGAGAAUUUUGAAGCUCUUCCUUAAGUUUCACAAUAUACUGUUCUAAUUUGUUACUCUUUUCAAGUGACAGACUAAGAUUUUUCUCAGAGUUUUUCAAUUUUUCUUGAGUUUCAGCUUGCAGACUAUUUGACUUUUCAUACAGCUUUUUAGCUUCUUCAGUAAUCUGAUACAACUGGUUCUUAAGUUCAAAGUUAUUUAACUCUAGAGACACCAUUCUUGACAUUGUGUCUUCAAAUUGACCUUUGUUUUCAGUUAAAAUUUCAAGUUCAGCAUUCAUGGUAUCUCUUUCAGAUGUUAACUCUAUCACAGAAUCUAGCAUGACUUUUGCCAAGGUUCUCAAUUUUUUAAGAGAAUAUUUAUCCAAGUCAUUUUUCAUGCCAAGAAGAGUUACCUGAUUUUCCUCUUCUUCAUUUUCUGUGUGUGCCAUGAGAGCAAACAUUUCAUUGAAGACAGUUUCCUCCUCAUGCACAGCAACCAUAGACACAUCUUUUGGCUCAUCAGGAUCUUCUGAAUCACUUGAAGAAUCCCCCCAUACAGCAAGAGCCCUUUUGACAACCAUAUCAGCAGCAGCUUUACGAUCUCUGGUACCAGGUACCAGGUCCCUUCUGUUUUCUUUGUCACCCCUGUGUUUUUUAUGAUCCUUGUUUUCAUUCUUGAGAAAAGGACACUCUCUGAUGAAGUGCCCAAACUUUCCACACUUGUAGCAAGUAUCACCUAGAGCAGCAUUUCGAGUCCCAUUUGUUCCUCUUUUAUAAAUUUUGUUUUUUCUCACAACCUUUUGAAAUCUACUGAUGAGAUAUGCCAUAUCAUCAUCAUCACUUGAAUCUUCAUCUGAUUUAUACUUCAACAUCAAUGACUUGUCCUUCUUGGCUUCCUUUUUUGACAAAUCAUAGUUUCGAUUCAUCUCAUGUGUUUUAAGAUUACCAAUCAAUGCAUCCAUGGUCAGCACCUUCAAGUCCUUGGCUUCUGUAAUGGCAUCAACUUUUCUCUCCCAAGACUUUGGAAGAAUUCAAAACACUUUCCUGACUUGUUUGGUCAUGCUUAUAGGUUCACCCAGACUUCACAGCUCAUUUGUAAUAGAAGACAACUUGGUGAACAUGUCAUGUAUUGUUUCUCCUUCCUUCAUUUUGAAGUUCUCAUAUCGUGAGGUGAGCAUGUCAAUCUUAGAUUCUUUGACUUGUUCAGUUCCUUCAUGUGCAGUCAACAAGCAAUCCCAAAUUUCUUUAGCAGACUCGCAGGCUGACACUGUUGUACUCAUCAGGUCCUAUCCCACAGACCAGAAGAGUUUUAGCUUUGAAACCCUUUUCAAUCUUUUUCAUGUCAGCAUCAUCAUAUUUCUGCCUGGGCUUUGGAACAGUAAUGGUCUUUUCUCCAUCCUUUUCUUCCAUCAUUGGAACAAAGGUUCCAUCUAGUAUAAUAUCCCAUAACUCGCUAUCUUCAGCCAUGAGGUAAUCGUGCAUUCUAACUUUCCACCAACUGUAGAAAUGUCCAUUGAAACGAGGAGGUCUGUGUGAUGACUGACCUUCUUCGAGGUUAAGUGGAGCUGCCAUUCUAGAACAAAAUCACUUCCUUGGUGUUAACCAAAUAGGUAGUUCCUGCUCUGAUACCACUUGAUAGAAUGUAUGCGUUCACUUAAUAAGUAAUGGACCAGGUCCCUUACUUCACUUCAGAAAAUUACCAGAAAGUUAAAUGCAGUAAAAUUAACACAGUGAUUUUACGUGGAAACCUCCUUGCUUAAGGGAGUAAAACCACGACCUGUCUCACAGGAUUUUCAAUCGUUUUCACUAAUCUUCAAAAUCAAAAGCGAAACAAGAUUACACCAAACGUAAGAAAGAGUUAUCAAUCUUACCGUUAAGCAAUAGUCCUUUAUUGCUCAACAAGCCUAAGUAGAAAAACAAUCUACCCACUAAGCUAUCCCACCUGGACAACCUAGACUUCUAACACAACACACCAAUUCCUUUAUAGAUUUAGGAGUGGUUUACAUAUCUAAGAACAAGAGAAUAAAUUCCUAAACAACUAGACGAAAAGCUCCAGAUGUUGCUGUUGUCCUUGGAAUAAUUCUGCCUUUGGUUUGUGUAGCCUUUGCAAGAGUUCUUGAAAAGUUUUUAUCAAGUUGCAAAAACUAACAACAAAUUUUUAGGAAAGUGCCUUUUAUAUGGGCAAGUCACUUUCCUAAACUUCUUUGCCAUUGGCUUGAAAGGUCACACUUUUCUGACGCCAUCGGGAAGUGUGCACCUACUUUCUGUACCGUCUCCAACUGGCAGUCGACUGGCUCAUCAUCAUGAGAGCCUGGUACCUCUACCAGGUCCCUGGGUUUGUUUCAUCUGCAAUACUUCAAACAAGACACCUGCAAUACUCAAGUAGAAAACCCGGUACCUUUAUGAGGUCCCUAAGUUUAUCAAAUCAUCAAAACUACAAAUAACACCUUCAUAAAGAUAAAUAGAACAAAGAAUGCUACAAUGGGAAAAAUUCAAGUCCUUAAUUACUUGGAAACAAGCUUGAUAUUUAUCUAUGAGAGUAUCAGACGAUUAAUUUGAGUUAUAAGUGAAAUUCCUACCAUUAAAACAUAAUGCAUCAACUUCUGCUAAAAAAGAUUUGGCAUCUACUCAACUACAACCAUAAUUGGGGACUAGAUACAAGAUCAAUAGUUCAUUACACUCAUCUAAGACGUAUCAUAUAAUCUUAUCAAUCACCCUCUUUUGUUAGCUAAGACGAUUCUCUUUAAGAAGGAAGAAUUUGAACUGAACAAUCUUGACAAUGGUUCUCUGUAAAAAUUCUGCAACUAUAACUCUGUUAUGGAGAUUUUCUCUUUGUUCAGUAAGGUCGAAAAUUCAUCAAUGACAUUUUGUAAAGGAGAAGUAUGGAAGUUCAGAAGAACAAAGACCGGAAGAUAAAGGGUGAAUUUCAAGUAUGCGUGUUCUAAGAGAAAGGAACCACCUUGCAAAUUUUUUAACUGAUAGAGUUUUUGUUUGUGCAGGUACUAUUCAAUACAUUAACUUUUAGGAUACUCCCAUCAGAAACUAAAAAGAUUCUGAACCACAAAUUCUAAUAAUUAAAUUGCACACGAUAAGAGAAAGGGAAGCAGAUUAAAUUGGUAUUUCUAAUACUAAGUUUGCAACUGAUAAACAAUAACUUAGUAAGCCACAGGUCCACACACUAAAGGCAUACUAAAAAACACAGAAAUAAGUAUUUAUAUUGGUUUUUACCAGAAUUCCAUUUGGACAACUUGUUUCUGAAUUUUAUUGUGAUUGUUAUAAUGUGUGGUAUCAGUCUCCUUGGAGGUUCACUUUGCUAGAAUUGGAACAACGAAAAUCACAAAAGAGACACUCUACAUAAAUCCUAUGUCAGCAAUUAAGGAUUUUGACCAUCUUAAACAUCAGCUUCAUUUGGAUUCAGUUCUCCUCAAGUUCGAAAAAAAUUAUUUUGGGUAAGAUGUCACAACACUUGUUGGGAGAUAGGCAAAGUUUGGUCAAAAUGGAACAUGGCAUUCGAUAUGGUUCAUUCAGUUAAAGGAACAGCGCACAAUAAGAUAAGUGAAGCAGCCAACAACCAAGGAAAAGAUGAUAAGAGCAAGUCAAGCUACGAAGGAUAAGUCAACUUGAGCAGCUCAGACAACUAAAUAAAGACAACUAGAGACAAUCGGGCUACUAUGGAGAAGGCCAAUGGAGCAGAGCUUAGUGUCAAAGACUUUUUGAUUCGGACAAGACUCCGUGCGGCACUUGACGGUUUACUCACGUUCUUGCAAACUCAAGUAAGCCUCUCACUCGGACCGCUAAGAAAAUAAGAAGAAAGACAGAAUUUCGGAAGAAGGAACUUCUAUUGCUUGUUGAAAUUAUUGGAUGCUUUACAAGUAAAAUGACCUACUAUUUAUACUACUCUAACACCUAAGAGUAAGUAAAUGCUACACUAUACAAGUUCCUAAGUUCAUGCCCACAAGACAUGUUUCUAAGUCUUCCAAAAAGGGACUCCUAGCAUUGACUAGUCUGCCCCACGUCCUACAGGCCUUGAACAAGCCUCUCCAAGGCUUGAAACUGCCGCCCCACCACCUGCUGUAACUGCUGUAACGAUUGUAACUGCUGUAACGGCUAAAACUGCUGAAACGGCUGCCCCUCCAACUGCUGCCUUCCCCUUCGCCUGCUGGCCGGUUUGGGUUGUCUGCCCCCUUGCGCCUGCUGCUGGCUGCCUAGUCAGGUGGCGUUCUACCUGGAUGGACGGCGGGACGUCACAAUCUCCCCCACCUAAUGAUGCGACGACUGCGAUGCAUUGCUGCAAGAACUCCUGAACUUUGUCUUUGAACUGCCACAAGUCUUCAUACUUCUCCCAAGUGGCUUCUUCAGGAGUUUGUCCCUUCCAAUGUACGAGAAACAUAGCACUAGCCUGCUGUCCUCGUUUCCGCUUGGCUUGGUAAUCUAUUAUGGUGUCAAUUUCUCGAUCAUGCGAGGCAGUAACGGUGAUAGGGGCCCGUUGUGAUUUGUUCCGAUUGGUAUCGUCCUUAUCUUCAUGAUAUGGCUUAAGAAUGCUUGCAUGAAAGACCGGGUGGAUCCUCAAGUGUGGAGGCAACUCCAACUUGUAUGAGAUCUUACCCACCUUGGCAACAAUUUUGAAUGGACCAUCAUAUUUCCGCACCAAGUUGUGAUGUACGCCUCUAAGUGCCUUAAACUGCCUCGGAUUAAACUUUACCAAAACCAUAUCGCCUUCUUUGUAGUUGGUGGGAUGACGCUUGCGGUCGGCAAACUUUUUCAUCCUCCUUGCCGCCUUAUCCAAAUAAGAUUUGGCAAGGUCGAGUUGUUCUUCCCAACCCUUGGCAAGAUUGUAAGCGCCCAAACUCUUCCCCUCAAAUAAGGUUGGCAGUGAGUGCGGAGUUUGGGGUUGCUGACCUGUUGCCAACUCGAACAGUGUGCGCCCUGUAGAUUCACUCCUCUGCAAAUUGUAAGAAAAUUGCGCCAUGUCUAGGAGCUUAGCCCAAUCCUUCUGGUGCGCACUAACAUAGUGCCUAAGAUAGCACUCCAACAAGGCGUUGACGCGUUCAGUCUGGCCGUCAGUUUGGGGGUGGAAACUGGUGGAAAAGUGAAAGUUUUGAACAAAGAAUUUCAAAGAGUUCGCUCCAAAAGUUUCCAGUGAAACGAGGAUCCCGAUCGCUAAUGAUGAACCUCGACAGCACCCAAAACUUCACAACAUUUUUGAAGAACAACUGUGCAGCUUCCUUAGCAGUACAACCGGCUGUGGCAGGCAUGAAAGUAGCAUAUUUGGAAAAUCUAUCCACUACGAACAUAAUCGUGCCGAACCCGUUUGACUUCGGCAAAGAAGUGAUGAAAUCCAUAGAUAUGCUCUCCCAUGGACGAUCAGCUACGGGUAGUGGCUCCAAUAGCCCUCCUAGUUGCCUUUGCUCUACCUUUUCUUGUUGGCACACAAGACAAGUCUACACAUACUGCUCAAUCUCUUCCCGCAUUUGUGGUUAGAAAUAAAAGGCCUCAACUAAUGCCCUCGUUCUCUUCUGUCCUGGAUGCCCAGCCCACGGAGUAUUGUGGCUUUCUUUGAUAAUUCGCCGCCUGAUGAAUCCGAACUUGGGUACAUAAACUCUCCGGCCAGUGGUAAGCAAGAAUCCGUCUUCUACCCAAAACCGUUUGGUUUGGCCUUGAGCAGCCAGUUGCAUUAUCUUUUUGGCUUCCGGAUCGCGUUGCAUACCAUCUUUGAUUGCGCCUUGGAAUUCACUACGCACUGAGGAGAUGGCCGCUAGAUUCGUCUUCCUGCUCAAUGCAUCAACCACUACAUUGCCCCUUCCUGGUUUGUACUCCAAAAAGUAGUCAAAUUCCACCAAGAAAUCCUGCCAACGAGCCUGCUUUGGUGUGAUCUUCUUCUGUGAUUGAAAAUAGCUAGUGGCAACGUUGUCGGUUUUCACUACAAAUUUGGAGCCUUGUAAAUAGUGUCUCCAUGUGCGUAGGCAAUGCACAAUGGCCAUCAUCUCCUUCUCCUGCACGGUGUACCGUCGUUCAGCUUCAUUUAACUUUCGGCUUUCAAAUUCUAUGGGGUGUUUCUAUUGCAUCAAGACUCCCCCAAUGGCAAAAUCAGAAGCUUCCGUAUGGAUCUCGAAGGUCUUUGUAAAAUCGGGCAGCAUCAAGACUGGUUCUUCAAUAACUGCAGCCUUAAGACCUUCAAAUGCUCCCUGGCACUCCUCGCUCCACAGCCAUGGCCUGUUCUUCUUCAGCACCUCGGUCAGUGGGGGAGCUAUAGCGGAGUACCUACUAAUGAACCUGCGAUAAUAAUUAGCAAGUCCAAGAAAUGAACGUAGCUCGCUCACUUUCGUAGGCGCUUCCCAAUCUUGGAUAGCCUUUACCUUUGCCUCAUCCAUCCGAAGUUCGCCUUGGCUGAUCACAUGGCCCAAGAAGUGUAUCUUGGGUUGUUCGCACUUCUCCCGCUUGACAUAAAGCUGAUUCUCCCACAAGACUUUGAAGACUUUCUUCAAGUGCUCCAUAUGUUCCUGCAAAGUGCUACUGUGGACGACUAUGUCAUCUAAGUACACUACUACGAACUGGUCCAAGUAGGGAUGUAGAAUCUCGUUCAUCUGCGUGCAAAAUGUGGCAGGUGCGUUGGUUAAGACAAAGGGAAUCACCAACCAUUCGAAUGCUUGAUACCUGGUUACGCAUGCUGUCUUUGGUUCAUCCCCCUCUGCGAUGCGCACUUGAUAGUAGCCUCUCCAGAGAUCCAUCUUGGUAAAGUACUUGGCCUCUCCAAGACGAUCAAAUAAAUCUGCGAUCAGGGGGAUUGGAUACUUGUUCCUAAUUGUGAUCUUGUUGAGCGCCCUGUAGUCAAUGCAGAGACGCAUCGACCCAUCUUUCUUCUUCUGGAACAGAACCGGCGCCCCAUAGGGUGCCUUGGAUGGACGAAUAUGACCUGCUUCGAGGAGCUCUUUCAACUGCUUCCUCAGUUCCUCCAACUCAGGUAGAGCCAUGCGAUAAGGUGCAAGCGCAGGUGGCUUGGCUCCCGCCUCCAACUCGAUCAUGUGGUCUACCUCGCACCUUGGAGGUAGAGUUUUCAGUAGCUCCUCCGGCAUCACAUCACUGUUUCCUCCGAAACAGUUUCUAUGAUAGGUGGCAAUGGCUCCAUAGCACCAUGGUCUUCACCCGAACUUGCAAUGGUGGCUAAGAAGGUUGGUUCUCCUUUCUUCAGGCCCUUCACAAUCUGCAUGGCCGACAAUUGGACAUAUACAUCUUUCUUUGGCACCCUAACAAGAGGUACCAUACAAGAUCCUUCCCCUUCCAUCACCAUGAGUUGUUGAAGGUAGGGAUCAAUCAUCGUGUGGCAACACUGAAAGAAUUCCUGUCCAAGAAUAACAUCGGAUAUGUCCAAAGGAGCUACGGUAAAAUUCGUCUUACCUCUCCACCUUCCUAAAGUGAUGCUAACCCCAUGAGCAAUUCCACAUACGGGAGUUGGUGGCGUUGACCGUCUUGAGACGAUUGUUGCUUGGAACAAUUUUCAGUCCCAAUUUUUCUGCCGCCGUCUUGGUCAUGAUGUUGGCUUCAGCCCCGGAGUCUACCAUGGCCCGAACUUGUUGCCCAUUGAUGGAUAUGUCCAUUUACUGCGUACUGAAAUCCCCUGGCUUGUCGUCCUGUUUGGCUAUGGCUCCACAUAAUCCAACCAUGCCCAACUGAGUUGUGUCUGCUGAUUUCGCCCUGUCUUGUGUCUCCUUUUCUUUUCGCUCAUGGACGAUGGCACCAAGGCUCUUCAUCUCUGGGCACCUGGCAUAAUCGUGUGGUCCGCUGCAUAUAUAACACCCGUCUCCUUUGCUGGACUGCGUCCGCUUCUCUAAGUAUUUCUGGCGUUCAAACCGUCUACCAUCCGGUUUGGGCGUGUCAUGAUGUUUGGGAUGUGCCGACUGUUCUCUGUCUCGGACACGAUCUCCCCCAGCUUUGGCUUGACAGCCCCUUGCCUCCUUGCCCUUCGCCUUGUCCAAAUGAUCAUGUUUGAAAUCUGUCAAGGUUUCGGCUUGAGUGAUGGCUUCAUCAAUGGUUUUUACUUGACUCCGCUCUAACUCAGUCCUCGCCCAAUUCUGCAGCCCGUCCAUGGAAGUGAACAACAUGUCAUCUUCCAUGAGUUGGGGAAUUUGGAGGGUCAAGAUUGUGAACUCUUUCAAAUAUGCCCGAAUACUUCCCGUCUGCUUCAACUCCUGGAGUUUGCGUUUCAUUUCAUAAACAGCAUUGUUGGGGAAGAAAGCUUUCUUAAAUUCCUCAAGGAAUUUUUUCGCAUGUGUCGAUGGUACGUGUGCCCCUCAGAAUUUCGGCAUCUUUACGUUUCCACCAUAACAUGGCUACAUCAGAAAGAUACAACAUGACAGUGUUGAUCUUGUUUGCAUCGCUCCUGACCCAAUUACACUUGAAAUAAUUUUCCAAGUGCCAUAGGAAAUUUCCCACCUUUAAGGCAUUGCGGACACCUUUGAAUAUUGGUGGCUUAGGAACCUCGACUCUGGACUCCCUUUCCUGGCUAAGUGAUGUUGAUGCAAUAACCUCCCUUUCUUCCUCGAGAGAUUCCACCUUGUUUUUCAGCGUCUCAAUCACCCCAAGGGCGUCCAAGAACCUGAACUCCAAGGAAGUAAUGGUUUCCUUCAUCGCUAAUUCAGACCGCUUGCGUACCUCCAACUCCUUCCGGAUGGUGUCAAUUUCCUCAAGGGAAUGCUCCUCAAGGUCUUUGACAUAUCUGUCCAACCUAUUCAAGCGCUGGCCUAAAAUCUCAACAGCUUGCCUUGCGACCUCGAUGCUUGCAAUCCACUCAUGUCCAACAGUGACGUCUAUGGCAUUUUCGUCGUCGUCGUCACUUCCAUCGACAAUAGUGGGCGGGAGAGAUGUUUGUCCAUCACUUGGUGUUGGAUCGGUUGGUGGAAGAUCGGUUGGUGGAAGAUCGGUUGGUGGAAGAUCGGGCAGAUUGAGUUCAUUAACCUUCUACUGCUUCUUCCCUUUCUUGUUCUUCUUUCCUCCCUGAACGUUGGGGGUGUUGCUAGCGCCGCUUCCGUCUCCUUCGUUCGUCAUUCUCUUACGAUGAACCUGCUCUGAUACCAUUUGUCACGGAAUUUUUGAUUCGUACAAGACUCCGUGCGGCACUUGACGGUUUACUCACGUUUCUUGCACGUUCUUGCAAACUCAAGUAAGCCUCUCACCCGGACCGCUAAGAAAAUAAGAAGAAAGACAGAAUUUCGGAAGAAGGAACUUCUAUUACUUGCUGAAAUUAUUGGAUGCUUUACAAGUAAAAUAACCUACUAUUUAUACUACUCUAACACCUAAGAGUAAGUAAAUGCUACACUAUACAAGUUCCUAAGUUCAUGCCCACAAGACAUGUUUCUAAGUCUUUCAAAAAAGGACUCCUAGCAUUGACUAGUCUGCCCCACGUCCUAGAGGCCUUGAACAAGCCUCUCCAAGGCUUGAAACUGCCGCCCCACCACUUGUUGUAACUGCUGUAACGGCUGUAACUGCUGUAACGGCUGAAACUGCUGAAACGGAUGGCCCUCUAACUGUUGCCUGCCCCUUCGCCUGCUGGCCGGUUUGGGUUGUCUGCCCCCUUGCGCCUGCUGCUGGCUGCCUAGUCGGGUGGCGUUCUGCCUGGAUGGACGGCGGUACGUCACAUUAGUCUAUAAAAGAGAAGGCUUCAGAAAUAAUUCAGUCGACAUAAGAAAUGACUCAAGCAGUGAAAAUAAAGUUAGACUAAUCUUCUAGCGGCCAUGACCUAUGGUGUUUCUGAUGUAGUAUAGCACAAUUUUCCAUGACUAAAAUUUAUGAAGAUCCUAAUUAAUGUCAAAAAAUACAAAACUUUAUAUCAAUAGUUGGCCUAGUCCAGUUAUUUUUUUACUUUUAUCUCUUUUUAAUUUGUUUCGUGAUGUAUUGAGAUUUGAAUAAUUGUGUAUCUUGUGUUUCGAAGCUACAGGUUUGUUCCUUUAAAGACCCCCCUUCAUUUGAGGGGAUAUAACUAUAACUAGAUGAUUGUUGAGGUCUACUAACUUUGUGCCUGUCGAUCAUAACCAGAGAAUAAAUGCCUCAUGCGUACUAUCUCAUUCGUUAUAUGGUAAUUUUUCAUAUUUUAUGGCUAAAAAUAGAUCUUCCAAUAAACGUCUAAACCAGAAUAUUAAAUUAACUACUAGAGUAUUCAAUAAAGGGAAGAUUCAAGGGAAAAUGCUAAAUCUACCAGAAUGCAGACCAAAAGGUCUAAAAAUGCUCUAGUUAUGGAUAAUCGCAAUAACAGAGAGCUCAUAGAGUCAAAAUAAAAAUUGUUGUACAAACAUGAGUCUAAACAACAGUGAAUCUAUGUAAUUUCUAAACUUAAACUAUCAAAAAGAAAAGUUUUUAAGUCGAGUAAAAAAAAACAAUUGUUUCUCUGUACUAGUUCUUGUAUUCACAAUAGAACUUUCGAAAGAUCAUAAGUUACGAAUGAACUAAAAACCAGCCGCCUUGAUAUAUUAACAACCACACACCACAAUAUAAUAUUCACAGAUAUUAAAGUAUAUUCACAAAUAAAUUGAUUCAAUCAAUAUUAAUCAAAAUAGUAGCAGCCAGAGAACACAGCCACAAAAGUAUUACUUUUACGAAUCUCAAAUCACAGCUAAGACCUAAAUAUUGACUAGUUCGUCAACUGUAUUUACUAUUUUCUUCUUAUUUAUUGCGAGAAUUCUGAUUAAUCAACAUAAUAGAAAAUUAAUAAUAUGGAUAAUUUCACAACGAAGAUGUACAUAGCAACAAGGGUAAUAUUAUAUGAUAGAAACACAGGAGAGGAGAGGAGUGACCUAUAGACCUGAAAAUUUUGUUUUUCCUGGACUUAUUUUCUGCCAGUAAUCUAUAGCUUUUUCUGUACUACAAGUUGAUAUAUGCUUCCGGAGGUUUCUUCUAUGAAUGAAUUUAUGGUGUUGGACGUCGCAACUCUAAGCAACUAGGAAUGCAGAAUCCUUAUGUGUGUGGGAGAUCGUUUUAGGAAUUUUUUCCUUAUUAGCAGCGUAUAUAGUUUUUUUUCUAAGUAAUGUUUUCCUUAUUUCCUAGGAGUUCUUUUUUUUUCAAGAAUUUCGAAAAUGGCUGGAAAAUGAAUAAUUUAGAGAAAGUGGGAGUUUUAAAUUUUAGAAAAAAAGGCUUUUUGGCAGUUAUUUUUUGGAAUUGCUACUAAAAGUGUACUUUUUCUCGGCCAUUAUACAUUAGCCGCUAAUACAUAGCCUCUCAUGAAUGUAUUAGUGGCCAUUAUUUAAUUGAUGCAAAAUAAUUAUUACUAAAGUUUAUUUUUGUAGUAGUGUUUUUCGAUAUCCAUCUUUAUCAGUUAGAGGCUUCAUAGAUAGUCAGUGUAGCUGAGAAGUAUGUAUCAUUCAUAAAUUUUAUUAAAUAUUUUUAAAGACUAAGUUAUCUAAUUAUGGAGUUGAAUAAUCAAUUUUAUUAUUCAGACUUCCUUUGAGUUAAAGUUUGUAUUUUACUUUUAUGAGUUUUUAUUCAUAUUUUAAGUUUUUGCAUGAUUAAGUUAGAGUCUGAUUAGCUUAAAAGUUGGUCAAACUGACUUAAAAGUCAAUUUUUGACUUAUUAGAAUGUUUGGCAAAUAUCAAAGUAACUUAUUUUAAGCCAAAAAUGACUUAUUUUAAGCCAAAAGCUAAUAGUUAUGUGAGGAGUGCUUUUUUCAACUUUAAAGUCAUUUUAUGUUGACCGUGUAUAUUAUCUUUUUACCGUUAAUUCUUUUAUUUUUAUUUUGUUUUUCUUAUUAUUAUUAUUAUUAUUAUUAUUAUUAUUAUUUAUUAUCAUUAUUAUUUUAUUACUAUUCUUUAUUACUAUUAUAAUAUAUUAUUAUUAUUAUAUAUUAAUAUUAUAUUAUUAAUAUUAUUAUUUAUAUUAUUAUUCUUUAUUAUUAUUAUUAAUAUAUUAUUAUAUAUUAUUAUUAUUAUUAUUAUUUUCAUAUUAUUUUCUUCUUAUUAUUAUUAUCAGUAGUAGUAGUAGUAGUAGUAUUUUCAUAUUAUUAUUAUUAUUAUUAUUAUUAUUAUUUUCAUAGUAUAUUAUUAUUAUUAUUAUUUGUUAUUAUUAUAUAUAAUUAUUGUUAUUACAUAUUAUUAUUAUUAUUAUAAUUAUUAUUUUUAAAUAAUUUAUAAUAAUAAUAAAGAAAUAUGUGAAUCAUAGCAAAAUAUAAUUACUUGUGGAUGUAAAAUAUAAAUUAAUUUUGUUUCAUUUUUUAAGUAUAAAAAUCUUAAAUUAAUAAACUUUUAUCAUGUUAACAACUUUUAAUGGUAUUUCAGACAUUUUGAUUUUAAAAAGUUUUUACCAGCACUUUUUUAUCAAACACAUCAGCAACUUUUUUUAACUUCAGCACUUUUAUCCAAACACAUAACUAUUUAGUUUAAAAAAUAAAUUUCAGCACUUUCAAAAGUACUUUUUAAAAGCUAUUUCUUUAAGUCAAUCCAAACGGGCUCUUAGUCUUCCGCUUGUAGUCAGCCAGUAUGAGGGUUCGCUUACGGACCAAUAAUGGUUCUUGAGUGCAGCCACAUCAAGGGUGGAGAUAUGGGUCGUGACAAACUUGGUGUAAGAGUAGAGUGUUCAAGUGUCCUAGGGUUUCUAUGAAGCCAUGUUAGCAGUGUCUUGUUUAUGGUUGUGAGGUCCCCACUUCUCUAACGAGGGACUACAAACUUUUAAGAAAUGUUUUCCUUCUUUCAUAAUCUUAAUGGUGCAUUAGAUCUAUGCCAUACAGAAUUAUUUGUACCUGUGCGAUCUCAGAUUCAUUCGGCUACCCAAUCAUACUAGAGGUGGUUGAUAAGUUGAUUAUGUCCUUAGUCAAUGAGUAGUUCUCCGAAAAAUCAUAAGGAAGUCAUGAGCUUUAAAAGGGCUUGGGAGAAGCCCAAGAGUAAUUUAAGUGUAAUGUUUAAUAGGAAUGCAUCCAUAUUCAUUUGAAUCAUGUGUUUGAGAUAAAAGUGAGUUGUAGUAUUUCUUUUAAUCCUUGUUUCAACUGAAAUCCUUAUAAGGAGAUAUGUUUACAGCUUGGGUAUAUUUUCGACCCGAAAAUAUAGUAUCAGUUUUGAGGUCAUGACCAGUAGUAGUUACAGAGCCCAAAGAUAGAGAAAAGUAUGCAUAGGUUUAGCAAUCCAAGAAAGGGAGACAGUGAUGAAGCUAGCUAUGUUAAUAUAGUCAUGCACCUAGUAAGACAAUAAUAAAGAGUUUUCCCUUAUGGGUAGACUAAGUAAUGAAGAGUUGUAAAGAGAUUAGGAUAGGAGGUAGAGUAAGAAUUGCAAGUCAAUAUGAAUUAGUGUAUACCUUAACUAGAAAGGGGUUAUGAUGAUAGAGUCAUCUUAGGGAUAAUGCACAGUAGGUUAGUAGGUAGCACUUAAGUUGUGAAGUGGAAUGUGAUGGUAUCUGAGUAUGCAAACUGAAAGGUAAGGAUUGACUAAUUGUCAUGAGAGGCCCUAAUGGUCAAGUGUUUCUAAAUUGCCACAGUAGUAUUGAGGUAUAAAAUAGUAAGAGAGAAAUCAUAUUAAUAUCCAGGAUUAGUAAUAAACAUUAAGCUUGAAUUUGAGAUACUAACAUGAUCCAAAAGAAUGACAACAUAAUGGUGAUGAUGUUAGUCUUUAGAUUUGAUCUAGAAGACUUGACAUAGAAUGUGUGAGAUAUUGAGAUGGUUGUUGCAAUGAAGGUGAAUAGUAAAGACCCUAACCUUGAUAUAAGGGCAGUGAAGUAUCGCUAAGUCACAAUUGUAAAAUGAUGAUUAAGAGAAUGUACACUAGUUAGAGAUGUGGAAUAGGUUCAAAGCUUUCAAGUGUCAGCUUUAGACCUAAGGGGGGAGAUGACAAGAUGAGAAGUUAAGUGUUUGAGAGUAAGAUAGUAAUGAGUUCUAAGGAGUAGAGGAGAUAUCCUUUUGGAGGCUCAUUUAGUAAUGAAGCGACGUUAGAAAGAGGUGGUUGAUGAUCUUAUUAUGUUAUGAUGGUGUGAUAGUUCUCUCAAAGGUUAUUAAUAAGGAGGAAUAAGAGGAUUAGUUUUUACUAUGAGAAUAGUUAAAUGAGAGCCCUUAGUUCGAUUCAAAAGAGUUUGUUAGUAGGAGUUCAUGGAGUUGUUAGAUUACUAAGCUUGAAUGUGAUGGUAAAGAGUAAUAGUUUGAGAUGAGAUUCCCUAUAGAGAGGUAUAGAAUCGAAACAUAAAAAUUUGAGUUAAUCUUUAAUAUAGUAAGAUCAGACCAUUAGACGUAGACCUUAGUAAGAUCAAACCAUUCUAUACUGAGUUCAGUCAUCAUUCGAGGACGAAUGAUCCCAAGGGAGAGAUAUUGUAACACCCAAGAACUUAUUUUGAAGUAAGACUUGAGUAGUUAAUCGUAGUGAGUGAGAUUUCACCAAGGAAAAAAAAUUCUAUGUAUUAAAGUCAGUUCACUAGAUUUAACAACUUGAAUUCCAAAAAGAAUUAAAUCGGAAAUAGCAAAAUCUGAAAUUUUGCAAGUUAAGCUAAGUAAGAGUUUUGGUCAACUUCAAAUGAUCAUAACUCCUUGAACAUGAUGAUUUCAGUAUUGUACAAUAAACCAUAGUAAAGAUCUUUGAAUUAUCUUUUCAACUUCGUGGAGUUUGGUAAGUUUCGAGGUUGGAUGAGUGAUAUACAACCUUUUGAUGUUAGGUUGUCAAUUUAAGGAAAGUUAACCGAAAACAUGAGGGGUAGUUUGGUCCUUUCCUUAUCCAAUCAGACUUAAUUCAUUUGAAUAAUAUUUUAGCGGUCUAAUACUUUCAGGUUCAAUUUAAUAAUCCUAAUAUACGCCUAGGGUUUUAGUUGAGUGUUCAAGUAGAGACAAGAAGAGAAAAGAGGAAAAAUGAAGGAGUUUGUCUACGUUCUUGAGUUUAGUUGCAGAUUUUCACCAUGUUUUAAUCGCUAAAAGGUAUGUAAGCUUUUAUAGUAUUGGUUUAGUUCAGACACACGCAAAUCUUGAUUUAUAAGGCUCUAUUUCAUUCUUGAAAUUUAAGAAUUUAAGUUUUUGAUGAGUUUUUGAUAAGUGUUCUUAAAGUUUCAUUAAGUUUUGAUGUAAGAUUUUACUUGGGUCAACUUUAAACGGCCAUAUAUCUUAGAAUAUUAAGAGUUACGUGAGUCAUAACCUAUUCAAAAAGUAAUUGAAUCUACUUUCAACACCACCAAUUUCGCGCCAAUCUGAUUUCCCGUCAAUCCAAGUUUUGAGUAAUAGUUAUGACCAUUUUAGUAACCUAUAUACAAUGUUGUUACAAAUUAGCCGACGAGAAAACAUUAAAAAGGGUUGUUAAUAUUUUUUUACCUCCAAGAAAAUCCUAAAUUCAUUUUUUGACCAAUAAAAGGUUAAAAAAUCAUAUUUUAAUAUUUACUUAUUAAAAUCAUAAUUCUCAGCCAUAGUGAUUUCAAGAAACUAUUUUAAGAAUCUCAAGAAAGUCUUUAAGUUCAAUUGUGAAUUCUUUGAGAUCCAUCAUAAAUUUGAACUAUGGUUUGAGGGGGAAAAAAGAGAAUGAGAAGAGUCAUAUACAUAAUUUCUAUCUAGCUCCUUAGACCUUCGAGUCGAGUUGUUCAUGCCCAUAACUUCCACAUGAAUUCCAUAUAUUGACUAUCAUUGAGAGGAGUAGUAUCUCCAUGUUCUAUGUAUUGAGUAUUGAGUUCCUUAUUCUUUUGGAGAUUAUAUUUCUAAGAGAUAAGUGUAAAAAACACACUUAAAAUAUUCACUUUUUUUGAAUUUCAUACUUAAAAUAUUCACACACACACACACACACACACACACACACACACACACACACACACACACACACACACACACACACACACACACACACACACACACACACACACACACACACACACACACACACACACACACAACACACACACACACACACACACACACACACACACACACACACACACACACACACACACACACACACACACACACACACACACACACACACACACACACACACACACACACACACACACACACACACACACACACACACACACACACACACACACACACACACACACACACACACACACACACACACACACACACACACCACACACACACACACACACACACACACACACACACACACACACACACACACACACACACACACACACACACACACACACACACACACACACACACACACACACACACACACACACACACACACACACACACACACACACACACACAC
rnacentral:lncRNA from 1 species